rnacentral:lncRNA from 1 species
ACGGGCUCUUUUGCUAGUCUAAAUUAUGUACAUAUGAUGCACGGUUCUGAAGUUAUAAUAUGCAUGAAAUACAAGGGGUUUUCUGCAAAACUGUAAUUCACUCGAAAAUAGACAAAAUCGCAGACAGUAAAAAAACAUAUGCGGGCCGAAACUACCUGGCCCAACCGUGCAUAAGAGAGGGCUGGGCGGCUGCUCCCCCAUGAGCGUCGGUGGAGAGGCUGAGGCGAGGCGCGGCCCAGGCGCAGUCAACGCGCGGUCGAGCGCUGCGAGCGCUGCUCGACCUGAAGCAGGGAAGCAGGGGCGCGGGGCUGCGGGAAUUUGCGUGGCGAUGACGCGGCUAACGGCGAUGCGAGCGGCGGCAAGGAGGAACAGGGCAUCUGGGAUGGACGGGACGAGACGGAUCCGGUCCCUGGACCACCGAUCUGACCGGAGACGAGAGAGGGAGGCGCUGUCAGGGAGCUCCAAGCGGCGGUGCCAUGGUUCCCUGUGACAGAAACAUGACGAUGGGAGAGCUUCAGCGAAGAAGAGAAUGGGGAAGGGAGCAUGGGUGGCGAGGACGGCCUGCUGGUGACGCCUGGUCUCGGGUCACCGGCAGCGGUCGGUCUCACGAGACGGACGGGAGGAGGAGUGCAUCAGGCGGCUCAGCGGUGCGGCUAACUUCGGGCGCACGAAAGGAGCACCUGGACCGGGCUGCGAGGACCUGCUCCUGUCAUCGCGCGGAUGAAGGCGACUGCGAGCGGCCAAGAGGCGGGGAGGAGGACGAGCACGAGGUGCUCAGGAGCUUGGGAUUGGGAGCGCCGGUCGAUGGGCGGCUCGGCUGCGAGGGGAUCUAUGGGAGUGGGUACUGGAGGAGCUCGAGGGUCAGGGCGGAGCUCGGGGAUUUGGGAACCGCGGAAAUCAUGGGAGGUGGUCAGAGGCGGGAGAGGAUCUCGAUCGGGUGCGGGCUCUGGUUGGUGAUGCUGAAAACGAGGGAGGGAGGGAGGCUGGCUGCGGGCUUGGAUCCCGAGCGAGAGGGGUAGCGGCGGCCGAAGAGAAUGGUGGAUGGGACAUGCUAGGAUCUAGAGUUAGGCGGUAUAUGUAGCAAGGAUUUUGGUUAGACUAGUCACAGUGGGAAGUAACUUAGAAUAGUAACAUGCAUAUGUUACUAAUCUAUGUUACUAUCUCCAUAGUGGGUAGUAACAUAUGUGUUGUGUCAUAAAUCACAUCAUUUAUUAGGUUGUAGACUCAUCUUUUUUUGAUAUGUGUGAUGUUAUAGUAACUAGCUAUGUUAUCACAUGCCUUUUUUUCUUCAUUAAUUACAUGUCACAUCAUUUAUUUUGCCUAGAUAAAUGUGAUGUUACCACUUAUGUUACUUCCACUGUGGUUAGUCUUAGGGGCUAAUUUAGUCCAUCCGAUCGUAAUCAAGACGACUCAGAAGAAAUAGGCUAGGGAGUCCAAUGAAAAAACUGAAGAUAUUUUAGGGAUGUUUGGGGAUGAUCCGGACCCAACGGAGUCGACUGAACGGUUCGGCUUUGGAGAAGUAUCGGACACGCACGAGGUUGCGAAGGAGGGGGUCCAUGACUGUGUAGAGAGAUAAGGCGGUCAAACAAGAGGGGAACGAGAACCCAGUUGGUCUAAGAAAGGUCAAUGGAGACAUACGGUCUGAGAACAUGCCACAGAGCCAAGAAGAGAAGCGGCAACUACUAACGGCUACGAGUUUUAUGAAAACAUGCGGAUGAAAUGCGGAUGAUGCGAUGAUGAAAUGCAACAAGCAAAAAUAAAUCAUACGGCAAAACUCAGAAUAGCUGGAAGUCUUUUGGAGCGUGGGUCUCGGGGCGUCACAACUCUCCCAUACUAACAGAGGAUCUCGACCCAAGAUCCUAGGGAUGGCAGCGGAGAGAAAUAGAAAUGGAAGAGGUAAAACAAAGUUGCUUCUUUGACAAAGGAGUGAAAUCAUGAACCUUGAGAGGUUGAACAAAUUAAAAGAAAAAUACAACAGAGAUGAACGAGAUUGCCAACAAUUCGUUAGAAAAGAGGAAUAAGGAACAUUACGAGAACUUGAAGGUUGCAAAGACAUGAAUCAAGAGUUUAAUGGACAAGAUAGAAUUCGAAACCACUCCGGUUAUAACAAGAUGAGAAAGGAAGAAUUCGGGCAACACUUCGGUUGAAAAGAGAGGCAAGACUUGAUAAGAUAAAAGGAACUUGAAAAGCGGACACGACACUCCUGUUAAUUGCGCCAGAAAGGAAAAGAACAUGACCUUAAUAUGACAAGAUGAUGGUUCGAAGAGCACAAUAUCAGAAAGCCUCUGGAAUGAGCAAUGGAGUGAAAAAGAACGAAGAAGAAGAACAUCUUCUAUUCAAAAACAUCCUUACGAAUAAGGGUUGAGCGGAGUUGUUGAAGAAUCAACAAUCAAAUGAUUUACUCAUCGUGGACUUGUGCAAACAUCUCAAAACUAGAGGUGAAAUUCUGCCACUAAUGGGAAACAAUUGUUGGGAUUGAGAUCAACAAGGAGGCGGAAAACUUAUUUCACUAGGAGGAUAAAUGAAGAACUUGGGUCAUUUAUAAGCACCACAUAUAGCAAUAAUCCUUAGGGAAAAGCUUUUAGGUUAAAUACACCCCAAGACAACUCCAACGAAUAAAUUGAAGGGAUGAAAAGAUCUCCUGAACGAAGAAAAUGAUGGGUUUAAAUAUCUCAUUCUUAACAACUUGUGAAUCAUGAAACAUGAAGGAAAUUGGCAAGAAUGACACAAUACCACUUCAAAAGAUAAGGGAGCAAGAAUUGCAUUUCGGAAUGCAUGAUGAAGAAUGCUUGAACUCCUCCAAUAAGAAUCUUGAUGAUAACUUCGAGAACGAAUGAAAUCUUUGAUGAACCACCAUGUAGAGCCUCGAGGAAGAUUCCGGAUAGAUAACAAGAUGAUCGAAACGAAAGAAAGUUGAAAGAAGAAGAUGAAGCCUUGCAACAACUUAGAUGAAGCUUCGUGCCGAUAUAACCACGAAGCGUUGCAACUCCGGAAAGAAAGAUGAAUCACUUGGAAUCGAGAAUUUACUCAUCAUGAACAAACUCCGGAAGAAGGGAUUAAAUUACUUGGAUGAAACAAGAAUAUGAAUUAUGUUAUGCAUAUCCUUCAUCAGUUUUAAUUGAUGACAAGCAAUGGAUAGGCAUGCUACUCAUUCUCGUUGAAAGGAUUAAGGAGAGACAAUCUCAACUUGAAGGUCUUCAAUGAACCACCGGUAUGUUUUAGAAAGAAAGAAUGAAUUGAUGUGAAGAUAAAGGAAGAGGAAUCUUGAAUGCACUGCCGUAAGAAUUGAAAACGAUAAAGAAAGAGAACGAAUCGCCGAUAAGAAUUAGAAAUGAACAAAGAUACUUGAGGGAAUUAGAUACAAGAGAACGAAGAGAUAAUGAGCUGGCUAGAUAGUACUUGAACGAUGCACCAAAAGAAUACAGGGACGAACGAAGGGGCUUCAAUAUAGAAUACUUGGAGAACAAAGCUGAAAACUGAGAAUGAAUAAUUGUACCGAAAAAAUGAUGGUCUCCGGAGAAUCAAAACGAAAAGACUCAUGAAAUGCUUCAUAUGGGUAAGAAAAGAAUUCUCACGAUUGGAAAUGAUUUGAGAGGAUGGAAUGAAGCUAGAACCACGAAUCUUCAAGAGAACGGACCAAGAUUUAGGAAAAAUUCUUCGUCGGACUUUAAAUGUUGAGAAUGAUGAUGAGAACCACCAUGACAAUUGAUGUGACACUCUGGAGCAAUGAAGAAUAGAAAUGUUGAACCAACAAUGAAAAACUUUUGAAAAAGAUCUUGGAGAAGGAAUAUGACUGAUGAUAAUUCAUUCUUACGUCAAACUUUGAAAAAGAAUUUGAGAAUAACUCCCGAAAAUUUAGAAGAGUCAUGUAAGAUCCUGGAAAAAGAUCUAUGGGUUAGGGCCCACUCAAAGAUACACCAUUGAACGAUUUUUGAAAAGAGUGAUUGCACCGGUUGAAUUAAAUGGCUUGAAUGAGGUAACAACCUCGAAAGAGCUUGAAUUGAUGCAGAGUGGAAACACGAAUCUUCAGAGAUAUCUUUAGCACUCCGGGACAAUUGAAUAGCAAGUGGGGAAUGAUUACGAGGAGCACUGGCAUGUGAAAACAUUUGGAACAAUGAUAGGGAUAUGAUCGACACCGAAAGCUUGAAUUGAAUCCACCGAAAAGGAAUACGAGAAUGAAGAAUGAUGAACUCGAAGCUCCUGAGCAUCUUCGCGAGGAAACACCGGAUAAGAACAUUGAAGGAAAAAAUGGAGCGACUUCUCAUGAAUAAAAUGGAUACUUGAUUAAGAUAUAUGAGUCCUUGAAGUUAAAGGUGGGAUGGUGGAAAACAAAGGCAACUUGCGACGGAUGAAACAAACACCAUUGCGAAGAACUGAGAAUUGAUCCACCAAAUAUUGAAAGGAUAGAUUAACUUGAAGAGAAGCACACUGGUUGGAAAAGAAUUUGUCGAUGUUCUGGAUAUGGGGGUAUCCAGACUUGCCUGCCUAUGGCCCACCACGUGACUCCCCCGAUGGCCUGGUACGACCCAGGUUCAGCAUCAAUGACUCAAGACCCCCGUGAGGGGCCAAGCCUCGCGAGGCGGACGGCGCCAAGACCCCCGAGGGGAUCGGCCUCUUCAGGCUUGCUCCCGAGGGGCAGAGAGUUCUAUGCAAGGUGCACCUCGCGAGGCUCAGCUGGCGUGAGCCAUGAUGACCAAGGCCAGGCAGGCGCCAGCAGGCACAAAGCACCAGUUUCCUCUUCGGUGCAAGGGAGACAAGCCGUAGGCACGGAGUCCCGAGGAAUCAGCCAAAGGUUUCCAUUCUGGUGCAACAAGACCAAGACUGCCAGGGCGGCAGGACGGAGGUCAUCACCGAGCCCACCGUAGCAUCAUGAAUAGGAGCUUUUCGCAGGCGAAGAGCACUUUAUUCCGGAUAAGCUGUAGUACUUGUCCCCUUUUGAACCCGGACGUUGUGGGAUCCCUUCCCGCCAACAUUUGGGAAGACGACCAGGGCCACUAUAAAUAGGACUUAGCCACCACCAUAGAGAGAAAAGAGGGGGAGAGCAACGGGAAGAGAUCCACUCUCACCCGACCACCUCACCAGCUCUCUUGAUCUCAAGAACACCUCACCUCCUGAGGCAUGCUCAUCCACUGUACUAGUUCAUCCUCAGCUCUUUGAGGCAAUCUACCAAAACGCCGGAGUAGGGUAUUACACCGCAAGGUGGCCCAAACCAGGAUAAACUACCGUGUCUCUUUGUCUCUUCGAGCUCGUCGCGCUAGGCUUAAGAGGAUCGCGAGUAGGCAGGCUGGGUAGGUUGAGAUCUUCGCACGCACCCCAGAGUUUAAACCUUUAAAGGGUUUGCGGAACCCGUAGUCCGACAUUUGGCACGCCAGGUAGGGGUGCGUGGGGGGGUCCUCUGCUCCGUCCAUCAGAUCGCGCCAUCGGCUUCAAUGGCGGCGCUCCUCCAUCGACUCGACCGACGCGCGCCUUCGAAGAAGCACUGGGGCUGCGCCAUUUCACUUCCUCACUGCGGGGGUUGGAAUGGCCGCCCAAGUUCAGGCCCGAGCUAUCUCCACGCUACGACGGCAUGGCAGAGCCGGCUGGCUUCCUCCAGGCGUACGAGGAGGCAAUCUAGGCGGCCGACAGAGACGACAAGGUGAAGGUCAAUUGGCUCCCCAUGGCCCUUGUAGGAGAGCCGAGUGCCUGGCUGCUCCACCUGCCGGAGUCGUCUGUGGCCUCUUGGGAGGAGCUGCAUGGCCUCUUCAUUGCGCACUUCACGGCCCCGGCGCCUCCUGUCGUUGCGUCCCUCUUAGGCGGCUCGCAGGUGCCACCUUCUGAUCGGCAUAUCAAGCAAUUCUACCGGCAAGUAAGCGUUUCCCAGGUGAGCUCGAGGGCUCCCCCGGGCUGGGCAGCGCCGAAGGCCGACUUUGCCUUCGGCCCAGAAGACCAUCCAGCGACCACAGUAGGAGGAGGAGCGCUCCCAAUGCUCUGCACCCCCACCAUCUACAACGUGGCGGUUACCAGGACUGUCACACCCUGAUUUUCAUGGCACAACACUUAUGAUUAUAAAUCAUGAUAAAAUGUGGUUUGACAAAAACUUUUGAGUGUUUUGGACUUUGCAUUGAUUGUAUUUUAUCUGUUGUUGCAAGUGCUCUAAAAAUCAAAUAAAUCCUCCAACUCCUAUACUUCAUCUCCUUGCUCCAAACUCUUGAAGCAAUGAUCAUGCCAUGUGUAUAGUACAUUAUAGAAUUUUCUUAAAAAAUAAUUUUGCCAAAAAGUAUAAAUUUAGUUUUCCAAAACCCCUGAAUUGAGGUUUGCACUGCAAGUACUUGAUUUGGGGUAUGAAAAAUCUUGCAAAGAGUAUGUAAUUUUAAAAGUUAUUUUACUAUUUUAUUUAGAGGCUUUUUCUUUAGGCCAGAAAUGAUCUUUAAUAGGUUGAAAUUAUUUUAAUGCUUUAAAAAUAUUUGGAAAACCUAGGGAAACUCAGUGGACAUAUAUUGUCCAUAUAUAAGAGUUUCAACACAUGGUCAUGUUCAAAAUAUUGGUUAAAUCCCGCAAAAACCCUUUCUCGGUAUUUCAAGCUUUUGAAAUAUUUACAAAGGAAAUAUUUUCUAAAAAUUACAAGAAAAUUCUAGCAUGUCACAUAUGACAUGUUCGAUGAUAUUGCCAAGUAUCAUGUCAUGGAGAAUAGUAUAACCCCAUGAAAUCCCCUCAAAACCAUUUCUGUCCAUUUUCAAGUUUGAACAACUUUACAUUAUCAAACUUGUCCAAAUGCUCUCAAACUUGGUCGACAUGCUAAAAUGGUCUGAUAAAUCAUCGAGACCAAGUGGCACAAGUUGGAGAACAAGUUAACUUGAUCAAAGUGCCCUAAAACCCUUCCUGUCCAGAACCAAAUUUGAACUACUCUGCAUUGGCAACUUUCUCAUUUUGAUCCCAACUUUUGUGGACAUGUUCAGAACCUUAAAUUAUGACACUACACGAGGUGGUGCAUCAAGGAGAAUAGAUUUACAAGACUAAAUCUUGGGAAGUCCAUUUCUAUUGAUUUCUAGGGUUUACAAAAGUUGCAUUGGCAACUUUGCCCAAAUGAACUCAAUCUUGGUGGAACCUCUUAUUUUAUCAUGCCAUUUGACACUGUCAAGCCUCAUGACAAGGGAAGUCCAUUUGCUUGCCCAAACCUGCAUCAAACACCUUCUGGCAGAAAUUUAAAAUGCAUGUUUUGGCCAUUUCCACUAAUCUCCAUGAGCUAAACUUUCUCCCACAACCUCAUCUGGUCCUCCUCUAACCCCUGCAUCUUUCCCUGCCCGAGGAGCCAUGAUGAUGGGGGUGAAAAUCUCUUUUUACCCUCUCUAGACAACACCAUUUCCACUCUCUCUCCACUCCCUCUCCCCUCUAGUGGAUCCCAGGGCAUCCAAUGCCAUUGCCACAUUGUUUACUCCCCCUGCCGCUGCCAAACGCAAGUGGACACGGCAGAGCGUGCAAAACACGCUCAUGCCAGCCAAAAGCCUGCUCUAGGGCGCGCUACAGUGGCGUCUGAGCCUUGCCACCGCACUCCCGUCCACCUCGGGCUGCCCGAGCACACCAGUCGACGCGCCUCGGCAUCCGCAUCACGAUAGAGGGCCUCCCACUUGCUCCCGCGCCCUCCUCUCACCCCUGCGGCGCAUGCUCGAGCGCCGCCCGCGUCCGCCAGUGGCUGCCCGCGUCCCUGACCCGCCUCGUGCUCGCUCCUCUCUCCCUCUCUCCUUCCCUGGUCGUAGACCACGCCCAGGAAGACCCCCGACUCGAAGCCAAGCCCUCUCGCGGCCUCCAGCGACGGCCACGGCCUCUCCGGCGCACGACCCCGUGGUGCUCCUCGCCCCCUUCUAUUUAAGGCCACCCCAGAGCCUCUCUCUACUCCUUUGACUCUCUCUCCCUCCCAGAGACCCUCUGGACCAACUCAUUCAUCCUCCCGUGCCCUCCAUCCAGCACAAUGGAUGGAGCAUCACCAUCGGGCUCCGCCUAAAUUCGAGCUAACCCAAGCUCUCGUUCACCCCCUAGACACUCCAACGCCCUCAUACCUCCACCGCAAGGCCCUCCAUCGCCUCCAUUCGCCCCCGGGAAGGCCAGGCGCUCACGGCCAAAGAUGGCUGAUGGCCUCCUCCGCCACCAUCCAAUCCAUCACCACUACGGCCAUCCUCGGCGUGCGUGAAGCACCUAGAUGGAUGCAUCGCAGCCUCCUGAGCAUGCUGGUGGGCAGAGCGUCGCCGGGGAUGCUCUGUAGCCCCGGCAAUCACCGGCGGGAGCCGCUCCUCCCCGCGGCCAGAGCGCGCGCGGGAGGUUGAAGGCGACCUGCCGCUGGGACCCGCGCGUCAGCGACUCAGUGGGCGGGCCCCUCCCUUUUAAGUGGAAACCGCUUCGGUCGAAUCCGCCUUCGACGUCGCCCUGUCGUCCGCAUCGCCGAACCGCUGGGCCGGCCCAGUGCGCUACGGCACUAUGCUGCACCCAGUGUGCAUUAUAGGUAUAAACCCCCCUUCCUUUGUGUUUUCUUUUUCCAAAAACUUGUAAAAUCUCCCAAAUAUUCAUAUUACCUCCAAAUUUGAUGAUUCAAAUUCCUAGUGACCCCAUAAAUCAUUCUCUACCUUAAGGAGUAACUUACACAUUUUUCCAGAAUACUUUCUUUCACACAUGUUUCACAAAACCCCAUUUCCCUAUUUCUGUGAUGGACUUUGGAAAAUCACAGAGAGAUCAUCUUUGAUCCAAAUGCCAUGAUUCAAAUUUCUAGAUGCUUCUAAGUUCAUAACUUAGGUUAUGAACAUUUUUAUUAAUACUUUUUGUGACACACAAUAUAAUGAGCCAUUUCUUCAUAUUUGUCAACUUUGCAAAUUCAUAGGAAAUUCAUUUGAACUCAAAAUCUAGUGAAACCAACUCCUAGAUGCUUCUAAAAUUAUGAUUUGUUAAAUGGGUGCCUUUGCUCAUUUUUUAAAAAUAUAUUUUUGUACACUUCUUGCAAAUCCACAAACCCCUUGAUUCCAUCAUAUUGAAAUGUUCAGAAAUAUCCAUUUAUCAAAUACCAAUGAAACCACCUUGGUCAUUUCUCAUAUGACCAAAGGUAUCCUAGGAAAGUUAAACUCAAAUUUUUAGAGCACUUUUAUUUUUGCCUUGUUGUGUGGCUUAUCAUGAUUGUUUCCGACAUUAGUUGACAAAGUAGACGGAGUAUUUGGAGAAGGACCAGAAGACUUGAAGACUCUGAUGAACCAGGCAAGCAGCCCUUUGACCAUGAUGAACCCUUUUUUUUAUCAUAGUAGCAUUUCUCUCCGUGAUUGUUGAAUGCAUGAUAUCUUGAAUGGCAACCUUGCUAGGUUUGCCUUCGUUGCAUGCCCCGUUGAUACUUGCAUUGUUCAUGACUCUAUCCUUGUUUAGAGUUGUGUUGGUGGGUUUUAGAAAUAUGCUAUAGUUGUUGGCUGAGCAAAAUGGGUCGGAGUUAUGCAUGGUAAGGAACAAGUGUGGUAUGACAUACUUGCAAAUACCCCCAGUGGGUGCCACCAAUGCCCCUGGGAGAUGAUGAUGAACUAGGUCACUACUUGGUGGAGAGCUAGUGUACCGAGGCUUGAUGAAAGUGUUGUUUAUAGAGACAGAUUAGAUUUAAGAUUUGUUGACUGUCCCAACCCUACAUGCGCAACUACUCUAACCUUAUAUGGGGAAAGGGCAUUAUUGAUUACCUAGGCCGAUACUAGCUUGGAGCCCGCAUUACUAGUGACGGGGGAGAGUUGGUGCUCUCUCUCGGGAUGGGGUCGUGCCAGGUAGGGCGGCCAUGACUGUUUUCACAGGGCACCGGACACACCGUUGGUACCCCGUGCUAGUGGUAUGUGAUGAAUAUGGGAGCGAGGCUCCACGAUUUUAAGAUGUGAAAUGUUGGGCACGGGGGUUACUACCAAUCGAGUGGACUCUAUGUUAGUGUCGUCUCGGGAAAGAUAGUGAUCGGGUGCUUACCCCGGGUACUUGAGGUACCGCGGGUCAUGGAUGACACGGAAGUUCCCCGGAUCUUGUGGGUAAAGUGUGCAACCUCUUCAGAGUGUCAAACUAUUCGAAUAGCCGUGUCCACGGUCAAGGACGGUUGGGUGGUGCUGCUUAGAAUAUGUCCAUAUGUUUCUGAAAAACAGCACUGUUUGGUGAUAUUGUUGAUGUGAUUCCUGAGGAAGUCAUGAUGAGCUUGAGCAUGAGUUGUUCAUAACUCUUUCUCAAGGCUGGUGUCUGUAACCUCCUGAUACUUGCUGCAGACGCAUUCAUGCCCUUGGUAAAUGUUGAUCAUGCCUGCAUCAGAAAAACUAGCUUUCCACAAAAAUGCUAAUUAAGCAGUAGAGCUUUGCAUAAUUAUUUUGUUAUCACUCUUGGGUUGCUUGUGAGUACAUUCAAAGUACUCAUUGGAUUGCCACUGGUUGUUUUAUUGUCCAGGCUUGAAAGAACGGGAUAUAAUGAAGAGUACCUUUGUGAUGAACAUGCGAGCUAGGACGCUUCCCAGUCAUAAUGCCUAUAGGGUUAAGGCAGAUGGCAUGGGUCCCAGUUAUUGAUGAAGAUUUCCGCUACAAUGUUAUACUCAAGACUUGACCAUAAUAGUCAUAAUUUAUGUAAGACGGUAUGUAUGGAUGUAAGACUCUUGCUAUUCAGCUUCUGUGUGUUCAGUGAGCAUUGAUCUCUGGGAUCACUGUACACAUGCAUUCGGUGAUCACGACUUAUGAGUCGGGGUCCCCACAAGGACCCUCCUCGACGGUGGAGCCGGCCUCAACGUGCUCUCCACGGAGGCGUUCAGCCUGCUGCACGUGCCUCGUGGCCGGCUCCGCCCCACCAAGCCCUUCUCUGGGGUCGGCGGUGGCUUCACCCGCCCACUGGGGUAGAUAUGUCUCCCCAUUACCUUCGGGACCCGCGACAACUACCGCACUGAGCUCAUCGACUUUGACAUCGCCCAUAUCGACUUGCCAUACAAUGCCAUCCUCGGAUACCCCGCCUUGGCCAAGUUCAUGGUGGCAACUCACCCAGCUUACAACCUCAUGAAGAUGCCUGGCAGCAACGGUGUCCUCACGGUGGCAGGGGACACCAAAGACGUGGUGCAGGACCUCAAGCUCGCCUUCAAAUGGGCGGCAUCAGCGUUGCCUAGUGAGAAAGGGGGUGCUGGGGCCCCGGGAGCAGCGCCAUCCAAGAAGAAGCAAUUGUUCUCCCAAGACCGAGCCGAGAUGAAGCAAGUGCUGGUCAGUGAGGAGGGGACAACCAGCGCCACCUUCACCAUAGGGGCUGGCCUCCCUCAGGACCAGGAGAAAGCAUUGGUUGACUUCUUGCGCGCCAACAAGGACGUAUUCGCUUGGGAGACCAAAGAUCUGGCUGGGGUCCCAAGGGGAAUAAUCAAGCACCACCUGAAGGUAUGCCCAAACGUGCAGCCCGUAUAGCAGAAGGCCCGCCACCAGUCCACCGAGAAGCAAGCAAUUAUCGUCCAAGAAACCCACAAGCUGCAGGACGCUGGGGUCAUCAGGGAAGUACGAUACCCGGAGUGGUUGGCGAACCCCGUUGUCGUCCCCAAGAAGGGAGGGAAGGAACGCAUGUGUGUCGACUUCACCAACCUCAACAAGGUCUGCCCUCAAGAUCCAUUUCCGCUUCCUCGCAUCGAUCAGAUCAUGGACUCCACCGCUGAAUGCGACUUGUUGUGCUUCUUGGACGACUUCUCAGGCUACCACCAGAUCAAGAUGGCCGUGCAAGAUGUGGAGAGAAGACAGUGUUCCUGACCCCCUACAGGGUGUACUGCUGCACCUGCAUGCCCUUCGGGCUGCGCAAUGCUGGGGCUACCUUCCAGCGGCUGAUGCAUAUCGCCCUGGGCACGUAGCUCGGGAGAAACACGAAGGCCUAUGUUGACUACAUAGUGGUGAAGUCUCGGAAGGAUGGGACACUGAUAGCACAACUGGAGGAGACGUUUGCCAGCUUGCCGAAGGUGGAUCUUCGGCUCAAUCCGGAGAAGUGUGUAUUCGGUGUCCCCUCUGGCAAGCUGCUGGGCUUCCUGAUGUCGCAUAGAGCGAUCGAGGCCAAUCCAGAGAAGGUCAAGGCAAUAGAAGACAUGAGCCCCUCGCAGACCCUGAAGGAGAUGCAAAAGCUGGUGGGCUGCAUAACCUCAUUGGGGUGCUUCAUCUCCAAGAUGGGGGAGCCUGCCCUCAUGUUCUUCAAGCUGAUGAAAAGGAAGGGGCCGUUCGAGUGGACCCUGGAGGCAGACGCAGCCUUUCAAGACCUCAAGAGAUACCUGACCAGCCCACCAGUGAUGGUGGCGCCGCGCCCUCUUGAGCCCUUGGUGCUCUAUUUGGCAGCCACCCCUCACUCAGCCAGCGCCGCCCUGGUGGCGCUAAGGAAGGAGCGCCCGUCCACGGACCCUUAGCAAGAUGCUCACCCACCAAGCAAAGCGCAACACCCUCAGGACAUCACACGUGGGGCCUCGACCGACCCAAUGGCCGAUAACCCUCCCGAGGCUGCGGUUGACCCCACAGCUGGGGGGGAGGGCUCCUGAGGACGGACCUCGCGAGACCACCAAAGGCCCGCGUCCUCAAGAAGAACAAGACUCCACCGGUGCCUCUUCCCUUGUCGAGCACCCAGUCUACUUCAUCAGCACGGUGCUGAGGCAGGCACGGGCGUGUUACCCCAUGCCUUAGAAACUCUUGCUCGCGCUCCUCGCCCCUCCCGAAAGCUGCGCCACUACUUGCAAGGCCACCCCAUAAAAGUCGCUUCGGCAUACCCGCUGGAGAGGGUGCUCCGGAACCCGAACACCGCCGGGCGAGUUGCAGAAUGGAACAUCGAGCUUCAGGUGUUAAAUCUCGAGUUCAGCACCACUAGGGUCAUCAAGGGUGCGACCCUCACUGACUUCAUGGCCGAGUGGACUGACAUCCCCGACCACGGGGUGAGCGAGGACCGCUCCCUCUUAUCUGGGGAUGCGGAACCAGACAGGUGGAUCAUGUACUUUGACGGAGCAUUUGCACGACAAGGCGCAGGAUCAUGAGCCGUCCUCAUCUCACCGGCCAAGGACACACUCUACUAUGCGGUACAACUCUGUUUCCAGCUGGGCAAGAAGCUCUCCAACAACAUUGCGGAGUUUGAGGGCUUGCUCGCCGGUCUCAGGGCCGCGGCGACGCUGGGGGUGAAGCGCCUCACAAUCAAGGGCGAUUCCCAGCUCCUCGUCAACUUCUCCAACAAGGAAUACAUGCCAAAGAUGAGCACAUGGAGGCAUACCUAGAAGAGGUACGCAAGAUGGAGAAGCGGUUCUUGGGCUUGGAACUGCAGCACGUACCAUGAGGGACGAACAAGGAGGCGGACAAUAUCGCUAAGAGAGCCUCCCGAAGGCUCCCCCGGGAGCCGAGGGUGUUUGAGAAGCGGCUCUUCAAGCCAUCUGCGUCUCCCCCCACCGAGGCUCCAGCACCGCCUCAGGAGGAGCUGCCUCAGGUGCCUGUGGCUGGUGCCCCAGCAUGCGGUCAUCCCACAGGGGCCCGCCUACUGCUUGCGCUCGAGCCUCAAGAGGGGUCCUGGACUAAGGAGUUCAAGGCGUACCUGCUUCAAGGGAACUUGCCAGAGAAGGAGGAGGAUGCCGAGCGCGUGGCUCGUCAAGCGACCUUGUACUGCAUCCAGGACGGUGAGUUAUAUCGCAAAAGGCCCAAUGAUGUCUCGUUGCAAUGCAUCUCUAGGGAGCAGGGACUGGAGCUGCUAGCGGACAUACAUGGUGGGGACUACGGGCAUCAUUCCUCAUCACACACUAUGGUGGGCAAGGCGUUCAACGACACCAUAAAGCUGGUGCGUUCGUGUGAAGCAUGUCAGUUCCACGCCAAGCGAAUUCACCAGCCUGCGCAGGGCCUCCAGACAAUCCUGCUCACAUGGCCAUUCGCGGUUUGGGGGCUGGACAUCUUUGGGCUGUUCCAUCGAGCGCCAGAGGGCUACCGAUACCUCUACAUCGCCAUCGACAAAUUCACCAAAUGGGCAGAGGUAGAAGCUGUUCGCGCCAUCCCAGCUGGAUCAGCCGUCAAGUUCAUCAAGGGCAUCGUGAGCCGGUUUCGGGUUCCUAACCGCAUCAUCACCGACAAUGGCUCGCAAUUCACUAGCAACCUUUUCAAAACAUACUGUGCUAACCUUGGAACGCAUAUAUGCUAUGCCUCAGUGGCACACUCCAGGAGCAACGGCCAAGCCGGGCGGGCCAAUGCCGAAGUCCUAAGGGGCCUCAAGACAAGAACCUUCAAGAAGAAGCUCAAGGCCUGCGGCAGGGGCUGGCUCGACGAGCUACAGUCCGUGCUGUGGUCCAUCCUCACCACCGUGACCAAGCCAACGGGAGAGACACCGUUCUUCCUCGUCUUCGGAGCAGAAGCGGUUCUCCCACACGAGGUCAAGCAUCACUCCACGCGGGUCCUGGCAUUUGACGAGGGGCAUCAGGACGCCACGCGGGGGAUGGAUCUCGUGCUGGGGGAGGAAUGCCGCCGUCAAGCCUCGCCCCGGGUGGCAAGGUACCAGCAGGCGCUGCGGCAGUAUCACUGCCGAGGCGUUCGCUCCAGGACGUUAGAGGUGGACGAUGUCGUCCUGAGGCAGGUGCUCUCUAGGGAAGGGCUGCACAAGCUCUCUCCCAUGUGGGAGGGCCCGUUUAGGAUUGCCCGUGUCUCCAGGCCUGGUGCCGCGCAGCUGGAGACACAGGAUGGGCUCCCCAUCCAGAACGCGUGGAACAUCCAGCACCUCCAGAAGUUCUGCCCCUGAAGCAAGGCUCCGGCCUGUGAAGGUCUCCGCUUGUGAUAGUCUCACGUAAUAAUGAGUGGGGCUAUACAUGCCCUGGAGUCUCCUGAGAGCCGCCCUGGGGCCUCACGAGGGCUCCCUCCCACGUUUCAGUGGCAACACUUAGCUCCGCGCUGGUGAGAAGACUAGAUUAGGUUGCAGUCUUUUAGUAAUCUUUCAAUGGAUUUUGUGUUUUCGUGUUUCGGUUCGCCGAGUUGAUUUCUUCUCCUCCCGUUCGUUUUCUUUUAGCCUAAGGAUAGGAGAGAGGUGGCAGUUGCCUGUCACUCUCGCUCGCGCACCUCGCGCGUGGGGGCUAGGAAGGUGUGUGCGCCUUGGGCCUGCCCUCAUGCGUGCACACCGCGCCGAACCCCGCUGCCCUAGUGCUUCGGUCUUAUCCUAGCGAGGAGCCCUCAAUAAAGCUCAUUGGCAUCAACACCCCUCAUAUCCGUGCCCCUGGGGAGCGCGACGUGGUGCAUUAAGUAAGAGCUUGUCUAUGACAGGGGGCUCGCAUAAGGAGGAAUCAGGUGCUCGUCAUGUUUUCUUUUCUUUAAAAACAGCCCUGCAGCCGUUCCGUGUUGGCUCCCAAGACCCCAAGGCACUUCUAGAGGUCUUUGACCUCCAGCUCCCCAGGAAGGGGACCUUGCCGGGCACCUGAUACCAAGUCCUCGCCGGGCACGCAUAUCAAGCUAAGUUUUCCUAUCCUGGCCUACUCAGAGCGCAAACAUUACGGCACAACACAAAAUAGCAAGCAUAGCAUAAAGGGCAUAACUGCCAUAGUCCAUUACACGCCCCGGCGGGGUACACUAUCUUUUUUUUCAAAUUACAGGAGAAAGGAAAGGCUAAACAAAGAAGACCCGAGGAUGUACGAACCUGGCACCAGCGCCGCGUCCUCAAGCAGCGCCUCAAGGUGGCCCGGUGCUCCACCAGUUCCCCCAUAGGCAACAUGGGGCCGCGGCCGGUCUUGAGUCCAAGUCCGGCGGCCCCAGGCUAACGCCGGGCUCCUCUCCAGCUUCACCGGAGCGCUGCGGUGGGACGAACCACCGCCGUCCUUGACCCGAGCAUGAUGGCGUGGGGGUCGUUCGUAGCCACCACUGCUCAAGCUCUAAUCCGAGGAAGAGCUGCUAUCGCGAGAAGAGGAGCGCACACCGCCAAGGCCAAGCUCACCUUCGCCACCCUUGUCGAUGUUGCCGUCUUUGGGGCAGCACCCCACGCGGCGGCCGUCCCACGUGAACACCCUCACAUAGAGGGUCACCAGGCUGUCGUAUUUGAAGUGGAGGAUGCACCUUCGGCCCAAGCCUCGCGCGUGGGCGAACAUCUGCCAGCCACGGGUCAGGACCACGCCACCAGAGGCAACGACCUCAGUCCCGACAAUCGAAGCUCUGCUGCAGCAGCCGUCAGCCAGCAGCCAGAGACCAUCGAGCCCCGAGGAUGGAAGCUCGCUGGAGAAGAAGCACGGAAGCCAGAGCGAGGUGCCGGCCAGGCUCUUCGACCACACCAUGAAAUCGGGAGCACGUCCAGCGAGGAGAAGCGCGGUCGAGGAGGGCGCACGAUCAUGGUGUGCCUCCCUUUGUCAUGGGGGCUGCUCCGAAGCCGGUGGCCCCCGCCGCGAGAAGAGGUACCAUCAUGGGUGCCAAGAGAAACGCCGGCCCUGGGGGAUGCGCCCCCUGCCCCCUAGGGACCUCUGCGGUGGUUGAGGGGCACUUGCUGGGACGUCCGCGACGUCUCUUGGGAGGCGGAGUGGUUGGUCCCUCCUAGGAAGCCUUCCCCUUCCCGGCCGCUGAAAAGGUCCUCGGCGGCGCCAUGGAAGAAAGACGGAGAAGGAUGAGAAGCGGGCGACAAGAAGACGAAGGAGAGAUGGGCGAGGGGGCUCUGCCCCUCCUCCACAUUUAUAGCCAAGGAAGGCCAACUGCCGGCCUCCACGACCUCGCACCAUGAUGAUCUUCUACAUGCUGCAAAGUUUCGUCAGGUCAAACAGUUCCCGAGGCAGCAUGGGGAAGUGGAGACGCCCAUGUCCCAUCAAUCGCCACGCGUCAUCAGGGCCGCAGGCGGUUGCUACGUCUUGAGCUUGCGUUGGUUUUCCUCGAAGAGGAGAGGGUGAUGCAGCAAGUGUAGCGUAAGUAUUUCCCUCAGUUUUGAGAACCAAGGUAUCAAUCCAGUAGGAGGCUGCUCAAAAGUCCCACGCACCUACACAAACAAACUGAUAACUUGCAACCAACGCAAUAAAGGGGUUGUCAAUCCCUUCACGGCCACUUGCGGAAGUGAGAUCUAAUAAAGAUAGUAUGAUAAGAUAAAUAUAUUUCUGGUAUUUUAUAAUAUAGAUGCAAAAAGUAAAGAUGCAAAUAAAAGUAGAUUGAAAGCAAAUAUGAUAAGAGAUAGACCAGGGGGCCAUAGGUUUCACUAGAGGCUUCUCUCAAAAUAGCAUAAGUAUUACGGUGGGUGAACAAAUUACUGUCGAGCAAUUGAUAGAAAAGCGCGUAGUUAUGAGAUUAUCUAGGCAUGAUCAUGUAUAUAGGCAUCACGUCCAUAACAAGUAGACCGACUCCUGCCUACAUCUACUACUAUUACUCCACACAUCGACCGCUAUCCAGCAUACAUCUAGAGUAUUGAUUUCAUAAGAACAGAGUAACGCAUUAAGCAAGAUGACAUGAUGUAGAGGGAUAAACUCAUGCAAUAUGAUAUAAACCCCAUCUUGUUAUCCUCGAUGGCAACAAUACAAUACGUGCCUUGCAAACCUUUCUGUCACUGGGUAAAGACACCACAAGAUUGAACCCAAAGCUAAGCACUUCUCCCAUGGCAAGAAAGAUCAAUCUAGUAGGCCAAACCAAACUGAUAAUUCAAAGAGACUUGCAAAGAUAACUCAAUCAUACAUAAAAGAAUUUAGAGAAGAUUCAAAUACUAUUCAUAGAUAAACUUGAUCAUAAACCCACAAUUCAUCGGAUCUCGACAAAGACACCACAAAAAAGAGUUUACAUCGAAUAGAUCUCCACAAGAGAGGGGGAGAACAUUGUAUUGAGAUCCAAAAAGAGAGAAGAAGCCAUCUAGCUAAUAACUAUGGACCCGUAGUUCCGUGUUAAACUACUCACAACUCAUCGGAGGGGCAAGGAUGUUGAUGUAGAAGCCCUCCGUGGUUGAUUCCCCCCCCGGCAGAGUGUCGGCAAAGGCUCCAAGAUGAGAUUUCGCGGAUAUAUAAGGUUACGGCGGUGGAAAUUGUGUUUCGUGGUGCCCCUGGAUGUUUUCGGGGUACAUAGGUAUAUAUAGGAGGAAGAAGUACGUCGGUGGCCGCCCGAGGGGCCCACGAGACAGGGGGGCGCGCCCUACAGGGGGGGCCUCCUAUCUCGUGGCUUCCUCGGCUGCUUCUUGACUUGCACUCCAAGUCCUCUGGAUCACGUUCGUUCGAAAAAUCACGCUCCCGAAGGUUUCAUUCAGUUUGGACUCCGUUUGAUAUUCCUUUUCUUCGAAAUACUGAAAUAGGCAAAAAAACAGCAAUAUGGGCUGGGCCUCCGGUUAGUAGGUUAGUCCCAAAAAUGAUAUAAAUGUGUAAAAUAAAGCCCAUAAACAUCCAAAAGGGGUAAUAUAAUAGCAUGGAACAGUAAAAAAUUAUAGAUAUGUUGGAGAUGUAUCAAGCAUCCCCAAGCUUAAUUCCUUCUUGUCCUCGAGUAGGUAAAUGAUAAGAAGAGAAUUUUUGAUGUGGAAUGCUACCUAGCAUAAUUCAUAAUGUAAUUUUCUUUAUUGUGGCAUGAAUGUUCAGAUCCAAAUGAUUCAAAAUAAAAGUUCAUAUUGGUAAAAGAAAUAGUAACACUUCAAGCAUACUAAUCAAAGUAAUCAUGUCUUCUCAAAAUAUCAUGACAAAAGAAAGUUCAUCCCUACAAAAUCAUAUAGUUAGGCUAUGCUUCAUUUUCGUUACACAAAGAUGUUCCCAACUUCUAUAUCCCCGAUGACAAGCCAAGAAAUUGUUUCAUACUUUAAUAAUCUCAAACUUUUUCAACCUUCACACAAUACAUGAGCGUGAGCCAUGGAUAUAGCACUAUGGGUGGAAUAGAAUAUGAUGAUGGGGAUUGUGUGGAGAAGACAAAAAAGGAGAAAUUAUCACAUUGACGAGGAUAAUCAAUGGGCUAUGGAGAUGCCCAUCAAUUGAUGUCAACAUGAGGAGUAGGGAUUGCCAUGCAACAGAUGCACUAGAGCUAUAAAUGAAUGCUCAACAAAAGAAAACUAGUGGGUGUGCAUCCAACUUGCUUGCUCACGAAGACCUAGGGCAUUUGAGGAAGCCCAUCGUAGGAAUAUACAAGCCAAGUUCUAUAAUGAAAAAUUCCCACUAGUAUGAAAAACACAACUUAUGAGACUCACUAUAUGAAAAACGUGGUGCUACUUUGAAGCACAAUAUAUGAGACUCACUACAUGAAGAACAAGGGCUACUUUGAAGCACAAGUGUGGAAAAAGAGAUAGUAACAUUGCCCUUUUUAUUUAUUUUCUUUUUCCUUUUUUUUUCUUUUUUCUUCUUUUUUUGGGCCUUUUUUUGGCAUUUCUUUUUUUUCUUUGGGCAAUGUUCUAAUAAUGAUGAUCAUCACACUUCUAUUGAUUACAACAUAAGAAUUACAACUCGAAACUAGAACAAGAUAUGACUCUAUAUGAAUGCCUCCAGCGGUGUACCGGGAUGGUGCAAUGAAUCAAGAGUGACAUGUAUGAAAAAUAAUGCAUGGUGGCUUUGCCACAAAUACGAUGUCAACUACAUGAUCAUGCAAUGGCAAUAUGACAAAAGUAAAGUAUGUCAUGAUGAUGAUGAGCGAAACGGUGGAAAGUUGCAUGGCAAUAUAUCUCGGAAUGGCUAUGGAAAUGCCAUAAUAGGUAGGUAUGGUGGCUGUUUUGAGGAAUAUAAAGGGAGGUUUAUGUGUGAUAGAGCGUAUCGUAUCACGGGGUUUGGAUGCACCGGCGAAGUUUGCACCAACUCUCAAGGUGAGAAAGGGCAAUGCACGGUACCGAAGAGGCUAGCAAAGGCGGAAAGGUAAAAGUGUGUAUAAUCCAUGGACUCAACAUUAGUCAAAAGAACUCAUAUACUUAUUGCAAAAAUUUAGAAGUCAUCAAAAACCAAGUACUACACGCAUGCUCCUAGGGGGAUAGAUUGGUAGGAAAAGACCAUCGCUCGUCCCCGACCGCCACUCAUAAGGAUGCACAAGCCAGGUACACUUCAUGUUUCAAAUUUGUUACACAACUUUAACCAUACGUGCAUGCUAUGGGACUUGCUAACUUCAACAGAAGCAUUCUUUGAAUUCAUAAUCACCCAACUAGCAUGACUUUAAUAUCACUACCUCCAUAUCUCAAAACAAUUAUCAAGCAUCAAAUUGAUCAUAGCAUCCAAUUCACUUCCUAUGAUAGUUUUUAUUAUACCCAACUUGGAUGCCCAUCAUUCUAGGACCAACUUUAUGAUCAUAGCAAAUACCAUGCUGCUCUAAAAGACUCAAAAUAAUAUAAGUGAAGCAUGAGAGACUAGCAAUUUCUUCAAAAUUAAGACACCACCGUGCUCUAAAAGAUAUAAGUGAAGCACGAGAGCAAAAACUAUCAAGCUUAAAAGAUAUAAGUGAAGCACAUAGAGUAUUCUAGCAAAUUCUAAUCAAAUAGGCUUCUCCCAAAAGGUUCGUACAUCAAGGAUGAUUGUGGUAAACUAAAAAGCAAAGACUAAUAUAAUACAUGGCGCUCCAAGCAAAACACAUAUCAUGUGGCUAAUAAAAAUAUAGCUCCAAGUAAAGUUACCAAUGAACGAAGACGAAAGAGGGGAUGCCUUCCCGGGGCAUCCCCAAGCUUAAGCUUUUGGCUAUUCUUGAAUAUCUUGGGGUUCCAUGGGCAUCCCCAAGCUUAGGCUCUUGCCACCCUUUAUUCCAUAGUCCAUAAAAGCUUUACCCAAAACUUGAAAACUUCACAACACAAAACUCAACAGGAAAUCUUAUAAGCUCCAUUAGUGAAAGAAAACAAAACCACCACAUAAGGUACUGCAAUGAACUCAUUCUUUAUUUAUUUUGGCGUUAAACCUACUGUAUUCCAACUUAUUUAUGGUUCAUAAACUAAUUUACUAACCAUAGAUGCAUUGAAAUAAGCAAACAACACACGAAAAACAGAAUCUGUCAAAACAGAACAGUCUGUAGCAAUCUGUAACUAACGCAAACUUCUGGAACUCUAAAAAUCCUACCAAAAUAGGAAGUCCUGGACAAUUUGUUUAUUGAACAUAAGCAGAAAGAAUCAACGCAAAAGCACGUUCCUGUGAUUUAACAAAAUUAUAUUCGUGCGCACAAAGUUUCUGUUUUUCAGCAGAAUCAAAUCAACUAUCCUUGUAGGUUAUCCUAUAGGUUCUACUUGGCACAAACACUAAUUAAAAGAUAAAAACACAUCUAAACAGAAGGUAGAUGCAAGAUUUAUUACUAAACAGAAGAAAAAACAAAAACAUAAAGAAAAUUGGGUUGCCUCCCAACUAGCGCUAUCGUUUAACGCCCCUAGCUAGGCAUAAAAAGCAAAGAUAGAUCUAACGAGUGCCAUCUUUGGCACUAAAUUCAUAAGUAGCACGCAUGAUCGAUUCAUAAGGUAAUUUGACUUUCUUUCUUGGAAAGUACUCCAUGCCUUUCUUUAAGGGAAAUUGGAAUCUAAUAUUCCCUUCCUUCAUAUCAAUAAUCGCACCAAUCGUUCUAAGGAAAGGUCUACCAAGAAUAAUAGGGCAAGAAAGAUUGCAAUCUAUAUCAAGAACGAUAAAAUCUACGGGCACCAAAUUUCUAUUUGCAACAAUAAGAACAUCAUUGAUCCUUCCCAUUGGCUUUUUAAUGGUGGAAUCCUCAAGGUGCAAAUUUAAAGAGAAAUCAUCAAGAUCAUGGAAACCUAGAAUAUCACAUAAAGUUUUCGGAAUCGUGGAAACACUAGCACCCAAAUCACACAAAGCAAAACACUCAUAAUAUUUAAUUCUAAUCUUUAUAGGAGGUUCCCACUCAUCAUUAAGUUUUCUAGGUAUAGAAACUUCCAAAUUAAGUUUUUCAUCACAAGAUUGCAUCAAGGCAUCAACAAUAUGUUUGGUAAAAGCUUUAUUUUGACUAUAAGCAUGAGGAGAAUUAACAACGGAUUGCAACAAGGAAAUACAACCUUUUAAAGAACAAUUAUCAUAGUCAAAUUCCUUGAAAUCUGAGAUAGUAGGUUCAAUAUUAUUGGAAGUUGAGGAUUCUCCAAUCUCACUUUUACCAAAUUUAGCAUCAAGAUCUAAAGAAUCCGAAUUUUUUGGACACCUUCUAGGCAAAGUUGAUUCAUCAUCAGUCCCAUAAUCAUCAAAAUUCAUAUUGCAAAACAUAGAUCUAAUAGGAACACAUCAAUAACUUUAAGAUCCUCAUCAUUAUUUUCCUCUAACUUUUUUGGUUUAGCGGCCAUCUUAUUGACUAAGGUGGCUUGCUUAUUAGAAAUUUUGGCUAUAGCAUUUUCAAGACGGGCAAUUUGAGCAUUAACACCAUAAAAUUCUUUAUUCAUAUCAUCAAGCUCUUUGUUCAUAAACCCCAAAAAAACCUUUUUGUUCCUUAAGCUCUUUUCUAAAGAAAUUAUUAUGCUCAAAUUGCAAAUUCAUAAAGCUUCUAAUAUUUGAUUCAAUCUCAUCCAUCCUUCUAAGAAGGUGGUUAGGACCCUUAGGUGAAGCCAUAAGGUCAAACAGGCACACAAGCACACAGAAAAAGGCAAGCGAAAAGAGAUGAGGAGAUUGGGAAAGAGAGGGCAAAUAAAACGGCAAGGGUGAAGUGGGGGAGAGGAAAACGAGAGGCAAAUGGCAAAUAAUGUAAAUGCGAGGGAGAUGGGUUUGUGAUGGGUACUUGGUAUGUCUUGAAUUGAGCGAAGACCUCCCCGACAACGAAGCCAAAAAUCCUUCUUGCUACAUCUUGAGCUUGCGUUGGUUUUCCUCGAAGAGGAGAGGGUGAUGCAGCAAGUGUAGCGUAAGUAUUUCCCUCAGUUUUGAGAACCAAGGUAUCAAUCCAGUAGGAGGCUCCUCAAAAGUCCCAUGCACCUACACAAACAAACUGAUAACUCGCAACCAACGCAAUAAAGGGGUUGUCAAUCCCUUCACGGCCACUUGCGAAAGUGAGAUCUAAUAAAGAUAGUACGAUAAGAUAAAUAUAUUUUUGGUAUUUUAUAAUAUAGAUGCAAAAACUAAACAUGCAAAUAAAAGUAGAUUAAAAGCAAAUAUGAUAAGAGAUAGACCCGGGGCCAUAGGUUUCACUAGAGGCUUCUCUCAAAAUAGCAUAAGUAUUACGAUGGGUGAACAAAUUACUGUCGAGCAAUUGAUAGAAAAGCGCGUAGUUAUGAGAUUAUCUAGGCAUGAUCAUGUAUAUAGGCAUCACGUCCAUAACAAGUAGACCGACUCCUGCCUACAUCUACUACUAUUACUCCACACAUCGACCGCUAUCUAGCAUACAUCUAGAGUAUUAAUUUCAUAAGAACAGAGUAACGCAUUAAGCAAGAUGACAUGAUGUAGAGGGAUAAACUCAUGCAAUAUGAUAUAAACCCCAUCUUGUUAUCCUCGAUAGCAACAAUACAAUACGUGCCUUGCAAACCUUUCUGUCACUGGGUAAGGACACCACAAGAUUGAACCCAAAGCUAAGCACUUCUCCCAUGGCAAGAAAGAUCAAUCUAGUAGGCCAAACCAAACUGAUAAUUCAAAGAGACUUGCAAAGAUAACUCAAUCAUACAUAAAAGAAUUUAGAGAAGAUUCAAAUAUUAUUCAUAGAUAAACUUGAUCAUAAACCCACAAUUCAUCGGAUCUCGACAAAGACACCACAAAAAGAGUUUACAUCGAAUAGAUCUCCACAAGAGAGGGGGAGAACAUUGUAUUGAGAUCCAAAAAGAGAGAAGAAGCCAUCUAGCUAAUAACCAUGGACCCAUAGGUCUGUGUUAAACUACUCACAACUCAUCGGAGGGGCAAGGAUGUUGAUGUAGAAGCCCUCCGUGGUUGAUUCCCCCUCCGCCAGAGUGCCGACGAAGGCUCCAAGAUGAGAUCUCGUGGAUACAGAAGGUUACGACGGUGGAAAUUGUGUUUUGUGGUGCCCCUGGAUGUUUUCGGGGUACGUAGGUAUAUAUAGGAGGAAGAAGUACGUCGGUGGCCGCCCGAGGGGCCCACGAGACAGGGGGGCACGCCCUACAGGGGGCGUGGCCUCCUAUCUCGUGGCUUCCUCGGCUGCUUCUUGACUUGCACUCCAAGUCCUCUGGAUCACGUUCGUUCCAAAAAUCACGCUCCCGAAGGUUUCAUUCCGUUUGGACUCCGUUUGAUAUUCCUUUUCUUCGAAAUACUGAAAUAGGCAAAAAACAACAAUAUGGGCUGGGCCUCCGGUUAGUAGGUUAGUCCCAAAAAUGAUAUAAAUGUGUAAAAUUAAGCCCAUAAACAUACAAAAGGGGUAAUAUAAUAGCAUGGAACAAUCAAAAAUUAUAGAUACAUUGGAGACGUAUCAAUGGUUAGGGCCCGUGGUGCUCCACACUCGCCCUUUGGGUUCGCCUAGAAGCCAAGUUCGAGCACGCCUUGGGCCCGGGGGCUACUAUCGGCAUUCUGGAUAUGGGGGUAUCCAGACUUGCCUACCGGCGGCCCACCACGUGGCUCCCCCGAUGGCCUGGUACGGCCUAGCUUCAGCAUCAAUGACUCAAGACCCUCGCGAGGGGCCAAGCCUCGCGAGGCGGAUGACGCCAAGACCCCCGAGGGGAUCGGCCUCUUUAGGCUGGCUCCCGAGGGGUAGAUAGUUCUUUGCAAGGUGCACCUCGCGAGGCUCAGCUGACGUGAGCCAUGACGACCAAGGCCAGGCGGGCGCCAGCGGACACAGAGCGCCAGUUUCCUCUUUGGUGCAAGGGAGGCAAGCCGCAGGUGUGUAGUCCCGAGGAAUCAGCCAAAGAUUUCCUUUCUGGUGUAACAAGACCAAGACCGCUAGGACGACAGGGCGGAGGUCAUCACCGAGCCCACUACAGUGUCACGACCAGGGGCUUUUCACAGGCAAAGACCACUUUAGUCAGGAUAAGUUGUACUGCUUGUCCCCUUUCGAAUCCGGCCGUUGUGGGAACCCUUCCCGCCAACAUUUGGGAAGAGGACCAGGGCCACUAUAAGUAGGACUUAGCCACCACCAUAGAGAGAAAAUAGCGGGAGAGCAACGGGAAGGGAUCCACUCUCACCGACCACCUCACCAGCUCUCUUGAGCUCAAGAACAUCUCACCUCAUGAGGCCUGUUCAUCCACUGUACUAGUUCAUCCUCAGCCCUUCGAGGCAAUCCACCAAAACGCCGGAGUAGGGUAUUACACCACAAGGUGGCCUGAACCAGGAUAAAUUGUUGUGUCUCUUUGUCUAUUCGAGCCCGUCGCGCUAGGCUUUGGAGGAUCACGAGUAGGCAGGCUGGGUAGGUUGAGAUCUCCGCACACACCCUAGAGUUCGAACUUUUCAAGGGUUUGCGGAACGCGUAGUCUGACAGAAUUGUCAAGACAAUCUCGAUGAUCAAGAAGGAUUAGUAUUCACAUAGAAGUAUGAGAACACCGCUUAGGAAAGGUACAGAAUCAAGACUUGACUUUGAAGCAACUUGAAUACCACAACUCAAAACAAAACAAAGGAUUUGGCUUGCAAAAUAAGCCAGAAACAAACAUAUGAUAGAAAUUUCGCCCAAAGUGUUUGUGAUGAGGCCCCACGGGCACGGCAUACAACGGACAUCAUUAAUGACAAACAAGACAUCCCCGAAUCAGCAUAGCCAAGGAUUAUUUAAGACGCCUCGCAACCACUGUAAAUCGACCAUGAAAAGUGACCCACUAGACGUUGGACCCCAAUCUCAAAUCAUACAUCUGUCGGAAACAAAUCCUGGGUAACUACUUGAAUUCCCACCUAUUAACUCUCAAAACUUUUUGGUUAUGCAAUCUAGUGUUGGGGAUACACGGAGGCACAAAUAUCUCACACAACAAACAAAUCCUACACUCCAACUGUAUCCAUCCGUCAACACAUAACUAAGAAAACUCCGGAAAUCGUGUACCUCGACCUUCGAAAAGCAUCCGAUAUACGAGCUGUGGCAAUACUCCCGAACUCCCUCCCCAGUAUGGGUGGCGUCGAGGUUAUCUCACCACUAACUGCAUAUAAGAGAUUUUCAAUGUCGGCGAGCUUAGGUAUACCGGAACUGCAACGGUAAAAUUGUGACGACAACACCUCGUAGCUCAACACCCCGGGACACUGCCACAAACCCUAAAUGUCAGGAGGCACCAAGAACAAUGUUCUCGUCACAAUAAUAUCGGAAUGAUCCCAAGAUACCCGCGUGAUCCUAAAAAAAUUGAGUGAAAAGGAUAGACGAGUGGAGAAAGCACCUACGCCAGGAGUCCUUUCCAGAGCAACGAAGGGUAUAAGGAGUAAAAGAAUUCCUACUCUUCGAUAUAUAACUAGACUCAAAAUAGUUUUCUUCUAGACUCAACAACGGCAGCAAUUCGAUCAAUCAAGGGGGCUCCUAAGGCCGGUAAGGCUCUAAUACCAACUUGUAGCACCCAAGAUGCGGUUCUAUCCCAAUCACGUUGUUAGGACCCCGAUCCUAAGUCACACCAAUCUAGCAUGUAACACAUCAUAUCACUUUGCGGCCUCAUGUAUGGUAUUCCCACGGGUGCCACCUUACCUGGCCUGGGACCAUUUGCGCCUUUUGGCUCACAUAUAUGAUAGUGCCGCUAGCAUCCAUAUGACAAAGAACCCGGGCUGACAUGACUAGUCAUGGACCCAAAGUGGCGCUAACUUACAACGACAUGUAUACAUGACCCAACAAUGAAUGUGUCGAUCCACAAAGUAUGAACCCAUGUCGUAGCAAGCUACAUGGACUUAAAGCAACAACGCGUGACAUUUCCCCAAAGGGACAGACAUAGGAACGAAGGACACAUGCCAGCCAGCCUAAGUGUUCCUGAGCAGUAGUAAGCUACCAUGGCUCAGUGGAAGCACUAGGAGACAUUUCCCGGUAAGAAAGGCUACCAAGGAUGAACAACUAGGUUGUCAGAUCCCACACAUGCCAAGCAUUUCAAAUCAUACACACAAUAUGCUUGAUAUGUGCAAAUACAACAUGACAUCACAACAUAACUCUAUGAUUCAAAUUAUUUAUUCAUUAGGCUCCAAGGAGCCAAGUAUACAAACAUAGGUCUCAUGACCCAACAUUCAUAACAUACAAGUCAAAGCACAUGCGGAAGCUUAUCUUGUCUGAGUACAGACAUCUACAAAUGAAAAAGACUGAGAAGCCUGACUAUCUAUCAGAUCCUGUAGAGGGCACAAGAUCGUAGCUGAAGUAACAAGCUAAACAUCGAAGUCCACGCGGAACUACUAGCAAGACUGAAGUCUCUCUGCAAAAACAUAAAUUAAGAAAAUGUGAGUACAAAUGUACCUAGCAAGACUUACAUCAGAACUAACUACAUAUGCAUCAUUAUGAACAAAGGGAUGGUGGGGUUUAACUGCAACAAGCCAGCUGACUCGAUGGCUAUCCUGAACUACGACUGCAAGUAACUCCUUUGAGGUGGCGCACACGAGUCCACAUAUUCACCAUAUCAAUAAACCACUAUGGAUCCACUCCCGUCUCUCUACGAGAACGCCAUCCAUAGCACUCACGCUUAUCUUGCACAUUUUAGAGUAUCCAUUUUCACUUGUCUAUGAACUGUAUAGACAACCUAGAAGUCCUUUACCGCGGACACGGUUAUUCGAAUAGAUGAUGUUAACCCUGCAGGGGUGUACUUAUUCACACACGCUCUCACCACUUAUCGUCGUUUACAUGACAUGUACUCGGCAAUCUUCAAGCGGAAGCCCAACGAGGGUGUCGGCCACGGCCUACCUAAACACUCAAGUCUCUAGUCCAGGUUUAUCGCCUAUUUAGGUUCCAUCCAUAGGGAGUACAGCCGAGGUUUCCACAUACGGCCCCGAACGAUGUGUGCAGGGUUCCCAAGACACCAAACGGGCGCCGGUACACCGUGCCACAUGCCUACCGCAUCACAGCCCACCCCUCGGGUGAGCGCUGCACAUGGCCUCCAGCAUAUAACAAACACCAGAAACUACUUGCAACUCCUGGACAGAGGACAAGGGUGGUUAAGAAGCUGAGAGGGUCCAUUGAUUUCGGGCCCAACGCGUGGUAGUAGCUGUUCAUGGAUCACAAACACAGAACUCAGUUCCUGAGGACGGCUUCAAUAAGACAACCCACCAUGUACUCCCACAUGGCCUCUCACCGCUACCUUUACCAAAUCGUCUUCACACACUUAGCUUACACACAGUAGGACAUGUUCAUCACUGUUCCAAAUCAUCCCCGAUGAAUCAGACCUGACACAACUCUAAGCAUAGCAGGCAUGACAUACAGGCAUGAAUGAGUAGGCACAUCAGGGCUCAAACAACUCCUACUCAUGCUAGUGGGUUUCAUCUAUUUACUGUGGUAAUGACAGGUCACGUAGAGGAAAGGGGUUCAACUACCGCAACAUGUAACAGUUGAAUCAUUGUUGUCCUAAUGAAGUAAAAGAGAGUAGGAGCGAGAGAGUGGGAUUGUAUCGGAAUGAACAAGAGGGUUUUGCUUGCCUGGCACUUCUAAAGAUGAUAUAGCUCUUCAUCAGUGUCAUCGAACUCAUCGUCGGAACACGUCUAUCGAGAGGGAACAACCACCGGCAACAGAGAAGGAACACAAUCAAUGCAAUGCACAAUAUGAUGCAUGAUUAUGACAUGGCAAUAUGAGUGUUUUGGCUUAAUGCAACUACAACCAGUUGGGUUUGAGUUAUUUUGAACCCAAGGUUCAAGUUCAAACUCAAACUAUGAAUUUAUAAAGUGCAUUAUCAUGUUUUGAUAUAAUAGCAGGUUUAAGUUGCUGUAACAUGCAUGAAACUAGUGCAGAUGGAUAGAUUUGAUUUUUCUGAUCAUUUUUCAUAUAUAACUUAUUUUAUUCUGAGUUAUAGAUUAAUUUCUUUGAUUUUUAGAAGUUCAGAGCAUUUUUUGGAAUUUCCUGAAUUAAGUUUAAACGAAAAACUGACUUAUUGCGUCAGCAUUAGGUCAUGCUAACCUCAGCAGGUCAACAGGCACUGUCCAGGUCAAACCUGACCAGUGGGGCCCACUGGUCAGUGACUCAGUUUAUUAACUAAGUUAGUUAGUGUUAGGUUAAGCACUAAGGUUAGUUAGGGGCUGGGCCCACUGGUCAGUGUCUAAACUAACUGUCAGGGUUAAUUAGCACUAACCUAAACCUAACUAAAGAUUUACAGGGGCGGGCUCGCGCGUCAGUGACCCUUGGGGGGUCAAACCCCAGGUCAAACGAGUUAACCUCGCCGGACUUGGUCCACGCCUCAUCGCCGGCGAUGCCAGAGAUGGCAGAGGGCGUCGGGAUUCCUCCACCAGUGACCAAAUGACCAGCGGAGGGCAUCUACAUGCUGCUGGUGAACUCGCGCAUUGUGUGGAGCAAGCGGUGUGUGAGGGGGUGGCCAGAGAUGAUGCCGACUUCGAGCCAGGCGGCGGACGGACUUCGGGCAUGCACGGAAACGAGGCUACGAAGAACGGCAUGAGGAUUUGGUGGGUGUGCUCGACUCCUGAGAGUGCACUGAGCACGGCUAUGUGCUCGGUUGCAGCUCUAGGUAACGGUGGCCAUGACGGCGACAUGGCCGGCGGUGAAGAGCUCUCGGCUCCGACGGGCAUCGGUGUUAGAGGAAGAAAAUGAGCCAGGGAGAGGGGGGAUCAACACAGAGCUCACAGCGCGUUGAAUGGAGCCGUUAGCGAGCUCAGGGAGGCACUGGAGCGAGCGGAGCAGCGAGGGGGAUCUACAGCGGCCGGCGAUGAAAACGGAGAUGGUGGCGUCACUUUAGGCGUUCCGCGGGGCGCGUGACUUGGUGGAGAGGGCGAGGGCGUCGAGGCGAAGCUCGUGGGCACAUCAAAGAGGCGAGGGGAGGUGGUGGCUGUGUCUACGGCGAGCGGCAGUGACGGCCUCCUCUCGGUGAGCACAGAAGCGAGAGUAAGAGGGGACGAGGACGAGCGAGAGUGAGAGAGAGCGGCAGGGAGAUGCAUGGCACUACCAGAGAAGGCCAGGGCGUCGAGGGGGAGCGGCAAGCAGGAGGUGGCCGGGGCGCGUGGGCGCGCACGGCGGCCACACGCCUCUCGUCCUACUUGCGAGAGGUGGGAGAUAACUGGCAGCGGCGCUGCGCUGGGCCGGCCAGGUGGGCUGCAUACUGGGCCGUCUAGGUAAGCCAGGUAAGUCCUUCUCUUUCUUUCUUUUAUUUUCCGUUUUUCCUAUUUCUUUGUAAUCUUUAGGGCUUUUCUAAAAAUACCUAGACCCUUCCAAAAUUCAUGAAACUUUCUCAAGCCUAUUUUUUAGAAUAUAUCCAAUAAUAAACAUUUUAGUUUCAGAUUAUUUGGACAUUUAAAGUAUUUUAUAGCAUUUAAUUGUCCAAAUGCAAAUAACAUAUGAUUUAAUUCAAUGACCUUAUGUUAUCCUAGAAAAUUGUGCACCAUUUUUGUCAGAGGUUCUAGACCAUGGAAAAGAUGAUGAACAUUUUAGAAGGGCAUUUUAGGUUCACUGAAAAAGAUUUUAGUAAACCAUAAUUCGAUUAAGGGGGUGUUGGGGGUUCUGUCAUCCCCAACUCACCCCGACUAAACAAGAAUCUCGUCCCGAGAUUCAAGCGUAGGGUAAGAUGAGGGGGGGGGGACGCAAACUAACACAAUAUUCAUGAUCUAGGGUGCACUUCAUGAGAACGUUGAUUCGAUCACCAUCAUUGUCUCGAUGUCUUGCUCUGAGAACUCUAACUAACAUGACAACAAGAGGAAACGAAAAAAACUCUAGAAGGAGCGAUCUUCUCGAAGAUCGAACAACUCAGGAUCAACUCAUGGAGAGAGACACUGAAACAUCCUCUCGAGCUGAGACACGAAGCAUACACCUAGAGAGAUGGAGUGGAACAGAUGACGAAGGUUUGCUAGGUAGGCAACAAUCCCACACUUAAGAGGGUGGUGAAUGGUUGUCAGCGUAGCUAGGAGUUGAGUUGCCAUGAUACCAUAACAAGACAUGUUGGAGGGGGUGACUCAUAGAAUUAUUACCUUAAGUGGCAACAAGUAUUACUUUUGAUUUAGAGAACAUUAAGGUUCUCUAUACCAGCCUGGGUUAAUUCACCAACAAUCGUUUGGCGGAGUACGAAAGGAUGACAUAUUCGGACUAGACUGGAUGAUGUGGAUUACCUUGUUGAAGACAACACAAGGGGUGAUUUUGCUUAUCACCGGAAAUGGAUGGAACCCAAGGUAGGAUGGCACAAUGGUGGUGCAGGCUGGGAACAAAAUGCAAAUGCUAGGAAUGAUUCUAGUGACUGGGGAGAAACCCAAUAGUAGAUAGUGAUUCCACUGUUGGAAUGGUUAUAGCAUAACCGAAGAAAAUUGGGAGCAAACCCCAAUUAAUGCCGAUGAUGAAACCUGGGCUUGCGCGUGGUCUCAAGAACUUAAGCAUUUCCAUAUUCAUCAGGGUUUUACCAACAUCCAAGACAAGGAUCUUGGCAACACAACAUACCACCAUAAUGGACAUUGGUGGAGGAUGCAGAUGCAAAGGAAGAUAACACUUUCUUAGAUUUCCCUUAGCGACGCCAAGGGGACAAAAUCUGGAUUAUCGACCGAGAAACAUUUAGCACUCCGCUUCUAAUGUUCUCCUUGGUGUACUAGUGUAACCCAUUUAUAUAUAUGGUUUGGUGUUUAGGACAUCAAGUAAAAGGUCGUACUUUGGGAGCGCAAGAAUCCAUAAGGAAUAACUACGAAAGUAAAUCCUACAAAAUCCUCAUGGGGAGGUGACCAACUUACUCAAUCAAGAUACUACAAUAAUAGAUCUUCUGACUAGGUGUGUCGGCCAGAACAUCAACCUUGUCAGGACCUACAUAGUAGAUCUUGGAAAAAUUCCAACCAUAAUAUUUGCCUGAGACUCAGAUCUGGUUGGUAACAUGAUAUUCCAGACUCAUCAAGUCUAGUAGGAAAAAAAUGAAAGUUUGCAAAACAAAUCGACGAGAUGACGUUGCGAGAUUCUCGGGAAAUGAACUACGAUAGCAAGCUCCAAAAUACGAGCUGGUUCUGGUACAAACAUGUGAACAUGUUGUCCCAUACAAGCAUGAUCACAUGGUAGUCUUACAACGAAACACUACCGAGUUCUGGUUGGGAACCAUCAUCGAGGAUAACAAAAUCUUGUACAAAUCCUGCUGGUACCUUCAGGACUAGCACUUAGAACUUAUUAUCCUUGAAAAAAUCAAUCAGUGGCUUGGUGUGCUAGGAACACAUAUAGAAUGGAGGUGGCCAACCUACCAAACCAUAGAGUACUUCGCACCUGUGCAUGACCAACUUGGGACGAUUCCAGAGGAAGCAAAAACAAUCGUUCGCGGAUCCACGACGGCAACUUACAUCAUGUGCACGUGAAUUAGAGAAUGUCACUCCUUUCAUACAAGCAUAUGCUUCAUGAAUGUGAUAUGAAGAUAAUGCUUAUAAAGUUUCCAAUACUAACUGGAUGUUCCAGACAAAUCAUGGAGAAGAUAACAAUGUUGCUGAUGGGCUCAACAACAAUUCAUCCAGGUUUCCAUAUAAGUGGAAUUCCACAAUUAUGUGAACAAGAUGAUAGCAUCGGUCAGACCCAAAGAUAUAAUGGUGUAUGCUUGAGGGAUCAACCACAAGUAAGACAACAUUACAAUUUCGUUGGUUCUGAUUUGAUUUGAUGAUAGCCCAUACUCAAAUCAAUGAUUGGAUAAAACAAUAGCGUCGAUAAUUGAUCACGAGGAUCAAUCGAUGAAGAUAUCAUCUUUCUUCAACACACACACACAAAAUAUCCCUUAAAAUGAGCUAAGUCGGGCAAGCUUUUAUCUUCCAACUCUCCAAGUUGUUGUUUAGCUUAACCAACUAGCUCGGGGUAUCCGACACAGAUUCUUGGAGAAGGGGUGGUUCAUAGAGAAACCAACUUGAUCACGAACUCAACAUAGCGGUCAGGUGACAACCUGGUGAUACUUCCGAGAAGUCAUUCAGAAAAUCACGAACCACCGAUAUGUUACUAAGCUUGAGAACAAUCUUGCUUUCGAGACAAGACAAUAUGAUCAAAAAAGCAAGGGAUUGACACAAUCCUAACUCAUUGAUCGGAGAGUGCACCAGAAAUAAGGACUAGGUAGCACGAUCAACCUUAGGGUGAUGAUUCAAUAAUCAACACGCUAAGAAUGAGGUUAUUGCCCAAUUAACUACCAAGCAACAAAGUUGCUGGAAGUAUAGAUUUCACACAUCACGAUUCACUUGUCGGUGUUCCGGUUACAAUAACGUGGGGACCGAGAAAUGAAUAAUGAUGGUGAGAAGUAACAUUGUAUCAAGAGUUCAUAGGAUGGUGUGCAAUUCCCAUGAUAUUCUUACUAUAAAGAUGGUAAUACUCCAAGGUAGAAUAGAACAAAAGCUGGAUUAGCAAUUUGAUCUGGGGAGUACGACUGCUUUGACCGAAUCCCGAAAAUGGAUAAGGUACUGAAGUUUGUUUCUGCUAGUCAUUCCGGAACAGAAUGGCUUGGCGGACCACAGGAGUAAAAGGCAUCGAUGAAAACGAGUGCACGACUACUCCUGACUAUCAAUUGAUAGACGAGGGUCAUAAUACAACUAAAGGUGGACAACUCAAGGAACAUAUGAUUAUCUAAGUUGUGGAUGCAUGGUUUAGCAUGUCGAACGAAGUUCAGCAGGUCUCUUCCGGAUAACCCAUGCAGAAAGGUAGGACUAUCAGACUCAGAAUGCAGAAUGGAGAACUCAUCAAGAGCACUCUUAUUGUGAUCUUUUGGUUCAAAAGAACUUCUGCCAAAAAUGGUUAAUGGUAUUUGGAAGAAUGGUAUACCAUGGACCUUGAGGACUAUCACAAAGGUUACUAAUAACCUAAAGGAAUGAGCAAACACUAACACCAUGAAAUAAGUAGGAUGAAUCUUGGGUUCAAAAACCCAGGAAUAGAAUACCUACUAACUAAGUGGCAUCACGGGAUGCUUUCAAGAAUAACGGCCAGAAUCAACACACUGUGGAUACAAACACAUGGACGAAUUACUAGGUGAUACUCUAGACACCUAGGGUCAUAAUAAUAGCUCCAACAUAUACAUAGAGGCAAUAAAGUACCUCAACUCACUGAUUAGUGUGGUUAAUCUGGCCUAAGGAACAUCGAAACUAGAUGGAAAGGAUUUUGCAAAUGCAUCAGAUUGUUUAGAAACCUGGGACGACUCGGACAACAUAACGGUUGUAAAUGCUCAGGAAGAUUUGAGGCAUCUUGCAAAAUGGUGGCAUGACCACUCAGAAGCACAAUAUCAAGGUUCUGAGGCCAGUUAUGAACACAUGAAAAUAGUAGGGACUGAACUGAGGCUUGAAUCCAUCAAUCCUAAAAGUCUACGGAUUAGUAACACGUGAUCCUGAUAGAAGGAAGAGAAUGCCUAGUUCUUAACCCCGUAGGAAAGAUAGGAUGACUCGGAUUAGAGGGCAUAAGGUGUAUGGAGUAAAAAGAGCCUUAGGUUCCCAUCCACAAACAGUUCCCUUAUAUAACUAGAGAAUUUUUAGACUCAACUUCGACCAGUUUUGCUUGGUAAUCCUACAGGCAGCCAGGCUCUGAUACCAAAGCUGUCAGGACCCCGAUCCUAAGUCACACCGAUCUAGAACGUAACACAUCAUAUCACUUUGCGGCCUCACGCACGGUAUUCCCAUGGGUGCCACCUUACCUGGCCCGGGACCGUUUGCGCCUUUUGUAUCACGUAUAUGAUAGUGCCGCUAGCAUCCAUAUGUCAAAGAACCCGGGCUGACAUGACUAGUCAUGGACCCAAAGUGGCGCUAACUUAUAGGGACCGACAUACAUGACCCAACAACGAACGUGUCGAUCAACAGUAUAUGAACCCAAGUCGUAGCAAGCUACAUGGACUUAAACGAACAACGCGUGACAUUUCCCUGAAGGGACAGACAUAGGAACGAAGAAGGACACAUGCUGGCUAGCCUAAGUGUUCCGGAGCAGUAGCAAGCUACCAUGGCUCAGUGGAAGCACUAGGAGACAUUUCCUGGUAAGAGAGGCUACCAAGGAUGAACAACUAGGUUGUCAGAUCCCACGCAUGCCAAGCAUUUCAAAUCAUACACACAAUAUGCUCGAUAUGUGCAAAUACAACAUGGCAUCACAACAUAACUCUAUGAUUCAAAGUAUUUAUUCAUUAGGCUCCAAGGAGCCAAGUAUUACAAACAUAGGUCUCAUGGCCCAACAUUCAGAGCAUACAAGUCAAAGCACAUGCGAAAGCUUAUCAUGUCUGAAAACAGACAUCUACAAAUGAAAAAGACUGAGACGCCUAACUAUCUAUCAGAUCCUGCCGAGGGCACAAGAUCGUAGCUGAGGUAACAAGAUAAACUUCGAAGUCCACGCGGAACUACUAGCGAGACUGAACUCUCUCUGCAAAAACAUAAAUUAAGCAAACGUGAGUACAAAUGUACCCAGCAAGACUUACAUCAGAACUAACUACAUAUGCAUCAUUAUCAACAAAGGGAUGGUGGGGUUUAACUGCAGCAAGACAACAUUGAUUGGUGGCUAUCCUGAACUACAACUGCUUGUAACUCCUUUGAGGUGGCGCACAUGAGUCCACAUAUUCACCAUAUGAAUACACCACUAUGGAUCCACUCCCGUCUCCCUGCGAGAACGCCAUCCAUAGCACUCACGCUUAUCUUGCGCAUUUUACAAUAUCCACUUUCACUUGUCUAUGAACUGUAUAGACAAUCAGAAGUCCUUUACCGCAGACAUGGCUAUUCGAAUAGAUGAUGUUAACCCUGCAGGGGUGUACUUCUUCACCACUUACCGUUGUUUACACGACAUGUACUCGGCAACCUUUAAGCAGAAGCCCAACGAGGGUGUCGGCCAUGGUUUAUUGCCUAUUCAGGUUCCAUCCGUAGGGAGUCCAGCCGAGGUUUCCACAUACGGCCCUGAACGAUGUGUGCAGGGUUCCCAAGACACCAAAUGGGUGCCCGAUACACCGUGCCACGUGCCUACCGCAUCAUAGCCCACCCCUCGGGUCAGCGCUACGCAUGGCCUCCAACAUGCUAGAAACACCAGAAACUACUUACAACUCCUGGAGAGAGGACAAGGGUGGUUAAGAAGACGAGAGAGUCCAUUGGUUUUGGGCCCAACGCGUGGUAGUAGCUAAUCUUGGAUCACAAGCACAGAACUCAGUUCCUGAGGACGGCUUCAAUGAGACAACCCACCAUGUACUCCUACAUGGCCUCUCACCGCUAACUUUACCAAAUCGUGUUCACAAACUUAGCUUACACACAGUAGGACAUGUUCAUCACUGUUCCAAUUCAUCCCCGAUGAAUCAGACCUGACACAACUCUAAGAAUAGUAGGCAUGACAAACAAGCAUGAAUGACUAGGCACAUCAGGGCUCAAACAACUCCUACUCAUGCUAGUGGGUUUCAUCUAUUUACUGUGGCAAUGACAGGUCAUGCAGAGGAAAGGGGUUCAACUACGCAGCAUGUAACAGUUGAAUCAUUGUUGUCCUAAUGCAAUAAAAGAGAGCAGGAUCAAGAGAGUAGGAUCGUAUCGGAAUGAACAAGGCGAUUUUGCUUGCUUGGCUCUUCUGAAGAUGAUAUAGCUCUUCAUCUAUGUCAUCAAACUCAUCAUCGGAACAUGUCUAUCGAGAGGGAACAACCACCGGCAACAAAGAAGGAACACAAUCAAUGCAAUGCACAAUAUGAUGCAUGAUCAUGACAUGGCAAUAUGAGUGGGUUGGCCUAAUGCAACUACAACCAGAUGGGUUUGAGUUAUUUUGAACCCAAGGUUCAAGUUCAAACUCAAACUAUGAAUUUAUAAAGUGCAUUAUCAUGUUUUGAUAUAAUAGUAGGUUUAAAUAGCUUUAACAUGCAUGAAACUAGUGUAGAUGGGUAGAUUGGAUUUUUCUGAUGAUUUUUUAUAUAUAACUUAUUUCAUUCUUAGUUAUAGAUUAAUUUCUAUGAUUUUUACAAGCUUAGGGCAUUUUCUAGAAUUUCCUAAAUUAAGUUUAAUCCAGAAAAUGACUUAUUGCAUCAGCAUUAGGUCAUGUUGACCUCAACAGGUCAAUAAGCGCCGUCUAGGUCAAACCUGACCAGUGGGGCCCACUGGUUAGUGACUCGGUUAAUUAACUGAGUUAGUUAGUGUUAGGUUAAGCACAAACCUAGGUUAGAUAGGGCAUGGGCCCACUAGUCAGUAUCUAAACUAACUGUCAGGGUUAAUUAGCACUAACCUAAAUCUAUCUAAAGAUUAACAGGGGUAGGCCCGUGCAUCAGUGACCCUGGGGGAUCAAACCCCAGGUCAAACGAGUCAACCUCGCCGGACUUGGUCCACGGCUCGUCGCCGUCAAUGCAAGAGACGUCGGAGGGCGUCGGGAUUCCUCCUCCGGCGACCAAAUGGUCCGCGGAGGGCACCUACAUGCUGCUGGUGGUGAACUCGCGCAUCGAGUGGAGCAAGCGGUGUGUGAGGGGGUGGCCGGAGAUGACGCCGGCAUCGAGGUAGGGGCCGACCGAAGUUCAGGCAUGCACAGAAACGAGGCUACGGAGCACAACCUGAGGAUCUGGUGGGUGUGCUCGGCACCUGGGAGUGCACGGAGCAUAGCUGUGUGCUCGGUUGCAGCUCUAGGAAAUGGUGGCCAUGGCGGUGACAUGGCCGGCGACGAAGAGCUCUCGGCUUCGACGAGCAUCAGCGUUAGAUGAAGAAAACAAGCCAGGAGAGAGGGGGGAUCGACACAGGAGCUCACAAUGCGUCGAAUGGACCCGUUCACGAGCUCAGGGAGGCACCAGAGCGAGCGGAGCAGCGAGGGGGAUCUUCGGCGACCGACGAUGAAAACGGAGACGGUGGCGUCGCUUCAGACGUUCUGCAGGCGCUUGACUUGGUGGAGAGGGCGAGGGCAUCAAGGCGAAGCUCGUGGGCACGUCGAAGAGCCGAGGGGGAGGCAGUGGCUGUGUCUACGGCGAGCGGUAACGACGGCCUCCUCUUGGUGAGCGCAGAAGCGAGAGGGAGAGGGGACGAGGACGAGCAAGAGUGAGAGAGAGGGGCAGGAAGAUGCGUGGCGCCACCAGAGAAGGACAGGGUGUCGAGGGGAGCGGCAAGCAGGAGGUGGCCGGGGUGCGUGGGCGCGCACGGCAGCCACACGCCUCUUGUCCUACUAGCGAGAGGUGGGAGAUGACUGGCAGCGGCGCUGGGCUGGGCCGGCCAGGUGGGCUGCCUACUGGGCCGUCCAGGUAAGCCAGGUAAGUCCUUCUCUCUCUUUCUUUUAUUUUCUAUUUUUCCUAUUUCUCUGUAAUCUUUAAGGCUUUUCUAAAAAAAACUAGACCCUUCCAAAAUUCAUGAAACUUGCUCAAGCCUACUGUUUAGAAUAUAUCCAACAAUAAACAUUUUAGAUUCAGAUUAAUUGGACAUUUAAGAUAUAUUAUAGCAUUUAAUUGUCCAAAUGCAAAUAGCAUAUGAUUUAAUUUAGUGACCUUAUGUUGUCCUAGAAAAUUGUGCACCAUUUUUGUCAGAAGUUCUAGACCAUGGCAAAGAUGAUGAACAUUUUAGAAGGGCAUUUCAGGUUCAUUGAAAAAGAUUUUAGUAAACCCUAGUUGGAUUAAGGGGGUGCUGGUGGUUCUGUCAUCUCCAAUUCAAAUUCAUUUGAAUUGUAAACAUGAUGACACGAGAAUCAAGCAAGGCAACAGGGGCUGAGCUAGGGCUGUGACACACGUGAUGAAUUCAUGAUCGGGGCACAACCGCAUUUUGAGCGCAUCACAAGGUGGAUAUCAUUACAACAUACCAUGUACCGAAUAGAUGAGAAUACAGGAUAAAGGCUUACUCUUGCCACAAGUUACAACAUUCAUACAACAAUACAUCAAUACAUGUCAUACAUCAAGCAGAAGAGCAGGAUCCGACUACGGAUGAAAUCAAACUAAAAAGGAGGACGACAUCCACUCUGCUAGCCCAGGCUCCCGACCCGGAACCUAAAUCCCUUGAUCAAAGAAGAAGCAAAAGAAGAACUCCAAGACAAGCAUACAUCGUUGUCACGUUAGAUGAUCGCAUUACCUCUAGCUGCAACUGUUAUUGUCACACCCUGAUUUUCAUGGCACAACACUUAAGCUAAUAAAUCAUGAUAAAUUGUGGUUUGACAAAAACUUUUGUGUGUUUUGGUCUUUGCUUGAUUUGAUUUUGUCUGCUGUUUGCAAGUGCUCUAAAAAUCAAAUAAAUCCUCCAACUCUUAUACUCCUUCUCCUUGAUGCAAAAACCUUGCCCAAUGAUCAUGCCAUGUGUAUAGGACAUAAAAAUAUUUUCUUCCAAAAAUAAUUUGGCCAAAUAGUAUUUUCAAAAAUUAGUUUUCCAAAACCCUCUAACUUGAGAUUUGCACUGCAAGUACUUAAUUAAGGGCAGUAAAAAUAUUUCCAAAAAUAUAUUUGACUCCUAUUAGAUAUAGGACACCCAUAAACCCCCAAAAAAUACAAUUUUAAAACUUAUUUUAUUAUUUUAUUUAAAGGCUUUUUCUCAAGGUCAGAAAUGGUCUUUAAUAGGUUAAAAUUAUUUUAAAGCUUCAAAAAUAUUUGAGAAAAAUCAGGGAAACUGAGUGGACAUAUAUUUUACAUAUAAGAGUUUCAACACAUGGUCAUGUUCAAAAUAUUGGUCAAAACCCUCAAAAACCCUUUCUGGAUAUUUCAAGCUUUUGAAAUAUUUACAAAGGAAAUAUUCUCUAAAAAUUUCAAGAAAAUUCUAGCAUGUCAAAUAUGACAUGUUUGAUGAUCUUGAAAAGUAUCAUGUCUUGGAGAACAAUAUAACAUCAUCAAAUCCCCUCAAAACCAUUUCUGUCCAUUUUGAAGUUUGACCAACUUUACAUUGCCAAACAUGUCCAAAUAUUCUCAAACCUUGUGAACAUGCUCAAAUGGUCUAAUAAUUCAUCUAGACCAAAUGGUACAAGUUUGAGAAAAUGUUAUCUUGAUCAAAGUGCCCCAAAACCCUUCCUGUCCAGAACCAAAUUUGAACAACUCUACAUUGGCAACUUUCUCCUUUUGAUCUCAAAUUUUGUGGACAUGUUUAGAACCUCAAAUGAUGACACUACACCAAGUGGUGCAUCAAGGAGAAUAGAUUUGCAUGGCUAAAUCUUGGAAAGUACAUUUCUGUUGAUUUCUAAGGUUUACCAAAGUUGCAUUGUCAACUUUCUUCAAAUGGGCUCCAACUUGGUGAUCAACCUCAUUUCUAUAUGACACUUGAUCCUGUUAAUCUUCAUAUCAUUUGGAAUCCAUUUGCUUGCCCAAACCACCAUCAAACACCUUCUGGUAGAAACUUAAAAUGCAUGUUUCGUCCAUUUCCACUAAUCUCCAUGAGCUCAACUUGUUACCACAGCCUCAUCUGCUCCUCCUUUACCUCCUGCAUGCUUGGCUGCCCAAGGGGCAAUGAUUAAGGGGGGCAGAGACCCAUUUUCCUCUCUGGACAGCCACCUCCCCCUCCCUUUCUCAUCUCUCUCUCACUCCUGGCAAGUUCCAGAGCAUCCAAGGCCUCCACCUCUCUUGUUUAUUCCUCCUUCAGACGCCAGACACAAGUGGGCGCGUGAGGACGUGAGAAAAAGCCGUGGGUGCCGGCCACUUGCGCGCUCUGGAGCACGUCAGAGUGCUCCUGACCGUUGACGCCGCGUCCCCCGACCACCUUGAGCCUCCCCCUUGCACCAGUCGAGGUGCCUCGACGUCCGCAACACGCCACCAUGUUGGCCCCCUCCUUCCCCUCUAUGUCCUGCCCGUGCCACGCGUGCCCAGAGCCGCCCAAGCCCGCCAAUGCGCGCGCGAGCUCGUCGCUCCACCCGGAGCUCGCCCCGCUCCCUCUCUUCGUUCUUGGCGCCCUACUCGACUCCCACGAAUGCCGUAGACAGACCCGAGCCUCCUCCCGUGGCCAUUGCAGCCAUUUCCGCGGGUGCCCGUAGGCCACGUCCACGGUGAGCCACGACCUCGCUAUAUAAGGCCACCCGAGGCCUAUCUCUUGAGCUCUUUCGCCCUCUCUCCCUCCCGUACGUCACCCAGACCCAGCCAACCCUCUCGCCGAGCCCUCCGUUGCUCCCCAUGGCCGGAGCCGAGCCGCCGGACUCCGCCUAAGUUCGGGCUAUCCCGAGCCUCUCCUCUCUCCCUAGCCACUCCAGUGCCCCCUCACCACCACCACCGACUCGCCCCGCACUCCAUCCUCUCCUCCUCAUGCCUUCCUCGCCUUGCCAAACCCCGCCGUCAGCCCUGGUCCGCCGCACCUAAAGCCAUCCUCUUCUCGGGCUCCCUCGUGGGCGUGCAGCACAUGGACGGGUGCGCCGCGGCGCGCUGAGUCCGCCGGUGUGCCGGGCGCCGCUGGAGGUGGCCCGUGCUGCCCGGGAGAGCGCCGACGCCCGCUCAGCCUCUCCUCCCAUGCCUCUGCUAUGUUCGAGCGGGAGGUAGGAGACGGCCUGAGCACCGGGCCCUGCUCGUCGGCGACUCGGUGGGCGGGCCCCGCCUGUUUAAGUGGAGACGGACCGGGAGUAAACCCGCUUCCCGCAAAGCGAAGGCGUACUCCGUUCGGGGUGCCUUCGACGUUGCCCUACCACCCGCGCAGCUGAGCCACUGGGCCGGCCCAAUGCCCAUCCCUCGCCCAGUGCGUAGAAUAAGGGUAUAACCUUUUCUUAUUUUCUUUUCCCAGAUGACUUGUAAAAUCCUCAAAUAAUCCAAAUGAUAUCCAAAUUUGAUGAUUCAAAUUUCUAGUGACUCCAUAAAUCAUGCUCUACCUGGUGGUGCAACAUGCACAUUUUUCCAGGAAACCUUUUCUCACACAAAUUAAAUAAAUUCCAUUUUUUUCAUUUCUGUGAUGAACUUUAGAAUAUCAUAGAGAACUCAUUUUUGAUCCAAAUUCCAUGAUUCAAAAUCCUAGAUGUCUAUAAGUUCAAAAUUUAGUUUUGGAACAUUUUUACUAAUACUUUCUGUAUCACCUCAAAUAAUGGUCUAUUUCUUCAUGUAUAGCCAACUUUGCAAAUUCAUAGGAAAUUCAUUUGAGCUCCAAAUCCAGUGAAACCAAUUCCUAGAUGCUUCUAAAAACAUGGUUUGUUAAAUGGGUGCCUUUGCUCAUUUUUCAAAAAUAUGUUUCUGUACACUUCUUACAAAUCCAUAAACCCCUUGAUUCCAUCAUAUCAAAAUGUUCAGAAAUAAUCACUGAUCCAAUUCCAAUGAAACCACUCUGGUUAUUUUUCAUAUAACCAGAGAAGUCCUAGUAAAGUCAAAUUAAUAUUUUUAGAGCACUUUUAUUUUCUACCUUGUUGUGUUGCUUAUUGUGAUUGUUUCCGACGUUAAUAGACAAAGUAGACGGAUUACUUGGAGGACUAGAAGAUUUCAAGACUCUGAUGAACCAGGCAAGCAGCCCUUUGACCAUGAUGAACCCUUUUUAUCAUAGUAACAUUUCCUUCCAUGAUUUGUUGAAUGCAUGAUAUCUUGAAUGGCAACCUUGCUAGGUUUGCCUUCGUUGCACACCCCAUUGAUACUUGCAUUGUUCAUGACUCUAUUCUUGUUUAGAGUUGUGUUGGUGAGUUGUAGAAAUAUGCUAUGGUUGUUGGCUGAGCAAAAUGGGUCAGGAUUAUGCAUGGAAAGGAACAGGUGUGGUUGACAUACUUGCAAAUAGCCCAGUGGGUGCCACUAAUGCCCCUGGGAGAUGAUGAUGAACUAGGUCACUACUUGGUGGAGAGGUAGUGUACCGAGGCUUGAUGAAAGUGUUGUUUACAGAGAUAGAUUAGAUUUAAGAUUUGUUAACUAUCCCAACCCUACAUGCGCAACCACUCUACCCUUAUAUGGGAAAGGGCAUUAUUGAUUACCUAGGCCGACACUAGCAUGGUGCCCACAUUAAUAGUGACGGGGGUGACAUGAGGUCACUCUCGGGAUGGGGUCGUGCUUGGAUAGGCGGCCAUGACUGUUUUCACAGGGCACCAGACACACCGUUGGUCCCUGCGUGUAUGUGUGAUAAUGAAAAGGGCAGAGUCCCAAGAUCUUGAUGUUUAUACACAAAGGCCGUGUACCAAUGAGUGGACCCUAUGUUAGUGUCGCCUAGGGAAAGAUGGUGAUCGGGUGCUUCCCCCGAGUACUUGAGGUACUACGGGAUCAUGGACGACACGAAAGCUUCCCGGAUCUUGUGGGUAACGUGUGCAACCUCUGCAGAGUGUCAAACUAUUCGAAUAGCCGUGUCCACGGUCAAGGACGGUUGGGUGGUGCUGCUUAGACUAUGUCCAUAUGUUUCUGACAAACAACACAGUUUGGUGAUAUUGAUGAUGUGACUCGUGAGGAAGUCACGAUGAGCUUGAGCAUGAGUUGUUCAUAACUCUUUCUCGAUGUUGAUGUCUGUAACUUCCUGAUACUUGUUGCAAACGCAUUCAUGUCCUUGAUAAAUGUUGAUCAUACUGGCAUGAGAAAAACUAGCUUUCCGCACAAUGCCAAUUAAACAGUAGAGCUUUGCAUAAUUAUUUUGUUAUCACUCUUGGGUUGCUUGCGAGUACAUGCAAAGUACUCAUUGGCUUGCCACUGGUUAUUUUAUUGGCCAGGCAUGAAAGAACAGGAUGUGAUGAAGAACACUUCAGUGACGAACAAGCGAGCUAGGACGCUUCCCAGUCAGAAUGCCUAUAGGGUUAAGGAAGAUGGCUUGGGUCCAAGUUAUCGACGGAGAUUUCCGCUGCUAUGAUAUACUCAAGACUUGACCAUAAUGGUCCUACUUGUGUAAAACGGUAUGUAUGGAUGUAAGACUCUUGUUAUUCAGCUUCUGUGUGUUCAGUGAGCAUUGAUCUCUGGGAUCACUAUACACGUGCAUUCGGUGAUCACGACUUAUGAGUCAGGGUCCCCACAGAGCUGGUAUCAGAGCAAUCCUGACUGUAGGAAGCCUUAGUUAGCAUGGUCGUUAGUUAGGGUAAAGCUAUUUUCAAAACUAUUACUAAUUUUCAAAACUAUCUAUACUUCUCUUCCCCUUCUGAGUUUUUUGAAAACUAAUAUAUACUUUCCUCUCCCCCUUCAAAUUUAAUGGUCGCUAGAAUCCUUAUGCCCCUGACCACGGGAUUCCUUGUAAUCCUCGUGGAUAAUCUAGAAGGGAGAUGCCUUGCCAGACACUCACCCACCUCUUAUGAACACAAGAUUGGCAACACCACAGCAAGACGAUGCCAACAGAAGGUACGACCUCAAGGAAUGAGGACAUGAAGACCCAGAGGAUGGUGACACCUUUGAAAUUUCCCCAGGAUUAUGAAACCUUGGCCUAUGAUGACCAGGGCAUAGGAUAAGCAAGAUCAUGAUAUACAUCGCUAGUAGAGCAACCCUGCCCUUAUCAUUGUUGCAUCGGCAACCACCGGUGGAUGAGAACCUAGCCAUUUGGUCCGCCUCACUAUAGUGAGCAGGAGAACGGUUCUCUUCAUCCCCCGCUCUCGGUGACGAUACUGGCAACAGUGUGUCCGGCAGAUUGGACCUCUACUAUGCGUUGUUAGUGUCAUUACAUAAAGGAUUGCCUACCUGGUACAAUCAACACCUUAGAAGGCAAGAGGGAUCGUCGUGAUUAAGAAGACAAGAGGAGACCAAGUCAAUGCCAGCUACGAGGAGCCACACCCCAUCACUUCAACAUGCGAGAAGUUGAUGAAGACUCUUCAGGCUCAACCUGGAUCGUUCCAUCAAACAACUACAGGAGAUGUAGCGACACCUGAGGAAAACUCAGAAGACUGCACGGGCACGGAGCAAAGCAUGACUACUGAAUCCGAGAACCCCUAGGGUAGGAUGAGUCGUGUACCCCCUAUGCGCAGUCGAGUACAUAUGAUGGUUCGAAUAGAACCAUGAUUGUGUGUUGCUUGCUUUUAAUUGUUUAUGUUUUGAUAUCAGUCGCCCUUUUGCCCCAGGCAACUAGUACGCGGAUAUAUCACCUGCCUUAUUUUAUUGUUUGUGUUUGGCCCUUCGGCACCCGUUUGUUUGCACUUGGACUAUAGAACCCCCUUUAGGCAUCCCCCUCCUCUAUGCUACUUUUCCCUCUCAUCUCUCUCUCCUCAACUGAAGACCGGAAAGAUAAGCUACACCAAGGAUUCUACCUCGGCAACCAACUAGCAAUAAAGACUUCUGCUACGAUCUCUACGACCAAGUGCAACCCCGUAGAAUUAUGUUUAACCCUCCAGAUCAGAACCCAUCCCUAGACCCUUGGGGACUUCACGAGAUACUCCAGCACGAACCCUUAAUCAUGUGCCUAACCCCCGGAAUUGCGAGAGAACCAGUUAAACCUCCAUAACCUUGCACUGGGUUCAUUAUGGAACUAGUGGACAUAGUGAACAAGCACAUUGACACCCUAAUAUAGCACAAGGACUGACGAUGUCAUAGGAAAGACCAAUUUGAGGAUAUAUGAAUAGAGGACUAAUGACUUGAUGAGUUUAUAUUAGUGACCUUGAGGAAUUAUCUGAGACUCCUUGGUGGAUCAUAAGGCUUUCAUAUUGGUAGAAGAACUUGGUGGGAUCAUGUUAAUAAGAUAGCAUGACUUUCAUUACCCCCGAGUAAAUUGGAUUUAGUAGGACAAUUAAGAUCGCAAGCUAAAGAUUCUUGGCAGUAUAAGGAUUUGACUUAGCCAGGGGGUAUCGAAAGGAGAUAGAUGAUAUUGCAAUAACGACUUGGGGAAAGGUGAAGAAAUUCUCGUUGGACAUGAGAUUUGGAUUUAAGUAGGUGAUUCUAGUUGAAUAUAGAUGAUGAUGUAUGUCUACAUGGUUCGGAGUAAAUUGUAUUUAGACUGAUGAUCUCAAUCAUGAUACCAUGUUUCUCGGUGGAUGAUAAACUAGGAGAUUGGAUUAAUUGUCGGAGUUGAUUUAGGGAUCUAUAUACGCCUGACUUUGGAGUUUACUCGACCAUGGUAAUGGAAAUUGGUGGACUGACUAUUGUAAGGCUAGACCUUUUCAAGGAUUUAAUAAUUAUAGGAUAUUAGAAGAUUUUGUGGAACACCAUAGAGAUUGGAUUUGUAGAACUACCGGAUCAUGUAGUGAUUGGUGUAUAGUUGUUGGAGUUGAUUCAUAGGAAGGAAACAAGGUUUUGGAGUGGCUUACGACGUGUUUCCUUAGGAUAGAGAUGCUUUAUCUUAGAUCUUGGAAGAAUAGGUUGAGCACUUGGACUGUCACGUUCAAGCUUAGCAGCUUGUAUAUUCUACCCAUGGAUUUUUAGGGGUAGGCAUACAUAUGAGUUUGGGGGUUGUAGACAUAUAUGAUUUUGUUAGACCUCCUCUCGAGAGUCAUGAGGAAUAAUAAUAGCAUGGGAAAUGAUUGGAGUUGACCUACACGAGUUGGUACUUUCAGUGGUAUAAGGUGAUCUGUUUGGAGGACUAGAUAGCACAAUUAGCAUCUCAGAAACUGUGCUCAAGGAUGGGGUGAUAAACAUUCACUCGCACACUAGAAUCCUUGAGACCCUUAAGCCUUACCAAGCCACAUCAUGGUAGGAUCAUGACCUUGGGCCUUGACUUUAGGUCGAGAAGACCCUAACUAAUACUCAACCGUGACCACCACCGGUACCCCAACCUAUACCCUAUGUACCCCGUGGGCAACUCUUCACGGAGUACUCGAACAAGCUGGUUGUCAUCGUUAUUUGAGGACAUACCUGUGCACCCGAAGAUGGAAGAAGAACCGUUUGGCUGGUUAGGGGAUUUCUGAAGACCGCCAUGUCAAGGAGGAAAAACUAUACCAACCACCAUUGUCAAGGAGUGAAAUUUCUCGUCGGAGACCACGUGUAUCUGCAAGCCCCACCUCUCAAAGGAACCAAGCAUUUCCAUGUCAAAGGGAAGCUCACACCAAGAUUUAUCGGCAUUCUCCAAAAUCACUACAAGACGAAGGGCAAACGGCUACCAGCUAGGAUUACCACCUGAGUCACCCAAUGUGCACAGUGUUUUUCCACACGACACCACUCCAAAAACGUUUCCAACUUUCUAACUAUUCCGGUCUCUACAAGGACAUCGAUCACCGAGCCAUCGACCUCCAGCCCGAUCCAACCUGACCUAACGCGAGAGACCCCUUAGCAACUUGGAUCAACCGAGAGCGUCAUACACGAAGCUACAACACCAGGUAUUUCAAGAUUCAAUGGAGCACCACACGGAAGCAGAAGCAUUAUGAGGACGUGAAGACUGCCCCGCAUCUAAGUUCCGUAUUCCUUUCCGCACCAAGUUUGGGAAUCUCGGGGACGAGAUUCUUGUAAGGGGGGUAGGUCUGUCACACCCUGAUUUUCAUGGCACAACACUUAAGCUAAUAAAUCAUGAUAAAUUGUGGUUUGACAAAAAACUUUUGUGUGUUUUGGUCUUUGCUUGAUUUGAUUUUUGUUUGUUGUUUGCAAGUGCUCUAAAAAUCAAAUAAAUCCUCCAACUCUUAGAGUCCUUCUCCUUGAUACAAAAACCUUUCCCAAUGAUCAUGCCAUGUGUAUAGGACAUAAACAUAAUUUCUUCCAAAAAUAAUUUGGCCAAAUAGUAUUUUCAAAAAUUAGUUUUCCAAAAACCCCUAAAUUGAGAUUUGCACUGCAAGUACUUAAUUAAGGGCAGUAAAAAUAUUUUCAAAAAUAUAUUUGACUCCUAUUAGAUAUAGGACACCCAUAAACCCCCAAAUAUAUAAUUUUAAAACUUAUUUUAUUAUUUUAUUUAAAGGCUUUUUCUCAAGGCCAGAAAUGGUCUUUAAUAGGUUAAAAUUAUUUUAAAGCUUCAAAAAUAUUUGAGAAAAAUCAGGGAAACUUAGUGGACAUAUAUUUUCCAUAUAUAAGAGUUUUAACACAUGGUCAUGUUCAAAAUAUUGGUCAAAACCCUCAAAACCCCUUUCUGGAUAUUUCAAGCUUUUGAAAUAUUUACAAAGGAAAUAUUCUCCAAAAAUUCCAAGAAAAUUCUAGCAUGUCAAAUAUGACAUGUUUGAUGAUCUUUACAAGUAUCAUGUCUUGGAGAACAAUAUAACAUCAUCAAAUCCCCUCAAAAUCAUUUUUGUCCAUUUUGAAGUUUGAGCAACUUUACAUUGCCAAACAUGUCCAAAUGUUCUCAAACCUUGUGAACAUGCUCAAAUGGUCUAAUAAUUCAUCUAGACCAAAUGGUACAAGUUUGAGAAAAUGUUAUCUUGAUCAAAGUGCCCCAAAACCCUUCCUGUUCAGAACCAAAUUUGAACAACUCUACAUUGGCAACUUUCUCCUUUUGAUCUCAACUUUUGUGGACAUGUUUAGAACCUCAAAUGAUGACACUACACCAAGUGGUGCAUCAAGGAGAAUAGAUUUGCAUGGCUAAAUCUUUGAAAGUACAUUUAUGUUGAUUUCUAAGGUUUACCAAAGUUGCAUUGUCAACUUUCUUCAAAUGAGCUCCAACUUGGUGAUCAACCUCAUUUCUAUAUGACACUUGAUCCUGUUAAUCUUCAUAUCAUUUGGAAUCCAUUUGCUUGCCCAAACCACCAUCAAACACCUUCUGGCAGAAACUUAAAAUGCAUGUUUCGUCCAUUUCCACUAAUCUCCAUGUGCUCAACUUGCUCCCAUAGCCUCAUCUGCUCCUCCUUUACCUCCUGCAUGCUUGGCUGCCCAAGGGGCAAUGAUUAAGGGGGGCAGAGACCCAUUUUUCCUCUCUGGAGAGCCACCUCCCCCUCCCUUUCUCAUCUCUCUCUCUCACUCCUGGCAAGUUCCAAAGCAUCCAAGGCCUCCACCCCUCUUGUUUAUUCCUCCUUCAGAUGCCAGACUCAAGUGGGUGCGUGAGGACGCGAGAAAAAGCCGCGGAUGCCGGCCACUUGCGCGCUCUAGAGCACGUCAGCGUGGUCCCGACCAUUGACGCCGCGCCCCCGGCCACCUCGAGCCUCCCCCUUGCGCCAGUCGAGGUGCCUCGACGUCUGCAACACGCCACCAUGCUGGCCCCCUCCUUCCCCUCUCUGUCCUGCCCGUGCCAUGCGUGCCCAGAGCCGCCCGAGCCCACCAAUGCGCGUGCGAGCUCGUGGCUCCACCCAGAGCUUGCCCCGCUCCCUUUCUUCCUUCCUGGCGCCCUACUCGACUCCCACGAACGCCGUAGACAGCCCUGAGCCUCCUAUCGUGGCCACUGCAGCCAUUUCCGCGGGUGCCCGUAGGCCACGUCCACGGUGAGCCACGGCCUCGCUAUAUAAGGCCGCCCGAGGCCUAUCUCUGGAGCCCUUUCGUCUUCUCUCCCGCCCGUACGUCACCCAGACCCAGCCAACCCUCUUGCCGAGCCCUCCGCCGCUCCCCUUGGCCGGAGCCGAGCCGCCGGACUCCGCCUAAGUUCGGGCUACCCCGAGCCUCUCCUCUCUCCCUAGCCACUCCAGUGCCCCCUCACCACCACCACCGACUCGCCCCGCACUCCAUCCUCUCCUCCUCGUGCCUCUCUCGCCUUGCCAAACCCCGCCAUCUGCCUCGAUCCGCCGCACCUGAAGCCCUCCUCUUCUCGGGCUCCCCCGUGGGCGUGCAGCACAUGAACGGGUGCGCCGCGGUGCGCUGAGUCCGCUGGUGUGCCGGGCGCCGCCGGAGGUGGCCCGUGCCGCCCGGGAGAGCGCCGACGCCCGCUCGGCCUUGCCUCCCCUGCCUCUGCUUGGUUCGAGCGGGAGGUAGGAGACGGCCUGAGCACCGGGCCCCGCUCGUCAGCGACUCGGUGGGCGGGCCCCGCCCGUUUAAGUGGAGACCGACUGGGAGUAAACCCGCUUCCCACGAAGCAAAGGCGUACUCCGUUCGGGGCGCCUUCGACGUUGCCCUACCACCCGCGCAGCUGAGCCGCUGGGCCGGCCCAAUGCCUAUCUCUCGCCCAGUGCGCAGAAUAAGGGUAUAUCGUUUUUCUUAUUUUCUUUUCCCAGAUGACUUGUAAAAUCCUCAAAUAAUCCAAAUGAUAUCCAAAUUUCAUGAUUCAAAUUUCUAGUGACUCCAUAAAUCAUGCUGUACCUGGUGGUGCAACAUGCACAUUUUUCCAGGAAACCUUUUCUCACACAAAUUAAAUAAUUUUCAUUUUUUUUUCAUUUCUGUGAUGGACUUUAGAAAAUCAUAGAGAACUCAUUUUUGAUCCAAAUUCCAUGAUUCAAAUACCUAGAUGUCUAUAAGUUCAAAACUUAGUUUUGGAACAUUUUUACUAAUACUUUCUGUAUCACCUCAAAUAAUGGUCUAUUUUUUCAUGUAUAGCGAACUUUGCAAAUUCAUAGGCAAUUCAUUUGAGCUCCAAAUCCAGUGAAACCAACUCCUAGAUGCUUCUAAAAACAUGGUUUGUUAAAUGGGUGCCUUUGCUCAUUUUUCAAAAAUAUGUUUCUGUACACUUCUUACAAAUCCAUAAACCCCUUGAUUCCAUCAUAUCAAAAUGUUCAGAAAUAUCCACUAAUCCAAUUCCAAUGAAACCACUCUGGUUAUUUUUCAUAUAACCAGAGAAGUCCUAGUAAAGUCAAAUUAAUAUUUUUAGAGCACUUUUACUUUCUGCCUUGUUGUGUUGCUUAUUGUGAUUGUUUCGAACGUUAGUUGACGAAGUAGACGGAGUACUUGGAGAAGGACUAGAAGAUUUCAAGACUCUGAUGAACCAUGCAAGUAGCCCUUUGACCAUGAUGAAGCCUUUUUAUCAUAGUAACAUUUCUUUCCGUGAUUUGUUGAAUGCAUGAUUUCUUGAAUGGCAACCUUGCUAGGUUUGCCUUCGUUGCACACCCCGUUGAUACUUGCAUUGUUCAUGACUCUAUCAUUGUUUAGAGUUGUGUUGGUGAGUUGUAGAAAUAUGCUAUGGUUGUUGGCUGAGCAAAAUGGGUCAGGAUUAUGCAUGGGAAGGAACAAGUGUGGUUGACAUACUUGCAAAUAGUCCAGUGGGUGCCACUAAUGCCCCUGGGAGAUAAUGAUGAACUAGGUCACUACUUGGUGGAGAGGUAGUGUACCGAGGCUUGAUGAAAGUGUUGUUUACAAAGACGGAUUAGAUUUAAGAUUUGUUGACUGUCCCAACCCUACAUGCGCAACCACUCUACCCUUAUAUGGGAAAGGGCAUUAUUGAUAACCUAGGCCGAUACUAGCAUGGUGCCCACAUUACUAGUGACGGGGGUGACAUGAGGUCACUCUCGGGACGGGUCGUGCUUGGAUAGGCGGCCAUGACUGUUUUCACAGGGCAUCGGACAGACCGUUGGUCCCUGCGUGUAUGUGUGAUAAUGAAAAGGGCAGAGUCCCAAUAUCUUGAUGUUUAUACAAAAAGGCCGUGUACAGACGAGUGGACCCUAUGUUAGUGUCGCCUAGGGAAAGAUGGUGAUCGGGUGCUUCCCCCGAGUACUUGAGGUACUGCCGGAUUGUGGACGACACGAAAGCUUCCCGGAUCUUGUGGGUAAAGUGUGCAACCUCUGCAGAGUGUCAAACUAUUCGAAUAGCCAUGUCCAUGGUCAAGGACGAUUGGGUGCUGCUGCUUAGACUAUGUCCAUAUGUAUUUGACAAACAACAUAGUUUGGUGAUAUUGAUGAUGUGACUCGUGAGGAAGUCACCAUGAGCUUGAGCAUGAGUUUUUCAUAACUCUUUCUCGAUGUUGAUGUCUGUAACCUCCUGAUACUUGUUGCAGACGCAUUCAUGUCCUUGAUAAAUGUUGAUCAUACUUGCAUGAGAAAAACUAGCUUUCUGCACAAUGCCAAUUAAGCAGUAGAGCUUUGCAUAAUUAUUUUGUUAUCACUCUUGGGUUGCUUGCGAGUACAUUCAAAGUACUCAUUGGCUUGCCACUGGUUAUUUUAUUGGCCAAGCAUGAAAGAACAGGACGUGAUGAAGAACACUUCGGUGACGAACACGCGAGCUAGGACGCUUCCCAGUCAGAAUGCCUGUAGGGUUAAGGCAGAUGGCAUGGGUCAUAGUUAUCGAUGGAGAUUUCCACUGCUAUGAUAUACUCAAGACUUGACCAUAAUGGUCCUGCUUGUGUAAAACGGUAUGUAUGGAUGUAAUACUCUUGUUAUUCAGCUUCUGUGUGUUCAUUGAGCAUUGAUCUCUGGGAUCACCGUACACGUGCAUUCGGUGAUCAUGACUUAUGAGUCGGGGUCCCCACAGUUAUUGUAGUAAUCUGUGAGCCACGAGGAAUCAGCAAUCCCAUUACCAUGGGUAUCAAGACAAGCAAAGCUUAAUGGGCAAGUAAUGGAUAAGUGCCGAGGUUGUAGUAAGCGACUAUGUAUGGUGGCUAACUUACGAGUACAAGAAUAAGAUGAGAAGCUACGCAAACGGUUGCAAACUAGUAAUGAUCAAGAAGUGAUCCUGAACUACUUACAUUCAAACAUAACCCCACCGUGUUCUCUUCUCGUCCCACUCGAAAAGAGACCGUCACGGUUACACAUGCGGUUGGGUAUUUUAGUUCGAAUGUGGUGUCAAGUUCUCUACAACCGGAUACUAAAAACUCGCAUCUGCCGCAUAUUCGAGGUCACGACUUUCGAAAGAUCAAACCUUGCAAGGGUGUCCCAACUUAGCCCAUUACAAGCUCACAAUCAGCGGAGACAAUCCUCCAUCGCGGGACAUCCAAUCAGACUUGGGAUCCCAGUGCACAAGACAUUUCGACAAUGGUAAAACAAAACCAGCAAGACCUCCCGGUGUGCCGACAAAUCCCGAUAGGAUCCGCACGUAUCUCGUUCUCAGGGCACAACGGAUGGGCAAGACGUCGGGUUGGCUGAAACCCUGGUUGCCCAGGGGGCGCCGAACAUCGCCCAGGUUGGACCAACACUUAGAGGAGCAUUGGCCCGGGGUUGAUUAAAAAUCCUAGGGGUCCGGAGAAAAUCCCCUAUUUAAGUUUUAGUUAUUAUUAGGCAAAUGGAAAACCAAUGUUGGGCCUUGCUGGAAGAGUUUUAUUCAAGGCGAACUGUCAAGAGGGCCCCAUACCCCUCACCGUGUUAGGGAUGCAAAAUCAAGGAAUAUAACACCGACAUGACGGAAACUAGGGCGGCAGGAGUGGAACAAAACACCAGGCAUAAGGCCUAGCUUUCCACCCUUUACCAAAUAUAUAGAUGCAUUAAUUAAAAUAAGAGAUAUUGUGAUAUCCCAAGAUAUCCAUGUCCCAACAUGGAACAACCUGCAACUACACCUGCAACUAGCAACGCUAUAAGAAGGGCUUGUCGGAGUAAUGGGCCACGGGUAGGCUGAACCGAGCCCCAGAACCUUUUCAAGACAUCGGGGCAGGCCGCGCCCCUCAAAGCCGAGUCCCAGAUGAGGACUCCCAGAUGAGCCGAGUCUCAGAUGACGACUCCCAGAUGAACCGAGUCUCAGAUGACGACUCUCAGAUGAGUCGAGUCUCAGAUGACAACUCCCAGAUGAGCCGAGUCUCAGAUGACGACUCCCAGAUGAGCCGAGUCUCAGAUGAUGACUCCCAGAUGAGCCGAGUCUCAGAUGACGACUCCCAGAUGAGCCGAGUCUCAGAUGACGACUCCCACAUGAACCGAGUCUCAGAUGAUGAGUCCCAGAGGAGCCGGCUAUAGAGAGUCGGCCCACGACUCUACACUCAUUGCGGGUACAACCACGGCGUGGCCGUCACCUCCUGCUUGCGAGGAGCCGGCGUGGCUACAGUGUGCCGUACCGCCGGAGAUCUCUGGCGUGGCCCGACACUGUAGCCAUGCCAGACCUGACCUCGGCCACAGUGCGCGACGCACUGUGGCCACGAUGGCCUACCUAUACAGCUCAGAGAUGGCGGACCUGCCAGUCAGUGAGAGCUAGAAGACGGCGGAUACGCCCCAAAGGCGGCCCCGUGGGAGUCGGCUCCCCGAAGUCGGCCAAGCCCCUCUCACGGGUCCCACGCGCCAUUAACCAGACAAGAUGGGGAGUAACGACAGUGAUCGCCCGAUAGACGGCGACACUGUUGCCACGAUCCAAUGACCAAGCCUGCGUCAUCAGAGGCACGACUAUAGUGCCGAACUCGCCGGCAGGGCCCGCGAGUCGGCGGGCCCCAUCAGUCGGCGGAGAAGACGGCGACCUGUGAGACAGACGGCUGGGACCCGCGCCCAGCCGGAUUACCAUUGUAUCCCCGGGGGGUAGGCCUAUAUAAACCCCCCGGGGCACCCAUGCAAAGGGUUGGCAUCCAUUAGCCUUAGACCAGAUCACAUAGGAAGAAGAAGGCUAGCCUUGCCUCCUUCCACCUCCAGAAUACAGCUCUAGGAGCGACCUUGUAGUCACUACGCUUUAGUGAUUGCCGAGACCCCGCAGAGCAGCAGUAGGGGUGUUAUCUCCCCGGAGAGCCCUGAAGCUGGAUAAGAUUCGCCGGCGUGCAUGCCUUCGCCUAAUCCCGUUUCCUGGCACCGGCGAUGCUCUACUCGCUCCCACCAUGAUAAGCCAUCCUUUGGCAUAUGUCGCACCCAACCCCCGACAUUUGGCGCCCACCGUGGGGCGAGGUGCACCGUCGUCCGGACACCUGCUUUGGACGGGAACCCUUUUCCUCCCCCGUGAGCAUAGCCAACCCGGCACGCCCGAUGGCACUUGCCCUGACGCGCUGCAAAACGUCGACGACGCCUGCGCGGCGAGCUGCCUCGCUGACCUUCUCGGCGAGGUUAGCAUCUCCGACGAGCCUGCAUCCGAUGCGGGCACGGGCGGCCCCGAAAGCCUCCUCGACCAUCUUCACGUCGCCGGCGAGCCUGCCGUGGACUUGGAGUCCAUAGGCUCCACUGACCCGAUGCUGGUCGACUCCGACGGCGUGUCACUUGACACGUUCCCCUACAACGUGGUGAUCUACGACGAGCCGCUCCCUCGCGAGGCGAGCGGCGGAAGCUCCAUCACGGAAGUGCUCGUCAUCAGUCAUGGCGAGCUCUCCGGUGAAGGAGCUCAUGACCCGCUUGACGCGGCUCUGCGAGACCUGACGACGCCCAUUCUGGAGGACGCUGACGCCGAGACGCUGGAGGCACGCCGCCUUUAGCUUGUCGAAGGCGUGAAGAAUCUGGCAAGCAUGAGACACUUGUCGGAGGCCUACAACGUGAGAUGGAUCGCGCUGUGGGUGGCUCGCUAGCGCCGAUUGGGCCUAGCCGCCUAGGCGCGGUCCGACAACGCGGCGCGGCCGUCGCCAACCUGUUCGGGGCCGAUCGCCCCGGAUAUGCCAUGCCUGUGUAGAAAUCCGUGCCGCCCAGGCGGCAGCAGACGAGCUAGACAACUUCGAAGGCGAAGAGCGCCGCCUAAUGACCGAGCGAGUCCAACGACUCCUCAAAGCGGCUGCGGCACAGAACGAAGCCGGCUGCCGCACGGAGGCGCCGCAGCGACAAAAUGACAACUUACCUUCCCACCGAGAUCAAGGCACGACGUCUCGGACGCCAACUGGCGGAGUCCGCGGAAGAAAAGAGAAGGAUCCGGCUGUCAGCCACAGUCGGACUCGCAUCACCAUCGAGCGCGACCAAGACGGCCGCCCAAGAGCAGUGGAGCGGCAGGGCGACUACCUGCCUCCCCCACCACGAAGGGAAAGACUAGUCUCCCCGCCGCCUAUCGAGCAUCCGACUCUCGACGACCGCCUCGGCCGUCGAGAGGGAGUCGAAGAGAACGACGCUCGCCACCGGAUCGGCCGACCCACCGAUCCCUGGCGCUGGAAGAAGAAGAUGAGCUGGGUCCACCCUGCUUUGGGCCCCGCAUCCGAGAUGAGCCCUUCCCCAAAGGGUUCACGCUCCCCCGAGACAGACCCAAGUACACCGGCUCCAUGAAGCCGGAAGAUUGGCUGGUUGACUACUCCACAAUAGUCAACAUAGCCAACGGCAACAAGCGUGUUGCCAUGAAGUACGUUCCGCUAAUGCUCCAGGGCACGGCCCGGACAUGGUUGAACAGUUUGAAGCCCCGCAGCAUCAACAGUUGGGUCGACUUCACCGAAGCUUUCAUCCGCAACUUCACCAGCACGUACAAGCUGCCUCCCAAGCCACGACAACUCUCCUUGUGCGUGCAAGGCCAAGACGAGUCGACACGCGACUACCUCACACGAUGGGGUGAGCUUCGGAACUCCUGCGAGGGCGUGCACGAGGUGCAGGCUAUCGAGUACUUCACCGCCGGGUGUAGAGAAGGCACCCUCCUCAAGCACCGGCUCCUCUGCGACGAGCCCGAGACCCUCGACGAGUUGCUGGUCAUUGCAGACAAGUAUGCCACCGCCGACUCCUUCAUGAAGACAGAGAUUCAAGUUAGUGCGACUGGCAAAGUGGCCCCUCAGGCUCCCAGAACUCCGGCUGGAGAUACCAGUCGGCGACAGGAGCAGAAUGAUCACAAGCGCAAGGCCCCGCAGCCGACUUCCAGCAGUCGGCAGGUUGCGACAGUCGAAGACCAACAGCCUGAGGGGCAGCCUCCGGCGAAGCGGCAGAAGGGCAGCAAGUCCAAUGGUUGCCGGCCUUCUCUUAUGAGUAGACUUUGGAUGGUCCCUGCAAGUUCCACAGCGGCGCGAAGCCGUCAAACCAUACCACCCGGAAAUGCCACUGACUCACCAGAAUCGCCAAGGGAGACGGCCUCCUUCCUCCACCGCCUGCUGGGCCGCCGCCUCCACAACCGCCCCAGUAGCCGGCGGCCAGGCCAGUCGGCGCCGUACAAGAUGAAUACCCCGAAGAACAUGGAGCUUAUGUGGUGUUCACCAGUAUGGAUGAUGAUCGACGUAGCAGACGGUUGCAGCAGCAAGAAGUGACCGCAGUAGCAUCAGAUACUCCGGAGUUUAUGCAUUAGUCCGAGAAGCCUAUCAGUUGGAGCAGAGCAGAUCACCCAAAGAUGAUGCCGAAUCCGGGCUCCUACGCCUUGGUUCUGAGUGCUACCUUGGCCACUGAUAGGCGGGCCGCUCGCUUCUCGCGAGUGUUGAUAGACGGAGGCAGCAACAUCAACAUCCUGUACAAGGAUACCAUGGAGAAAUUAGGAAUCAAGCAGAAACAGCUUCAAAGCAGCCGAACUGUUUUCCACGGCAUUGUGCCUGGCCUUUCCUGCUCCCCAAUCGGCAAGAUCCAGAUAGACGUCCUCUUCGGAGACAAAGAUCAUUUUCGCUGAGAGCUAGUCUGGUUUGAAGUGGUGGACCUUGAAAGCCCAUACCAAGUGCUACUUAGCCGACCUGCCUUAGCCAAGUUCAUGGCGGUCCCCCACUACGCCUACCUCAAGAUGAAGAUGCCCAGUUCAAAGGGGAUUCUGACCGUGGCUGGCGACUACAGGAAGUCGUCUGCCUGCGCGGCCGAGAGCAGUCGGUUGGCCGAGUCCCUGGUGAUCGCAGCUGAAAGGCGGCUCCUUGACCGGGUUGUGGCGAUGGCCGGCAAGCAGCCAGAGAUGUCGCCCGACCCCAAGGAGUCAGAAGCUGAUGGUUCGUUAAAACCGGCUAAAGAAACAAAGAGGAUACCUUUGGACCCGGAGCACCCGGAGAGGCACACUGUCAUAGGCACAAACCUAGACAGCAAAUAGGAAGGCGAGCUCAUCGAUUUCCUCCGUGAGAAUCGAGACAUCUUUGCAUGGUCCCCUAAAGACAUGCCAGGUGUACCAACGGAAUUCGCUGAGCACAAGUUACAUGUCCGAUCUGAUGUGAAGCCCGUCAGGCAGCCCUUGCGCCGCCUGUCAGAAGAGAAAAGAAGAGUUGUUGGAGAAGAGAUAGCCCGACUCCUAGCGGCCGGCUUCAUUAUGGAGGUGUUCUUUCCAGAAUGGCUGGCGAACGCGGUCCUAGUGUUGAAGAAGAACAAGCAGUGGCGGAUGUGUAUCGACUACACAAGCCUCAAUAAAGCUUGCCCCAAAGAUCCAUUUGCCCUGCCAAGAAUUGACCAGGUGAUAGACUCCACAGCCGGAUGCGAGCUGUUGAGUUUCUUAGAUGCAUAUUCAGGAUAUCACCAGAUCAAGCUAAACCCAGCAGACAGACUGAAGCUGCCUUCAUCACACCGUUUGGAGCCUUCUGCUACCUGACUAUGACGUUCGGCUUGAAGAAUGCCGGUGCCACCUUUCAGCAUUGCAUGCAGAAGUGUCUCCUCAAGCAACUCGGCAGAAAUGCCCACGUCUAUGUGGAUGAUGUGGUAGUGAAGACGGAAAAGCGGGGAACAUUGUUGGAAGACCUCCAAGAAACCUUUGAGAAUCUGCGCCGAUUCCAGAUCAAGCUCAAUCCGGAGAAGUGCGUCUUCGGAGUACCAGCUGGCCAGCUCCUUGGCUUCCUGGUCUCUGAACGCGGCAUAGAGUGCAACCCUGUAAAGAUCAAAUCCAUCGAGAGGAUGGCAGUCCCCCGCCGACUGUUAGAUGUGCAGAAGUUCACCGGCUGCUUGGCGUCCAUUAGCCGAUUCAUCAGUCGGCUGGGCGAGAAGGCUCUCCCUUUGUACCAACUGAUGAAGAAGACCACCUUUUUUGAGUGGAACCACAAGGCGGAUGAAGCAUUCCUCGAGUUGAAGAAGAUGUUGACUACUCUCCCUGUGCAGGUGGCUCCGACUCCCAAAGAGCCUAUGCUCCUAUACAUUGCCGCCACCAGCCGGGUAGUCAGCACAGUUGUCGUAGUCGAGCGCAAGGAGGAAGGCAAGGCGCUCCCUGUCCAGAGACCGGUAUAUUACCUGAGCGAGGUACUAUCGACCUCCAAGAAGAACUACCCCCACUACCAGAAGAUGUGCUACGACGUGCAUUUCGCCGCCAAGAAGUUGAAGCCUUACUUUCAAGAGCAUCCAAUCACUGUGGUUUGCACCGCUCCACUGGCCGAGAUCAUCGGAAGCCAUGAUGCUUCAGGCCAAGUAGCUAAGUGGGCCAUAGAUCUGGCUCCCUACACCAUCUACUACCAGCCUUGCACCGCCAUCAAGUCACAAGCACUGGCCGACUUCCUUGUCGACUGGGCCGAGACCCAGUACCUGCCGCCAGCACCUGACUCCACCCAUUGGCAAAUGCAUUUUGAUGGCUCCAAAAUGCACACCGGCCUGGGAGCCGGCAUCGUUCUCACCUCCCCCAAAGGCGACAAGCUCAAGUACGCACUGCAGAUCCACUUCGCCGCCUCCAACAAUGUUGCCGAAUACGAGGCGCUCGUUCACGGGCUCCGGCUUGCCAAAGAACUCGGCAUCCGCCGGAUCCUGUGCUACUGCGACUCCGAUUUGGUGGUCCAGCAGUCAUCUGGCGACUGGGACGCCAAAGACGCAAACAUGGCAAGCUACCGCUUCCUGGUGCAGCAACUCAGUGGAUAUUUCGAGGGGUGUGAAUUCCUUCACAUUCCAAGAAAUGACAAUGACCAAGCAGACGCCCUGGCACGAGUCGGCUCCACUCAUCAAGCAAUACCAUCCGGCGUCGCCCUUUAGCGCCUCCUCAAGCCGUCUAUCAAGCCUUCGCCAGAAUCAGACUCCAUUUUUGUGCCAGCUCCCCCCGAAGAAGUCAGAUCCGACUCAAGAGCACCGACAGACGGCACAAGAAUCCUCACAGACGGCUCCAAAAAUACCGCAGUCAAAGCCGGCCCAGGGACUUCAGAACUCGGCCCCGGGACUGCUCCACUCGGCCCAGGGACUUCAUCGACCCAGCAAGCGGCCGCGGAUCCCAGCCCGCCGCCUCCCAGCCCAGCCACCCUUGUCCAAGUCGCAAUAGUGGCAAUCGAAGAAGUAGCAGCACCCUCAUGGGCCCAGCCCAUCCUCAAGUUCCUAGUAAACAGAGAGCUGCCAGCUGAUGAAAUCCUGGCUCGGCAAGUGCAACACCGACCGGCAGCCUAUACCAUAGUCAAUAGAGAGCUGGUCAGGCGCAGUGUCACUGGUGUCUACCAAUGCUGUGUCGAGGCAGAACAAGGCCAAGCAAUUCUUAGAGACAUCCAUGAAGGCGAGUGUGGCCACCAUGCGGCUUCAAGGGCGCUCGUCGCCAAAGCCUUCCCACACGGUUUCUUCUGGCCGACUGCCCUGGAAGAGGCCAAGGAAUUAGUCCAAAACUGCAAGGGGUGCCAGAUGUUCCAUUCCAAGCCGCUCCAGCCGGCUUCGGCGCUCAAGACCAUUCCCAUCGCCUGGCCCUUUGCGGUUUGGGGCCUGGACAUGGUGGGACCAUUCAAGACGGCACGAGGCGGCCUAACUCACCUACUUGUCACAGUGGACAAGUUCACCAAGUGGAUAGAAGCGAAGCCCAUCAAGAAAUUGAAUGGUCCGACUGCAGUAACCUUCAUCACCGACAUUACGACUCGGUACGGCAUACCACAUAGCAUCAUCACCGACAAUGGCACAAAUUUUGCCAAAGGAGCCUUGGCCUGUUUCUGCGCUACAUAGGGCAUCCGACUGGACUUAGCGUCCGUCGCCCAUCCGCAGUCAAACGGCCAGGUAGAGCGAGCAAACGGCCUCAUCCUAUCCGGCAUCAAGCCCCGCCUGGUUGAACCACUGGAGCGCUCGGCCGGCUGUUGGCUCGAGGAGCUGCCAGCCAUCCUCUGAAGUCUGCGCACGACUCCAAACAAGUCAACCGGCUUCACGCCUUUCUUCCUCAUCUACGGUGCUAAAGCCGUCAUCCCGACAGACAUAGAAUUCGACUCCCCGCGAGUCACCAUGUACACCGAGGAGGAAGCAGAAGAAGCACGUCAAGACGGCGUCGAUCUGCUGGAAGAGGGCCGGCUGUUGGCACUCAGUCGGUCCGGCAUCUACCAGCAGAGCCUGCGCCGAUACUACAACAGGAAGGUCAAGCCAAGAUCUUUCCAAGAGGGCGACCUUGUGCUCUGACUGAUCGAGCGGACAGCCGGCCAGCACAAGCUGUCGGCACCUUGGGAAGGCCCCUUUAUUGUCAGCAAGGUGUUGGGCAAUGACUCCUACUACCUGAUCGAUGCUCAGAACCCCCGAGCUCGCAAGAGAGACGACUCCGGCAAAGAGUCGGAACGACCAUGGAAUGCAAACCUCCUCCGAAGGUUUUACAGUUGAUUCAGUAUGUAUCACGCUACCCCUUUGUAUUAAAGUACCGAGACUUCGGGCCACCCUAGACGAGCUCGGGGACUGCCCCUUUUGAUUAUCUGUAUGAUAAGGAUUAUGCCUUCAAGUAUGCUACUUCUUGCUAUGCCGCUUGGCGCCGGGUUCGACUAGUCGGCCCGGGGAUUCGCCGUCUGGCGCUAUGAAAUGUUUCCUGAAGUCGGACAAGUAGUGUGCGGCGCCUAAGCCGUCUCCUGCCAGAAGCCACAGCUCGCAGAGCGACUGUUUGGUAGGCAGGAGUAAGGAUGAAUGGGCGUCCACACGAAAAAAGGCUAAGGACCCAAAACAUCAACAUAGCCUAAGCCGGUUUCCAGCCCCCCUUUCUUACAAGCCGACUCGCGAGUAUUCGGCUUACUGCUUUCUGUCCAACUUGUUAAAUAAACUCCAAAGAAAGGCAAGUACUUGUUUUCCCCAAAGUAGCCAGGCAUUUGGCCCAGCGGCAGUCCGCAGAGCGGUUUGCCGGCUGGCAAAGUGGCAACUAGGGGAAGGCGGCAAAGGAAAAAGCCAAAGGAGCAAUGAGCAAGGAUAGAUAGAACUCGGAUUAAUAUUUACAUAAGCAUAGGACCAUUGGCCGAAUAUUCAGACAGAAGUUUAAAAUACACCCCGAGGGUGGAAUUGUGCAAAUUAACAAGUUCAUCAAAGACUUUCUACAAUAGAUAAAUAAAGCCAGAGGGCAGCCUAAGGAGCAGCAGACGGGUUCGAAGGGUCGGAGGAGACGGCGGUGUCAGGCGCCGGGGGAUUCGGCUGGGCAGUCUCAGCUUGAUCGCCGCCAGCGGCAGUUGGCCCGGUCGGACGCGGCUCGUUGCUAGAGGCGCGGUCGAGCUGAGGCUGGUCGCCCGCUCCGCCCUCUGGCACCUCCGUCUCGCCUUCGUCUUCCGCCUUGCUUUCUUCCUCGGUGCUGGAGUCAAUCACCUCCGCCGAGUCCUCGCCAUAUUCCAGGUUCAUCCCGAACCACUCUGGCGGCACUUCCUCGCCGCCUUCAGCCCGCUCGGGGACGAAGACACUGGUGUCCGUGUACUCGGCGAUGGCCGCCGCACGCUCGACAAGGGCGCCCUCCACAACCUCCAGCUCGGCCUGGGCCUCUUACCGGAACGCGUCCAGACGGUCCAGGUCCAGCCCCGGAUACCACGCCUUAACGAACUCCAAGGCCCGGCGCGCUCCGGCCCGGGCUGAGGAACCCUUCCAAGCUUCAAGACGGCCGGCGGCGACCUUCAGCCAGUCGGCGGUCCGACUGGCGGUGCGUAGAGCCGGCAUGUCUGGCCAUAGAGCGGCAACCGCCUGGGCGCCGACACGCUGAAGCCGGCGCAUCCGCCGGUGGGCCGGACGAAGACGGGCCUCGAUGCUCAGAAGCUGCUCAUCGACGGUCAAGGGAGCAUUGGCGGCAAUCACCUCACCGUUUGCCCUUCGCGCCUCACGAUCAGCCUCGAUGGCCAGAGGGACUGCCUGCGAGUGGCCAGGGAAGAAGUCUGCCAAGACAAAAAAGAAGCGAGUCGAAAAAUCAGAAGUCAGCCGGACACAUAGUCGGAAAUUCAAAGAAAGAAAGCUCACCAUCGACGAUAUCCUCAAUUUCAUGGAAGCCGGAAGUCAGCAUCGCCUCCCUAUCGGUCCAGGAGGAGCGCUCGCUCUCGAACUCCGCCAGGAGAGCAGCCUCUUUCUUCUCGGCCUCGUCCUGCGCCUUCUUGAGCAGCUCCUUCUGCUCGGCUAGCUGCGCAGUAAGCAGAUCGCGCUCCGCAGCGAGUUUGCUGCACUCCUCCCCUUGGCGCGCAAGGCGGUGUUAACUUCACCCAGCUGCCCCUGAAGAGUAGCGUUGGCCCCUGAAACACGAAAGAAAGAGACAAGUAAGUCGUCAGCAAAGAAGGUCGCCGGGAAGAUCCGGCCUGACUGCUCAGUAGUCGGCCCGAAUCUCGGGGACUACAGCCCGCGGGUGCGCCAGCGCGCCCCCACGAAGAAGAGAGAAAAAACGUACUCCGGCUUUCCGUCAAGUCGGCAGUCCGCUUGCUCAACUCCUCAACAUUGCGGUUGAAGGUAGUGGCGCAGAGGUUGUGAUACUCCUGCAAACAGAGAUUUCAAACAAAAUAAGUACUUGGAACUCGCCAGAGGGAGUUCCGAGUCGCCCGCUCAGCAGCCGGCCCGGAACUCGGGGACUACACCCAGUGGGUGCGCUGGCGCGCCCCCACAGAGAAAAACAAGAGCCAAAAAGAAGAAGGAAAUGUACUCGGACGGCUGUCCGCACUGCCAGAUGCGCCCUAGUGCAAGUUUGAAGGGCGUCGCCUUCAGCGCGUAGCUUCGCCUGAAUGUCCAGAAGCGCUUGAUUCAGCGGCCCAAUGCCGCCUCCGCGCAACCACCCGAUGGGCGCGGCACUGUUUGCCUCAGCGUCUAGGGUUUAACGAGCUGGCGGCGCCGGUCUCCCGAGGUCACAGCGCCGAGGUCGCCCUCUCAAGACGGCGGCGCACCGGCGAGGCGACUUGGAGAUGCAGCCUCGCCUCGGACUCGUCCGCGGUCGGCGGCUCCGGCGGACCCGCCGGCUGUUUGCCGUGCGGUCUCCCAGACGGCCGUGGAGGCGGCGGUGGCGGCACGAGAGUGUCCGACAUGGAGGCCUCACCGCUCUCCUUGUCCACGACGAGGUUCUCGGUGCCGGCCUCUCCGGUCUGUCUCGUGAACUCUGGAGGCGGCGGUGCAGAUGAGAAUGGGGGGACGAGCAUCGCCGAUCAGCGACGCGCGGCCUCCUUGGCUCGCCAUCUCGCCGCAAGGGCGACUUCGGCAUCCUCCAGCUUCUUCUGGGCGGAGGCGGCCGCCUUCUGCGCCUCCACCUUCUCCAGACGUUCGGCCUCCUCCUCGUUGCGCUUCUCCCGCGCGUUUCGCUCCGUCGCCUCCCGAAGGUCGGCGGCGGGGUCGACCCGCCGAGUAUUGGCGGACGUCUCUGCCGACCCCAUGACAGAGGGGACGGCGACUCUCUCAAGGGAAAGAGGGGCCCUAAAGAAGAAUGGGAGGAGUAUAAAAGAAGACUCGGACAAGAUUCACCGAAGGAAAAUAAAAAAGCGUAAAGACUUACAUAGAGACUAGCGGCGGCCUUCUCACUUCCCUACGGAAGCAGUUGGCCUUCGCGGUUACCUCCUCCCGUUUGAUCGCGGCGGCCGCCCCCUUGAACUUCUUCAAUUUGCCGCCGGGCGCACUCGGCCCGGCGUGACGCCUCUUCGCGCCGCCUUGGCUAGCCAGGCCAGCGGAGGAGCCGGCGCCCGACGAGCCGACCCUCGGCUGGUGGUGCGGGGCGACUUCCCCUUCGGUAUCGUCAUCAGGCCAGUCGGCGAAGGUGGACGAGGGCCUGAAGCCGCCUACCACCCCUCCUCCCCCGCCUUCGGCGUCAGCUUCCAUCGCUGCCACCCCCAAGUCGGGGUCGUCGACGUCGCUCUCCGCACGAUCAGGGACAAACUCGCGGGGCUGUCUCGUGGCGCCGGCUGCAGGCUGCAUGAGGGGGUUCUAGUUUAGAAGAAACCAACGAGAAUCAGAAACCGGAUUCGGCCGCAAAGAAGACAAAGCAAUAAGGAGAUGCAACUUACCACUGGUGGGGGUUGUCGCGCGAGUACGGCUCCUUGCUGAACUGCCAGUCCUCCCCGAACUCGCAGUUCGCGAUAUGAUUCACCAUGUUUGCCACCUCCGUGCGGGGCAUCUCCUUGGUGCUCAUCCGACUUGGGUCUCAGAGGCCGCUCAUCUGACAAAUGAGGUGAGGCCGACCUUGGAGCGGGAUAACUCGGCGCGCCACGAAGGCGGCAAGCAAGUCGGACCCGACGAGGCCCUCCGACUGCGUCAAGACUCGGAGUCGCGCUACGGCGGCGGCUCCGGCGGGAGUCAGCGUCUUGACCCGAUGAGACCAGCUGGGGAGCCUUCCAGCUGGGGGGCCGACUUCGUAAGCUGGCAGAUUAACCCAGUCACCGUCGGAGGCGAGGUUCUUCACGUAGAAGUACGAGCGCUGCCACAUCCUCACCGACUUGAUCAGCGAGAUGGAAGGGAAGGGGUUGUCGGCCGUCGAGUGCCGCAUCGCGAUAAAGGCACCGCACUGAGCCGGCACACCGACGACGUGCGUGCUGAGCUUAGAAGAGAAGAAUUCUGCCCACAGCUUGAUGGUGGGGAGAACACCGAGGAAACCUUCGCACAGAGUGGCGAAGGCGGAGAGCAGCACCACCGUAUUCGGGGUGAGCUGGUGCGGUUGGAGGCUGUGAAACUCCAAGAAGGAGCGGAAGAAGCCGCUCGCCGGCAGCCCCAGGCCGCGCAUGAGGUGCAAGCGGAAGAUGACCCGCUCGCCCUCCUCCGGUGCCGGCGAUAUCUCCUUCGCUGGCGCGGUGCGGGCUCGCAAGAGGUGUGCGCCGGGGAGCCGGCGUGUCUUGUGGAGGAAUUCAAUGAGGACGUCGUCGACCUCCGAGCCGUCCCACGCGCCGGAACGCACGGCAGGAGCCGCAGCGGUGGAGGAGUAGCUCAUCGCUGGCUGGUGCGGUUUGGUUCUGCUCGCCGGCGGCAAGAAGGAGAGAGGAAGCAAGAGGAAGUGGGGGUCGAGGGAGAUGGGCGCGCGUGCUUUGCCGCUCCACUCCCCCAACUUAUAGCCUUGGCGGCUGAGAAGCCGAGGGGGCGGGCGUGGGAUUAACUGCUCCCAGAGCCCCACGCCGCCCCAUGAUUUACCCCACGAAGUUACUGCGCGCAGUAACGGCGUGAGAAGCCUAACCGUUCGCGCAGCUGCAGCGGAUCCGUUCGCGUGCCGAGGCGCGGUAGUGGCGGGCCCCGCCUGACAGCCCGUCCCGUCACGCGCGUGGGACGGCAGACUGUCCCUGCUGCGUGGCGCCGCGCGAUAGGGCCGCGGUGGGCGGCAGCAGGGAAGCGUAUCAGGCACGCCGCCUGGUCUCCCGCCACGACUUUCGAGCUCUCCAUAGAGCAAGACGGCCCUCUACGAAUCCGACUAUGGAUAGUCGGCCAAGAGGAAGAUGGUAAACGAAGCCCAGAUUCGACCACCGGAAGAAUGAAACUGUUGAGGUCCCCAGUGAGUCACUCUCGAAGCCUCACCAGCAUCGGGGACUACUGUCGGAGUAAUGGGCCAUGGGUAGGCUGACCCGAGCCCCAGAACCUUUCAAGACAUCGGGGCAAGCCGCGCCCCUCAAAGCCGAGUCCCAGAUGACGACUCCCAGAUGAGCCGAGUCUCAGAUGACGACUCCCAGAUGAACCGAGUCUCAGAUGACGACUCCCAGAUGAGCCGAGUCUGAGAUGACGACUCCCAGAUGAGGCGAGUCUCAGAUGACGACUCCCAGAUGAGCCGAGUCUCAGAUGACGACUCCCAGAUGAGCCGAGUCUCAGAUGACGACUCCCAAAUGAACCGAGUCUCAGAUGACGAGUCCCAGAGGAGCCGGCUAUAGAGAGUCGGCCCACGACUCUACACUCAUUGCGGGUACAACCACGGCGUGGCCGUCACCUCCUGCUUGCGAGGAGCUGGCAUGGCUACAGUGUGCCAUACCGCCGGAGAUCUCUGGCGUGGCCCGGCACUGUAGCCAUGCCAGACCUGACCUCGGCCAUAGUGCGCGGCGCACUGUGGCCACGAUGGCCUACCUAUACGGCUCAGAGACGGCGGACCCGCCAGUCAGUGAGAGCUAGAAGACGGCGGAUACGCCCCGAAGGCGGCCCCGUGGGAGUCGGCUCCCCAAAGUUGGCCAAGCCCCUCUCACGGGUCCCACGCGCCAUUAACCAGACAAGAUGGGGAGUAACGAUAGUGAUCGCCCGAUAGACGGUGGCACUGUUGCCACGAUCCAAUGACCAAGCUUGCAUCAUCGGAGGCACGGCUACAGUGCCGGACUCGCCGGCGGGGCCCGCGAGUCGGCGGGCCCCAUCAGUCGGCGGAGAAGACAGCGACCUGUGAGACAGACGGCUGGGACCCGCGCCCAGCUGGAUUACCAUUGUAUCCCCGGGGGGUAGGCCUAUAUAAACCCCCCGGGGAACCCAUGCAAAGGGUUGGCAUCCAUUAGCCUUAGACCAGAUCACAUAGGAAGAAGAAGGCUAGCCUUGCCUCCUUUCACCUCCAGAAUACAGCUCUAGGAGCGACCUUGUAGUCACUACGCUUUAGUGAUCAUGCGGAGACCCCGCAGAGCAGCAGUAGGGGUGUUAUCUCCCGGAGAGCCCCGAAGCUGGGUAAGAUUCACCGGCGUGCAUGCCUUCGCCUAAUCCCGUUUCCUGGCACCGGCGACGUUCUACUCGCUCCCACCAUGAUAAGCCAUCCUUUGGCAUAUGUCGCACCCAACCCCCGACAGGGCCGAGCAAAGCGGUAACAUAGCCAAACAACGGUUUGCUAGGACGGGUGAAAAAGGUUAGAGGCUGUCAUGGCAAAUUCGGAGGCUUGAUAUACAAGUGGAAGGAAGCGCGUCAUAGCGAUAGCAUCGAGACAACUAGCAUAUCAUUAAUAGUAGUGAGAUCCAGGGUAACGGUCAUCUUUCCUAAGAUCCCGCUAGGAAGAUGAACGAGUCCAUGAAGAAGACAAACGGGCGUAGAAGAACCAAUCUCGAACGAAUCCUCACGAUCGUAAUGAAACAGGAACUAUCGAGAAGAAGCACAACCGGAAAUAAGCAAACAACUUGGUAAACACACAACACAUAAACAUGGCAUGAUGCACAAUCAAGUAUGAUGCAUGUCCGAUUUAAAUAUGCAUGGCAUGGCAAAGUGCAACAAACAACACUAUAGAUUAAGUGGAGCUCAAUAUGCAAUGAGUUGCAUAUUGACAAAACACCACAUGCAUUUACUUAGUUUGAUCUAGCUUAAGCUACCCAACAAUAUUAAAUGUUGUUAAAAUGGCAAGAGGUGAAACAUAAGUAAUCUACCUAUCUAGGCAAGUUUAAAUGAGGUCGGAAACAACAAACAACAAUUCCGGAAAAUCCUCAUAUGCAAUUUAUGAAUUUGCUACUGUUCUGCCCUAUACACAAUUUUUUGAGUUGUUAAACAUGUAAAGUAAUACCACCAUGUUAACCAAUGCAUUUUUCUACCCCAUUUACAUAUAAAGAUUAUUUAAUUCGAAGCUACGGUUAUUUAGUUAGCAAAUAAAUCAUUUUAGCAUGGCAUUUAUGCAAAAUAAAUUGCAGACAUCAUGUUUAAACAUUUUAAACAGGGAUGAAAAUAGACAAAUUCGCAGACGGUAAAAAAACAUAUGCGCGCCCAAACUGCCUGGCCUAACAGUGCAUAAGAGAGGGCUGGGCGGCUGCUCACCCAUGGGCCAAGCCCAGUCGGUGGAGGGGCUGAGGCGAGGCGCCGCCCAGGCAUAGUCAACACGCGGACGAGUGCUGGGCACGCUGCCCGACUUGAAUUAGGGAAGCAGGGGCGCUGGGCUGUGGGACUUGGCGCGGCAACCAUCAGUGUCAAAACCGGAGGAUCUCGGGUAGGGGGUCCCGAUGUGUGCAUCAAGGCUGAUGGUAAUAGGAAGCAAGGGACACAGAUGUUUACCCAGGUUCGGGCCCUCUCGAUGGAGGUAAAACCCUACUUCCUGCUUGAUUAAUAUUGAUGAUAUGGGUAGUACAAGAGUAGAUCUACCACGAGAUCGUAGAGGCUAAACCCUAAGAGCUAGCCUACGAUGGUAUGAUUGUAAAUGUGAUCGGCCUUCUAAGGACCAGCCUCUCCGGUCUAUAUAGACACCAGAGAGGGCUAGGGUUUACAUGGAGUCGGUUACAAGAAGGGAAACACAAUAUCCGGAUCGCCAAGCUUGCCUUCCACGAAAAGGAGAGUCCCAUUCGGACACGGGCCAAAGUCUUGAGUCUUGUAUCUUCACGCUUCAAUAGUCCGGACGUUGUACACAGUCCGGCUGUCCGGAUACCCCCUAACCCAGGACUCCCUCAGUAGCCCCUCAACCAGGCUUCAAUGAUGAUGAGUCCGGCGCGUAGUAUUGUCUUCGGCAUUGCAAGGCGGGUUCCUUCUCCGAAUACUCCAAAGCAAUUAUCGAACACUCAAAUCGUGUCCGGAUUCACAAGAUGAUCUUUACACACCGCUGUAGAGAGAAUGAUAUUUCACAAAUGCAAUCUGCUGACAACUUUUUCUGAUGACGUGACAUGUUAUUAUGGUCGGAUCAUUAUUCGAACCGUUAUCCCACAACCAGCUACAACGCAUAUUAUGAGGCAGUUUCUGUGACACGUCUUGUCAAAGCAGAGAUCGUGUCCCCUUAUCAUGAGAUUCUCAUCAAUACGGGUAUGGGUAAUCCCAGCACGCCAUUAAUCGUGGCGCUUGGGAAACAAGCGAUUCCCAACGGGCAAGUGGGGAGGCGCACCGCUUUCGGCGCCUGUAUAAAGGGAUAAGAUUUCCCCAUAUUCACCCAUGCCUUCUUCCUCCUUUGCCCAUUCUUGCCCCCUCGAGCUCUAGUGCCCAAGCCCAAGUCUUCUCCGCAUAGCUAAACAUCUCCGGAGCAAGAGGCAAGUGGGUGGCUUCCACCUUCAAGGAGAAGCACAUCACAAAUCUUCGGGUGGCUGGAUACUUGGCCGCGGACAUAGCGCACCAGAUACCGGACGCCGGGCAGGUUGUUCCGACCCCAGGACUCCACGAGAGGGUCGUAUUCGUCGCCCACUUCGUCCGUGGACUGGGAUUUCCACUCCAUCCCUUUGUCCGCGGGCUCAUGUUCUACUAUGGGCUAGAUUUCCAUGAUCUAGCCCCAAACUUUGUCCUCAACAUCUCGGCGUUCAUCGUCGUAUGCGAGGCCUUCCUCCACAUACGACCUCACUUCGGCCUAUGGCUGCAAACCUUCUGCGUGAAGCCGAAGGUUGUAAGCAGCCAACAAGCGGAGUGCGGAGGGGCCAUGGUGGGCAGAAUGCCUAACGUCACAUGGCUCGACGGCUCCUUUGCGGAGACCGUAAAAGAGUGGCAAUCGGGGUGGUUCUACAUCACCGAGCCGCACAGCACCAACUGGGCAGCGGCACCCGAGUUCCGAUUCGGAGCCCCCAUGCGGCUCACCUCCUGGGAGAAGAAGGGCCUGUCUUGGGGCGAUUCCACGGAGCUGGACGGACUCCAGACAUGCAUCAAAAGCAUGAAGGACAAGAACAUCAAGCUUGUCAACGUGAUCCAGGUCAUCCUUGUUCGCCGGAUCCUGCCCUGUGAUAACCCACAAGUAUAGGGGAUUGCAACAGCUUUCGAGGGUAGAGUAUUCAACCCAAAUUUAUUGAUUCGACACAAGGGGAGCCAAAGAAUAUUCUUGAGUAUUAGCAGUUGCGUUGUCAAUUCAACCACACCUGGAUAACUUAGUAUCUGCAGCAAAGUGUUUAGUAGCAAAAGUGGUAUGAUAAUAAUAGUAGCAGUAGCAAACGUAAAGAUAAUUGUUUUGGGGGUUUUGUAAUAGUUGUAACAGUAGCAACGGAAAAGUAAAUAAGCGAAGAACAAUAUGUGAAAAGCUCGUAGGCAAUGGAUCAAUGAUGGAUAAUUAUGCCGGAUGCGAUUCCUCAUGCAAUAGUUAUAACAUACGGUGAUAUAGAACUAGCUCCAAUUCAUCAAUGUAAUGUAGGCAUGUAUUCCGUAAAUAGUCAUACGUGCUUAUGGAAAAGAACUUGCAUGACAUCUUUUGUCCUACCCUCCCGUUUUCAGCGGGGUCCUUAUGGAAACUAAGGGAUAUUAAGGCCUCCUUUUAAUAGAGAACCAGAACAAACCAUUAGCACAUAGUGAAUACAUGAACUCCUCAAACUACGGUCAUCACUGAGAAGUAUCCCGAUUAUUGUCACUUCGGGGUUGUCGGAUCAUAACACAUAAUAGGUGACUAUAGACUUGCAAGGUAGGAUCAAGAACACACAUAUAUUCAUGAAAACAUAAUAGGUUCAGAUCUGGAAUCAUGGCACUCGGGCCCUAGUGACAAGCAUUAAGCAUAGCAAAGACAUAGCAACAUCAAUCUCAGAACAUAGUGGAUACUAGGGAUCAAACCCUAACAAAACUAACUUGAUUACAUGGUAAAUAUCAUCCAACCCAUCACCGUCCAGCAAGCCUAUGAUGGAAUUACUCACGCACUGCGGUGAGCAUCAUGAAAUUGGUGAUGGAGGAUGGUUGAUGAUGACGACGGCGACGAAUCCCCCUCUCCGGAGCCCCGAACGGACUCCAGAUCAGCCCUCCCAAGAGAGAUUAGGGCUUGGCGGCGGCUCCGUGUCGUAAAACGCGAUGAAACUUUCUCUCUGAUUUUUUUUCUCCCCGAGACGGUAUAUAUGGAGUUGGAGUUGAGGUCGGGAGGUCUCCAGGGGGCCCACGAGAUAGGAGGGUGCGCCCCCUGUCUCGUGGACAGCCCGUGGCCCCCCUGGCCUUCAUUCUUUCGCCAAAAAUUCUUAUUAAUUCUGAAAAGUGCCUCCGUGGAUUUCCAGGACAUUCCGAGAACUUUUCUUUUCUACACAUAAAACAACAUCAUGGCAGUUCUGCUGAAAACAUCGUCAGUCCGGGUUAGUUUCAUUCAAAUCAUGCAAGUUAGAGUGCAAAACAAGGGCAAAAGUGUUUGGAAAAGUAGAUACAUUGGAGACGUAUCAACUCCCCAAGCUUAAACCUUUGCUUGUCCUCAAGCAAUUCAGUUGAUAAACUGAAAGAUCAACUGAAAGUGAUAAAGAAAAACUUUUACAAACUCUAUUUUCUCUUGUUGUUGUAACAUGAAAAGUCAGCAUUCAAGUUUCAGCAAAUAUUAUGAACUAACCAUACUAACAAUAACACAUAGGUCUCACAAUUACUCAUAUCAAUAACAUAAUCAGCUAGCGAUCGAUAAUAAUAAAACUCGGAUGACAACACUUUCUCAAAAUAAUCAUAACAUGAUAUAAAAAAAUGGUAUCUCGCUAGCCCUUUCUGAGACUGCAAAACAUAAAUGCAGAGCACCUUUAAAGAUCAAGGACUGACUAAACAUUGUAAUUCAUGGUAAAAGAGAUCCAGUCAAGUCAUACCCAAUAUAAACCAAUAAUAAUGAAUGCAAAUGACAGUGUGCUCUCCAGUGGGUGCUUUUUAAUAAGAAGGGUGAUGACUCAACAUAAAAGUACAUAUAUAGGCCCUUCGCAGAGGGAAGCAGGGAUUUGUAGAGGUGCCAGAGCUCGAUUUUAAAAUAGAGGUUGAAUGAAAAGUUGAGCAACAUACUUUUGCUGUCAACGCAACAACUAUGAGAUGGCUAUAUCUUCCAUACUACAUGCAUUAUAGGCAGUUCCCAAACAGAAUGGUAAAGGUUUAUACUCCCCAACCACCAACAAGCAUCAAUCCAUGGCUUGCUCGAAACAAUGAGUGCCUCCAACAUACAACAGCCCUGGGGGAGUUUUGUUUAAUUAUUUUGAUUUGCUUUGAUCUUUUUGGAUCAAGGGACUGGGCAUCUCGGUUACCGGCCCUUUCUCGUGAAUGAGGAGCGGAGUCCACUCCUCUUCAGAAUAACCCACCUAGCAUGGAAGAUAUAGGCAUCCCUAGUUGAAACAUGAGCUGCUCGAGCAUACAAAACAAAAUUUCAUUUGAAGGUUUAGAGUUUGGCACAUACAAAUUUACUUGGAACGACAGGUAAAUAGCGCAUAUAGGAAGGUAUGGUGGACUCAUAUGGAACAACUUUUGGGUUUAAGGAGUUGGAUGCACAAGCAGUAUUCCCUCUUAGUACAGGUGAAGGCUAGCAAAAGACUGGGAAGCGACCAAUUGAGAGAGCAACAACAGUCGUAAACAUGCAUUAAAAUUAAUUUACACCAAGUACAAGCAUGAGUAGGAUAUAAUCUACCAUGAACAUAAAUAUCAUGAAGGCUAUGUUGAUUUGAUUCAACUACAUGCAUGAGCAUGUGCCAAGUCGAGUCACUUAAUACAUUCAAAGGAGGAUACCAUCCCAUCAUACCACAUCAUAAUCAUUCUAAUAGCAUGUUGGCACGCAAGGUAAACCAUUAUAACUCAUAGCUAAUCAAGCAUGGCACAAGCAACUAUGAUCUCUAAAUGUCAUUGCAAAUAUGUUUACUUCAUAAUAGCUGACUCAGGAACGAUGAAUCAUCAUAUUUACAAAAACAAAAGAGGUCCAGUUCAUACCAGCUUUUCUCAUCCCAAUAAGUCCAUCAUAUAUCGUCACUAUUGCCUUUCACUUGCACGACCGAAUGAUGUGUAUAAUAAUAAGAGUGCACGUGCAUUGGACUAAGCUGGAAUCUGCAAGCAUUCAACUCAAGAGAGAAGACAAGUAAUAUGGGCUCUAAAUUAAAUAAACAAUCAUGCAUAUAAGAGACACUAAGCAUUUUCAAUAUGGUCUUCUUGACCCCCAAAAGAAAGAAAAGAAAAUGAAACUAUUUACACGGGAAAGCUCCCAACAAGUAAAAGAAGAACAAGAAACCUUUUUGGGUUUUCAUUUUAAUUUCUACUACAAGCAAGGAAAUUAAACUAACUAAUUUUUUUGUUUUUUCUUAAGGUUCAACAAGCACACAAGAAGAAAGCUAGAAAAAGAAAUUUAAACUAACAAGGAUAAUACAAUGAAAGAGUAUGAGCACCGACGACUAGUGUGUGAACAUGAAUGUAAAGUCGGUGAGAAAUACGUACUCCCCAAAGCUUAGGCUUUUGGCCUAAGUUGGUCUAAUACCAAGGACCGCCGCUACUCUCCCCAGUGUAGUGGGAGGUGUAAUCAGGAUACCACUGGCUGGUCAUCUCUGGAUCCCACUGAACAGAUGAUGCACCAUAAGGGUCCAGCUCAGGUUCCGGCUCAGGUUCAAGUUCUGGAGUAAAAGCUUGGGCUAGAUGAUUGUUCACGGCCUCCGGCAUGACAAGACGACUUUCUGCAAGCAAAUCAAACAACAGAGGUGCAGGCAAGAUAAUAUACUCAAAGUGUUUCUAUAAAAGAGCAUCUUCUCUUCGUUGUCAACAAUAAACUUAUGUGCUACCAUGCUCUUGUAAUCUAAAAUGUGAUGAGGUAAUUUUGUGUCCUCCUCCUCAAGGUGCCUAAUGGGUAUCUGAAAAUGUUUAGCAAGCCGUGCAACAUAGAUACCUUCAAAUAUGUGGCCUUUUGUACGAUUCAGGGCUAGUCGUUUAGCAACGACGGCACCCAUACUAAAAGUAUUGUCUCCCAGCAAAGCAUGUUGAAGAAUAAUAAUAUCUGGAACGCUCAAGUUUCCACUAUUCCCACGACCAAUCAAGCAUCUACUAGCAAAUAUGGCAAAGUAGCGUAAAACAGGAAAGUGUAUGCUAGAGACUUUUGCCUCGGAACCCUUCUUUGGAUCCUCUACAGCGAUAGUAUUAACAAAGCCAUCCACAUCUUUACGAUGGGGUUCCUCUAAUUCUCCCUCAUAAGGUAUCCUACACACCGUGCAAAAAUCACGUAAAGACAUUUCUCUGAAUUCAUCAUAUAAAUGAAAUGAUACUACAGGCGGUGACUUCUUAGGAUAAUAAUAAAAAUUUUGCACGAAAAUAUUGGUAAGUAAGAGAUACUAAUCGAUUCGGUCGUUCAUGAAACCGGUGAGGCCUGCAGUCCCGAUUAAAGCAUAAAAGUCUUCAUGAAUUCCGGCUUCUCUCAAGAAUUCCUCACACGGCUAGUCACAUGACCGUACUUCCGCUAAGCGAGGAAGAUUAUACUUGGGUUUUUCCUUCUCUUUGUCUUGUUUUUCCUUAGAGCUUUGGCUAGAAGAGCCCUUAAAGAACCUCCUUAACAUUUUCUGAAAAUUUCUGAAAUUUUAGUAACUUCAAAAUAAAAGUGAAUAAAACUAAACAAGAUUGAUAGCAACUACUCCUACAAGUGCCUAGAGCCUAUAUCAUGCAUUGGAAUUGCUUGGGACCUCAAAAAUUUAACAUGCAAGCUCAAGAACAUGGUCACCUAUGCAGCAAAAAUUUGCAAUGAAUAAAGCACUAGAACAAAAACUAUUUGGACCAAUGGAGGAGUCACAUACCAAGCAACAAUCUCCCAAAGCAGUUUUGUGAAUGGAGCUUUGAGCUAAGAGAUCGAAAAUUGCAGCAAAACGAGCUAGAACUCGGGCUUGAGCUGGAUGGGGAUUUUUUUGGGUAGAAGAUGAAGUGUGUGGGUGCUGCCAUAAGUGGAGGGAACCCACCAGGGGCCCACGAGACAGGGGGCGCACCCUACAGGGGGGGAGCCCUCCUCUCGCGUGGCCUGGUGCUUGCCCCUUUUGCAGUGUUUUCAGUGCCUAAAAUCCUCAAAUAUUUCAGAAAAAAUCAUACUAAAUUUGCAGGGCAUUUGGAGCACUUUUAUUUUCGGACUAUUUUUUAAUGCACGGAUAAUUCAGAAAACAGACGGAUAAUACUAUUUUUUCUUUAUUUAUUCUAAAUAGCAGAAAGUAAAAAGAGGGUACAGAAGGUUGUGCCUUCUAGUUUCAUCCAUCUCGUGAUCAUCAAAAUGAACCCACUAACAAGGUUGAUCAAGUCUUGUUAACAAACUCAUUUCGAAUAACACGGAACCGGUGAAAUUUCGAAUAACACUAAGUUACCUCAACGGGGAUAUGAAAAUCCCCAACAAUAAGAAUAUCAUACUUUUUCUUGACAGUAGGGAGAGGAAAUUCAAAACCUCCAAAAAUGAUAGUUGGAACUUUUUCAAUAGAAUUGAUGCUAUGAACUUGAGAUUGUUUCCUUGGAAAGUGUACCGUAUGCUCAUUACCAUUAACAUGAAAAUUGACAUUGCCUUUGUUGUAAUCAAUAACAGCCCCUGCAGUAUUAAGAAAAUGUCUACCAAGAAUAAUAGACAUGCUAUCGUCCUCGGGAAUAUCAAGAAUAACCAAGUCCGUUAAGAUAGCGACAUUUGCAACCAUAACAGGCACAUCCUCACAAAUACCAACAAGUAUAGCAGUUGGUUUAUCAGCCAUUUGCAAAGAUAUUUCAGUAGGUGUCAACUUAUUCAAUUCAAGUCUACGAUAUAAAGAGAGAGGCAUAACACUACACCGGCUCCAAGAUCACAUAAAGCAUUUCUAACAUAAUUUCUUUUAAUAGAGCAUGGUAUGGUUGGUAUGCCCGGAUCUCCAAGUUUCUUUGGUAUUCCACCCUUAAAAGUGUAAUUAGCAAGCAUGGUGGAAAUUUCAGCUUCCGGUAUCUUUCUUUUAUUUAUGAUGAUAUCCUUCAUAUAUUUAGCAUAAGGAUUUACUUUCAGCAUAUCAGUUAAGCGCAUACGUAAGAAAAUAGGUCUAAUCAUUUCAGCAAAGCGCUCAAAAUCCUCAUCAUCCUUUGACUUGUAUGGUUUAGAAGGAAAGGGCAUGGGUUUCUGAACCCAUGGUUCUCUUUCUUUACCGUGCUUCCUAGCAACAAAAUCUCUUUUAUCAUAACGUUGAUUCUUUGAUUGUGGGUUAUCAAGAUCAACAGCGGGUUCAAUCUCUACAUCAUUGUCUUUGCUAGGUUGAGCAUCAACAUGAACUUUAUCAUUAACAUUAUCACUAGGUUCAUGUUCAUCACCUGAUUGUGUUUCAGCAUCAGAAAUAGAAAUAUCAUUGGGAUUCUCAGGUGUGUCUACAGUAGGUUCACUAGAAGCAUGCAAAGUUCUAUCGUUUCUCUUUUUCUUCUUUUUAGAAGAACUAGGUGCCUCUAAAUUAUUUCUCUGAGAAUCUUUCUCGAUUCUCUUAGGGUGGCCUUCAGGAUACAAAGGUUCCUGAGUCAUUCUACCAGUCCUAGUAGCCACACUAACAGCAAAAUCAUUUUUAUUAUUCAAUUCAUCAAGCAAAUCAUUUUGAGCUUUAAGUACUUGCUCAGCUUGAGUAGCAACCAUAGAAGCAUAUUUGUUAACGCGGUGAAGUUCAUCUUUAACUCUAGCCAGAUUAUCACCUACGCGUCCUAUCUCGAAAGCAUUAUUCUUUAACUCUCUCCCAACAAAAGCAUUAAAACUUUCUUGUCUAGCCAUAAAGUCGUCAAAUUCAUCUAAGCAUGGGCUAUGAAAUUUAAUAGAGGGUACUUCAACUUUAUCACAUCUAUAGAGAGAAUUUACCUUUACUACUUGUGUCGGGUUAUCAAGACAAUGUGGUUCUUCAGGCGGUAAAUUAAGACCAUGUGUUUCUUCAAUAGGAGGUAAAUUCUUAACAUCUUCAGCUUUAAUACCUUUUUCUUUCAUUGAUUUCUUUGCCUCUUGCAUAUCUUCAGGACUGAGAAAUAAAACACCUCUCUUCUUCGGAGUGGGUUUAGGAAUAGGCUUAGGAGUUGGCUCAAUUGGUUCAGGAAUUACUUCAGGAAAUGGCUCGGGAAGAGUCCAAUUAUUUUCAUUAGUCAACAUAUUAUUCAAUAGUAUUUUAGCUUCGUCGACUGUUCUUUCCCUGAAAACACAACCAGCACAACUAUCCAAGUAGUCCUUGGAAUCAUCGGUUAGUCCAUUAUAAAAGAUAUCAAGUAUUUCAUUUUUCUUAAGAGAAUGAUCAAGCAAAGCAUUAAGUAACCGGAGAAGCCUCCCCCAAGCUUGUGGGAGACUCUCUUCUUUGGUUUGCACAAAAUUAUAUAUUUCCAGCAAGGCAGCUUGUUUCUUAUGAGCAGGGAAAUAUUUAGCAGAGAAGUAAUAAAUCAUAUCCUGGGGACUACGCACACAACCAGGAGCAAGAGAAUUAUACCAAGUCUUAGCAUCACCCUUUAAUGAGAACGGAAAUAUCUGAAGGAUAUAUAAAUAGCGAGACUUCUCAUCAUGAGUAAAUAGGGUGGCUAUAUCAUUCAACUUGGUAAGAUGUGCCACAACAGUUUCAGAUUCAAGGCCAUAAAAAGGAUCAGAUUCAACUAAAGUAAUAAUAUCAGGAUCAAUAGAGAAUUCAUAAUCCUUAUCAGUAACACAGAUAGGUGAAGUAGCAAAAGCAGGAUCAAGUUUCAUUCUAGCAUUAAGAGACUGCUGCUUCCAUUUAGCUAAUAAUUUCUUAAGAUCAUUUCUAUCAUUGCAAGCAAGAAUUUCCAUAGCAGCUGUUUCAUGCAUAACAUAACCCUUAGGAACAAUAGGUAAAACAUAAUCAUUGGGGGGACCUUCAUCAUCACUAUCAUCAAUAAUAGGUUCUUCAAUAUUUUCAUUCCCGCUAAAUCUAGCAAGUUGUUCAUCAAGAAAUUCACCUAAUAGCAAAGUGGUGUCACGCACAGAAGUAGUUUCAUCAUUCAUAGCAAAAGUGGCAUCAUCAAUAACAUGCGACAUAUCAUAAUUCAUAGCAGUAGCAGGUUUAGGUGUCGCAAGCUUACUUAUAACGGAAGGAGGAUCUUGUGCAGAGCUAGAUGGUAGUUCCUUACCUCCCCUCGUAGUUGAGGGCAAAAUCUUGGUUUUAGCAUCUUUCAAGUUCUUCAUAGUGAUCAACAAAUAUAAAUCCCAAGUGACUUAGAGAAUAGAGCUAUGGUCCCCAGCAAUGGCGCCAGAAAUUAGUCUUGAUAACCCACAAGUAUAGGGGAUCACAAUAGCUUUCGAGGGUAGAGUAUUCAACCCAAAUUUAUUGAUUCGACAGAAGGGGAGCCAAAGAAUAUUCUUGAGUAUUAGCAGUUGAGUUGUCAAUUCAACCAGACUUGGAUAACUUAGUAUCUGCAGCAAAGUGUUUAGUAGCAAAAGUGGUAUGAUAAUAAUAGUAGUGGUAACAAACGUAAAGAUAAAUGUUUUUCGGUUUUUGUAAUAGUUGUAACAGUAGCAACGGAAAAGUAAAUAAGCGAAGAACAAUAUGUGAAAAGCUCAUAGGAAAUGGAUCAAUGAUGGAUAAUUAUGCCGGAUGCGAUUCCUCGUGCAAUAGUUAUAACAUAGGGUGAUAUAGAACUAGCUCCAAUUCAUCAAUGUAAUGUAGGCAUGUAUUCCGUAAAUAGUCAUACGUGCUUAUGGAAAAGAACUUGCAUGACAUCUUUUGUCCUACCCUCCCGUUUUCAGCGGGGUUCUUACGGAAAAUAAGGGAUAUUAAGGCCUCCUUUUAAUAGAGAACAAGAACAAAGCAUUAGCACAUAGUGAAUACAUGAACUCCUCAAACUACAGUCAUCACCAAGAAGUAUCCCGAUUAUUGUCACUUCGGGGUUGUCGGAUCAUAACAUAUAAUAUGUGACUAUAGAAUUGCAAGAUAGGAUCAAGAACACACAUAUAUUCAUGAAAACAUAAUAGGUUCAGAUCUGAAAUCAUGGCACUCGGGCCCUAGUGACAAGCAUUAAGCAUAGCAAAGUCAUAGCAACAUCAAUCUCAGAACAUAGUGGAUACUAGGGAUCAAACCCUAACAAAACUAACUUGAUUACAUGGUAAAUCUCAUCCAAGCCAUCACUGUCCAUCAAGCCUACGAUGGAAUUACUCACGCACGGCGGUGAGCAUCAUGAAAUUGGUGAUGGAGGAUGGUUGAUGAUGACGACGGCGAUGAAUCCCCCUCUCUGGAGCCCCGAACGGACUCCAGAUCAGCCCUCCCGAGAGAGAUUAGGGCUUGGCGGCGGCUCCGUGUCGUAAAACGCGAUGAAACUUUCUCUCUGAUUUUUUUCUCUGGCCUUCAUUCUUUCGGCAAAAAUUCUUAUUAAUUCUGAAAAGUUCCUCCGUGGAUUUCCAGGACAUUCCGAGAACUUUUCUUUUCUACACAUAAAACAACAUCAUGGCAGUUCUGGUGAAAACAGCGUCAGUCCGGGUUAGUUUCAUUCAAAUCAUGCAAGUUAGAGUCCAAAACAAGGGAAAAAGUGUUUGGAAAAGUAGAUACGUUGGAGAUGUAUCACCCUGUCAGAGGCGGGCAGUCAAUCUGUGGGAGUUCGUCCCAACCGAACAUUAGACGCACCAAAAGCUCUACAACAUGACACAUAAAGGCGCAUGGAAGGUGCUGUUCAAGGCCUCCGAAGUUCCUCCUCUCACAUCCGAGGACCGCGGGCUUCACGCCGCAUGGGCUCCUAGGACGGUGAGUUCUCAGACUACCACCGGACCCAGUUCUUCCUAGUAUAUUCAUGGGAGUGCUUUAAGUAGUUGUGCAUAUUUGCUUCAGGACUAUGUGGAGACAGCAGAGCGGGUCUACUGUCCGGCUCUGCUGCCAGAAGGCCUAGCAAAUGCUCUCCUGACGGAGAUGUUGGUCCCGGCACCAUACAAGGUGCCGAAGAAGAAGGCCGAGAAGAAGGCUCCAGGGACCCGAAAGGGUCUCCGGCGUAAGGUUGUGCCAGAAGCCUCGUCCGAAGACGACGAGGCGGACUCCUCCCAUGAAGGGGAGGAGGAGGAAGAAGAAGACGCCCCAUCCGAAAAGGAUGAGGGGCCCGAGGAGGCGGACAAAGGGGCCGGAAAAGUCCCUCGGUGCAAGGCCGUCAUACCCCUAUCGUCUGACGAUGACGAGACAGAUUCCUCCCACGGAGACCGGGGGAAUCAAGAAGAAAUUCCUCCUCCCCGCACUGGGGAGGGGAAGAAGAGAAAAGCCGCCCCGGAGGGGGAGGCUGGGGCGUCCAAGAAGGGGAAGGUAUCCCUUCCAGGCUACUCCGCCACGGCCACUCAUAGUGACGAGGGGUGGCUGCCCAGGGGGAAGCCCCCAGCGCGAUCGUAAGUGUCCGCAUUCUAUCAUGAUUUCACUUCAUAGUUUUUGUAUUUGUAAUGCCGAACAUAUGUGCAGUCCGGCCAGGGAUCACCCCGAAGUGUCUUCUUCCGGGUCCCUGAGUGAUCCGGAGAUCAAUUCGCUUCCGACGGCCACUACCCCUCAACACGUGGAUGACACGGAGGUGUUGUCCCGAAGGCUCCCAGAGCGGGGGGAGGUGACUCUGGAGACGCCCCGAGGUGGGGUCCUUGACGUCGGACACGGGGCGUUCAAGAUCCCCGCGGAUCGUGUCGACGAGAGACAAGGCCAACCGGGCUCUCAGGCGAACACAAUUCUGGAACCUUCGAUGGUUCCAGACUCAGGCGGGCGACCCCUUGUUAGGGAGGGCGAGCUGUCUAUGUCACGGAGUUCCGUUGCGCAUGAGGCGCCGAACUGUCUGCUGGAAGCGCUUCGCGACGCUUCCAUGGAUGAAGAGCACCGUACUCUUAUGAGUACGGUGAUUCGGAAGGUUUCGUCCGCCAAAAGCGGACUAACCGAAGCUUGCACCAGCCUCCUAACAGGCUUUGAGGUAAGUAAUAAAUAUAUGCAAAAUUACCACCCGGUAGGUAGUAGCCCCUGAUACUCUGUUUGGUGUUCAGAAAGAAAAGUCAAACGGAGGGUCAAUUAUAAUCCACAGGAGUCUAAUGAGAAGUAUUGUUGUGAAUAAGCAGGCUAUGCUGCUUGCUGCUGCUGCCCGUACUGCCGAGGUUGACGAACUGAAACGGGACCUGGAGCAGGCGCAGGGAGAGCUCGACCUCACGAAGAGGCAGCUCGAAGAGAACAAGGGUAAGUGAUUCCCUCUCUUAUGCAUUUGAGGAUACUCAAAAUUGGUGAGCCUAACACCUAAGUGUCGUAACUGUGUAACAGUGGCCACCGCCGAAGUGGCAUCCCUGAAGAAGGCAUUGUCCAAGGCCGAAGACAAGGCGGCCUCAGAAUGUAAGGAGCGCGAAAAGCAAAGUGCUAGGGUGGGUGAGGUACAACAAGAGCUCCGGGACCUCGGCAAGAAGUGCGAGUCUGCGGAGCAUGAGCUGAAGGUGAAAGAGCCAAGCUUGUGAAGGCCCUUGUAAAUUUGAAAGACGCCAAGGCCGAAGCCUGGAAAUCACAACAGGAGAUCCAAGAGGCCAAAAAGAUAGCAGCAGGUAAGAAGUUCUUUAUGCAAAGCAAACAUGUGGAGGAGGCAUUUCUUUUACUUACUAGAAUUCGGAGCUCUCCAGGGGCAUUUGCAGAUCUGCCACGCAGCGUAUCAGACGCUGCGGAGUUCUACCGUGCCCAAGAAGGGAGCUCAACGGAGAAGCUGUUCUGGUCCUAGUAUGAUGGGGCCGAACAUCCGAUGCCUCUGAGCGAGCAACUGAAGCAGUUGGUCGAACUCCACAGGGCGGCCGAGCUGGCUAUGAAGGGCUUCAUAGUCCGGAUGUGGCCGGGUGAGCUCCUUCCCAGUAGCUACUUUGGCCUGAUCAAGCGGAUGGUGGAUGCCCGUCCGCAGCUUGAGGUGAUCAAGCGAUCCGUUUGCAUCGAAGGUGCCCGCCGGGCCUUUGCCCGCGUCAGGGUGCAUUGGGGCAAGCUGGAUGCGGAGAAGCUGGUCAAGGUCGGGCUGCCGGAGGGCAAGGUGCAUUGCCAUCCCGAGAUGUACUAUGAUGGCGUGAUGAAGGGUGCUCGUCUCGUCGCCGAUGAGUGUACCAAGGACGCCAUUUUAGAGUGAAUUCACUUCUGUUAUGUUUGUAAUAUAAAGACGAAGUUACUUGCGCUAUGUAGCGCUUUUGUUAUUUAAAAUAUUACCUUAUGUGCGGCUGUUUAUAAAAUGCUGAAAGUAGGCCAGUCGUCGGCUUCCUCCCCCACGUAACUAGUACUAGGGUGUUCCUGGAAAACCCGGACACUCUUUAUCCAAACUAGCAGAAUGGACCGCUUGAUGCAUGGGCUAGAAUUUAUAAAAUGUAAGAAUGAAAACAUAAUAUUUAAUUUGUCUAAAGAUAAAUUUGAAUCAAAUUUUAUGACAUUUAGAAUUUGCGAGGCCAUCAUCCUCGGUGUCUUAAAAAUGUGAUGACAUCUUUAACAUCAAUCAGUAUGCUAUUACAAAUUACGGUAAUGAGAAACAUAUUAUUUCGGGGAAAAAAUUAUCAAUAAGAUUUUGGUUAUCUAAGGGGCCAUCUCAUAUUCCUGCCUCCUUUUGGGCGUGAGUACUUUGUUGAAAUUUUGCUUUUGGCCAUGACAAUGGAAAAUCUUCAUAUGAAUGCACCACAAAAUUUUAUUCCUCUAAAUUAAAAUGAGAUUCUAAACACCUAAGCAACCUGUACAACCUAAAUUUUGAACAUGUAUUAUUUUCUUACUUUAAUUCAAAUUGAAAAUGAAAAAAAAUUACAUAUACAUGUUCCAUGUUUGGCAAAGAAAAGCAACAUAUCUGAUGUGCAUGGACUCUCCAUGUGCCAAGCAUUGCAACAUGGUGGCCAAUUCUCCCUUGGAGCCAAGUGACAUUCGAAGGUUACCCAUGGAAGAACGAUAUUUUUAUAUGGAUGAAAAUACGUGCUGACAUGAACUAUGCCUUUACGGCUUUGAUAGAUGGAAGCCACUUGGACCCAAUGCUCAUUUGAAGUUUAAAUCUUUGCUCUAGUUUUCAGACCAAUGCAUCAACAACCUGAAAUAUAUAACAUCAAAUUUGCUAUUCUCAAAGCAGUCAUGCAGGAGCAUCUUCUAUAAUAUUUAUGAACGUAAAAUCAUAGUAAUUUUACCGAUCCAGGUUAAGAAAGAAGAGCUGUGUGCCAGGGUACAACAUGUGUGUUCAGAUAGAACAAUUACUCAGAAUAACAUACCCAUAAGAAACAUAAAAUUAAUAAAUAGAACACUCUUUAUGUGGAACAUCAUAAAUUACUUAGCUAAUGUUCUUAAAUACUGGAUUGUGCAUAUUAUGUUUGACAUGGAGACAUGGCACAAAUCUAAACAAAAAGAAGGCGUGGGAAAAAACAAUAAUAACUCACCUGGAAAAUUCAUAUUGAAAGGUUAGAGAAAUAUGUGAUUUAGCUACUUUGAACUCGACUAAGCUGGAUACGUGGUUUUAGUGGAUUUACCUUUUGCCAACUUGGCUGUGAGCUAAACUUAUUGAUGAAGAACAAAGAAAUAAUCCAUGGUGAGGUAAGAAGAACUCCCUGUGUUGCACUAUACAAAUUUGGACUUAACAAUGGAAACUAAAAGCUUUUCUAAUUACAAAAAAUUAUGUGAUCAUUAGCAAGUAUGAGGCACCUUGAUGCCGACAACUCCUAAUUACGACUAAACAUCAAAGAACACAUGACUAACUCUCAAGACAUCAAGAGAGGAGGUGAGGUCCGAGUGAAAUUCAAUCAAAAGGAGCAAUUCCCUGAGUUGCGCUAGAAAUUUGUAGUGCCACAGCCCAAGUACACCUUAUGCAAACCUACAUGCAAAAUCGAAAACAUGCAAUCUAGAGAGAAUAUUGCUAAGCAAUAAUUCAAACAUACUUUGAGCUAAAAAAAACAUCAAACUCACCGCACAGAUACAUAUUUAUACUAUGCGGGUUUCAAAUCACUUACCUUUUGCCGACCUAUCUUAGCGAAAUUCUCCUGUGAGGAACAGAGUUGAGAGUAAAUCUAAUAAAUAGACAAAAAAAUAGUCCUUGUAAGACUAUCUUGCACACUUGCCUGGUUGUAGUAGUAUAAUUUGCAAAUUUUGUUGAUGACUCUUGAAAGGUUACCAAUAUUUUCACCCAAAGGGGCUGAGACGUCCAUAAAAAUUGAUAAAGAAUAAAUAAUACUUCUAAAAAUAUCUCACAAAGUUAAACACUUGUAGUUGUAUACAUCACCCUGUUCUUGAUGACCCUUGAAAGCUUACCAUUUUUUUUCACCGGAAGAAUGUAUCCUUAUCUUUUCCCAAUAUUCCCGCUCUGUCAUGUUGAUGACUUAAGCAAUGCAAAUAUUGGAACACCACUGAAUACAGUGUAGUAGAAAUUGCACAUGUGUUGCUGACCUUGGAAUGCUUACCAGUCUUCUAACCCACAUGAUGUAACCAUAUUGGUGGCAAAAACCCUUAUUUAGGCACAUUGGUGACUUAAGUAAUAUGCAAUCAUAGGUAAACCAGGGACCCUAUAGAAAUGAAAUUCACGUAAUAAAGAUGAGGUAUUUGUAAGAUGAUUAUUUGGACUUAACAAUGGGAACUAAAAAUCUUCUGCAAUUACAAAAAAGUAUGUGAUCAUUAGCAACUUUGAGGGCAGCUUGAUGCCGACCACUCGUAAUGACGACUAAGCAUCAAAGAACACAUUACUAACUCUCAAGACAUCAAGAGAGAAGGUGAGGUCCGAUUGAAAUUCAAUCAAAAGGAGCAAUUCCCUGAGUUGCGCUAGAAAUUUGUAGCGCGACAGCCUAAGUACACCUUAUGCAAACCAGCAUGCAAAAUCAAAAACAUGCAAUCUGGAGAGAAUAUUGCUAAGCAAUAAUUUGAACAUAGUUUGAGCUGAAAAAACAUCAAACUCACCACACAGAUGCAUAUUUAUACCAUGCGGGGUUUCAAAUCAUUUACAUUUUGCGAACCUAUCUUAGUGAAAUUCUCCGGUGAUGAAGAACAGAGUUUAGAGUCUAAUAAAAUAGACAAAAAAGUACUUGUAACAAUAUCGUGUACACUUACAUGGUUGUAGUAGUAUAAUUUGCAAAUUUUGUUGAUGACUCUUGAAAGCUUGGCAAUAUUUCGACCUAGAGGAGCUGAGACACCCAUAAAAAUCAACAAAGAAUAAAUAAUACUUCUAAGAAUAUCACACAAAGUUAAACGCUUGUAGUAGUAUACAUCACACUGUUCUUGAUGACACUUGAAAGCUCAGCAUUUUUUUCACCCGAGGAAUGUAUGGUUAUCUUUUCCCAAUACUCCUGCUCUGUCAUGUUGAGGACUUAAGCAAUGCUAAUAUUGAAAAAGGGAAAUCACUGAAAUAAGAUUCAAACAAUCCCAAAGAUGGACAAUCUGUAAGAAGAAGAAUUAGCGAACUGAGGGCGAAAUGGUGCCGAUCAGCCAUAAUAAAUAAGUAAUCAUCAGAGAACACACAACUAACUACCAAAUUGCUAGUACCACCCAGUUUUCUGUGGUACGCAAGCCCACAUGCAAACUGUAAAACAUCAGUCUGGAUAGAGUCAUUAUGACGGUAGGUGCACAUUACACGGUGGAUACAUGAGUAUAAAAAUACUUAUAAUUGUACUUCAGAUAAAUACUUAUAAUUAUACUUAAGAUAAUUGUGUAUGCAUGCAGCUCCAUGUAGACGUUUUUGCCUCCUACUCCACUAUGAUCCUUGACCCUGAACGCAGCGGCCCACAUCUAACUAUCCCCAUAUAGCUUCUUAUCAGUCGGGGCACCAUGAGAAGUAUAUGAGUAAAAGUAAUGAGAAUGAGUUCAUCAGUUUUCAUAUCUGUCAAAUGUAAGGUUAUACACAAUACUUUUUCGUAAUUUAAUUCACUUCACAUCCAUGCAUAACCUGGCAAACAGAGUAGUUGUCUGACUGAUUUACAAUUCAUGUGUAGCGAGUGCACAAAGAAGCAGCAGAUUUUAUAGAAAGAUCUUUAAAUCGUCUAUCAGCUCUGCAUAAAAACCGCAGGUUAGUGGAAAACAAAAAGUUGGAGCUAGAUUGCAGAUUCUAGCUCCCGUACGUACGGCUCAAUGCUAUGACAAGAAAAAAUUUAUAUGUGAAAUCGCAGCUCAGUACUUGACACCCAGAGAGGCUAAAAUCAAGAUGGUUGAAUUCACUUUCACUGAUGUGGUAAUUUAGAAGAUCUGAUUGUCCACUGGUUAUCACUGCCUCAACUUCACUUAUGAACAAAACAUCAGUACUGAUAAUUACGUAGAAACAUGCAUGAUAAUUGGGAAGAGUAUACAUAAUGAAAUAAGUUGAAAUCCGUGGUUUCAAUGAAAACAAUGAGAUCUGAUACAUUUGGCUGAGUAAUGAGUUCAAAAGUACAGGCCAUUAGAAGUACUGCACUGAUAAUAAAUAGUAUGAUCAUUUGAGCAACCAAAGAACAUGUAACAUUUAUUCAGUCCUAGUCGAACCUCAUAUGUUGCCUGAAUAUGCAGAUGUGCAGCGACCAUUCCUCAAGCAGAAGCGGGAACCUAAACAUGGAAAAACACUUGGUUGAGAAAUGUUGGACUAACCAAGACAUGAGCAUGAAAAGUUGGGGAACAAUGCAUUCUUUUAUAAAAGAGUUGACACUCGCUAGCUUCCUUACAAAAAAACUAAAAUGCGAACAGAACAAAAAGAAUAGAAAAACUGUAUCAAACGCAUGCACUAAUCAACAUAAUUAGGCGGGCCUUAAGAAAAUGUAAUCAAGUGUAAACUUUGCCAGAUCAAAACUAAUAUAAACCCAGGUACGUCAAGCACCUGUUGAUAUCCAAUCGAUUGUCAUGCACGUGCAUGCGCUGGUUCCAUGCAAUACGUGUGUGUGAUCAUCCAGCCUAAGACUAAUCGAUCUGGCCAGCUAUAUGUAUUAGCACAUCUAACCAUAAUACAUCAACAUACCUUAGCUUCUUGUCUGCACAUUCUCGACACAAAAUAAGCGCCGCUAUCGAACCUAUGGCAACAUGUGUGCAUUCUCCGUCCGGCGAGAAUCCAUCGGCUAGCUGUAGCUAGCUAGCCUACAUAUGAUUUGUUCUACCUAGGUAAGCUCCGCAGGAAUUGAUCUAGCAACCUGCUUAAAACCAAUCAAUCUAGCAGCCUGGUCUCCAUAUAAUUGAUCUAGGAGUCUGCUCUCCAUAGAAUCGAUCUAGCAUCCUGCUCCAAAGCAACCGAUGUAGCAGCCGGCCUUCUUCCAAAGACCUAGCGAAUCUCCAUAGGAAUCGAUGUAGCAGUCUGCCCUAGGGUAGGUGCAGUCAGAGUUAGAAGCUAGGGCGUGGUCAGACCUAGGGUAGGUGAGUCCUGCAUGGAUCAAUUAGAUGGACAUCAUAUUGCCAUAGGCGUAGUACGGGAGGACUAAAACAUAGUUGAGGAAUAGACCAUGGAACCGGAGGCAAGACUGGCAGCGGCGGUCUACAGAACCAUGGGGACGUCGCCGAUGUGAGGUCUCGAGGAUUGGGGACACGGCGGACAUGUAUUUUCUUUGAAGGUUUUUUUUGUAGAGACGGUCGCUGUUUUUUUAGGUGGGCACGCACGGGGGGAAGGACACGUACGGGAGGGAAGGAGCGAAGGAUAGAUGCAUGUUUCAUUUUUUUCACUUCAUUCAUGAUGAGGAAGGUUUUUAUGUAAUGGCAAUGGUGGGUAAUUUUCUUUCACUUAAAUCGGAUGGCUACUAAUCUUUUAUGUGUUAAAUAGAUGGUUGGAUGUUUCUAGUUUUUAUGGGAUUUUCCAUCUAAAUUCUCUUUUUUUGGUUAACCCGUCAAUUGCUUUUUAUAUAUAAAUAGAUGCUUGGUCCCUUAAGGAGGUGUCCGGUGCAGCGAACAAGGCAAUCGGACUAUGCGGCUUUGUAACUUUCACUUAGCCAUAGAAGUCUACAAUUUUAAAUUUCGGCGAAGCCCCUAGAAUCCGGAAGGCCGAAUCAGGGUGCUAUACACGCCUAGAUCGGACGAAGCCGAUUUAUCGCCUAAAGCGGAAAAUCUUUAAGGAUUUUAAGACCUCUCGAACAGCGACCAGCUCUCGCCACAUCAUGCCGGUCAGUUUUCGGCUUUCUCUACUGAGGUGCUCGUCCGGAAGAACCGGGACACAAUCGCAGUAGUUCUCCCUGCGCUACCUUAGCUGAUAUAACGGAACGUAAGACACCAAAACAAGGGAGCCGGGCUAUCCCAACUGUGCACCCAAGACAUGAUUCGGAGCUGAUGCAUAUAGUGCUAUAAGUUCGGGGUGCCGCACUAUUGAUAGUGUUUGGACUUUAUUUGCCAUAUUAAGGGGCGCCAUGAGAAGCCCCUGGCAAACUGGCCGUACCGAGGUGUACGGAUGCAAUACUCAAUAAACAUCUAUAAGAGAAGAAAAUGCUGAAAUAAGGAUAAUAAGCUGACGCUAUAUAUAAUCUCCCAUUGACGAAAAUUACGUUUAAGCGUAUGUUUACAAUGGAUGAAUUAAGCAGAGAGAAAAAUAGGACUAUUUGACAUGUCCUAUCUAGGGGCAGGCUGUGUACAGAUAGAUAAAGCAGGUAUAAUGAUCGUGAAUAGAUUCCACCUGGGUAUUUCCUUCUGUGCACACCGUCUGUUGCCUCCUUGGAUGUCUUUCCCAUAUGAGUCCGGCAAUUCGGCUCUUUUGAGGAUGCCGCACUAACGCGGUGUCCUGAAAUGUAAGAGGAAAAGAGUAUGAAGGUAUUUGGCGGUUACCCGCACUAUUGAUUGAGUCGUUGAUGCGCCUCCGCCUAUGCCCAUAGUAUCUUGAGUGCGUAAUUGUGUGCGCGUGGCACGAAUGCUGCUUUAAAGGGGCUUGAGCGGAGGCCGGGCUGCUAAUCACACUCUUGAUGAUCCUGUUGCGGGGUGCUCCGGACUCGCUUGACUGUGCUUGAAGUUGUCGCCGGAUUGGUUUGUCGGAGUAGGCCGCAUUGUACUUCUGCCGCGAGGGCUGCCGUAUGCUCUUCUGUUCAAAGGGAGCGGUCCAUAUUUCCAUUGAUAGUGAUGACCCCGCGCGGUCCUGGCAUCUUGAGCUUGAGGUAUGCGUAAUGUGGUACCGCAUUGAAUCUAGCGAAUGCGGUUCGUCCGAGCAGUGCGUGGUAACCACUACAGAAAGGGACGAUAUCAAAGAUUAACUCUUCGCUCCGGAAGUUAUCCGGGGAUCCGAAGACCACUUCCAACGUUAUAGAGCCCAUACAGCGAGCCUCUACUCUGGGAAUUACACCUUUAAAGGUAGUUUUGGUGGGCUUGAUCCUUGAAGGGUCAAUGCCCAUCUUGCGCACUAUGUCCUGAUAAAGCAGGUUCAGGCUACUGCCGCCGUUCAUAAGGACACGCGUGAGGUGGAAUCCGUCGAUGAUUGGGUCUAAGACCAAUGCGGCUGAGCCGCCAUGACGGAUGCUAGUAGGAUGAUCCCUACGAUCAAAGGUCAUCGGACAAGCUGACCAUGGGUUGAAUUUGGGGGCGACUGGGUCCAUCGCAUAGACAUCCCGUAGUGCUCGCUUCCGUUCCCGCUUGGGGAUGUGAGUGGCGUAGAUCAUAUUGACCGUUUUCACCUGGGGGGGGAAUUUCUUUUGUCCCCCUGUAUUCGGACACCGGGGCUCCCCAUCAUUGUCGCUGUGCAGCCCCUUGUCCUUGUUUUCGGCGUUUAUCUUGCCGGCCUAUUUGAAUACCCAGCAGUCUCUACUGGUGUGGUUGGCUGGCUUGUCCGGGGUGCCAUGAAUUUGGCACGAGCGCUCUAGUAUGCGGUUCAGGCUGGACGGUCCCUGAUUAUUUCUUUUGAACGACUUUUUCCGCUGACUGGACUUAGAUCCGCUGAAUCCGGCGUUGACUGCCGUGUCUUCAGUGCUGUCGCUGUUGUUCCAUCUCUUAUGCCUGUUACGCAGUGGCUUUCCAUUAGCAUCGCGGCCGUCCGAAGUACUGAAAUGUGGCGUGGUGCCGCUGCGAGCCAGCCAGCUAUCCUCACCCGCACAAAAGCCGGUCAUUAGGGUUGUGAGAGCUGCCAUAGACUUGGGUUUUUCCUGGCUGAGGUGUCGAGCGAGCCACUCGUCACGGAUAUUAUGCUUGAAAGCCGCCAGGGCUUCGGCGUCCGGACAGUCGACUAUUUGGUUCUUUUUAGUAAGGAACCGAGUCUAGAAUUUCCGGGCUGACUCUCCGGGCUGUUGAGUAAUGUGGCUCAGGUCAUCGGCAUCUGGCGGUCGCACAUAUGUGCCCUGGAAGUUAUCGAGGAAUGCGUCUUCCAGGUUUUCCCAACUACCAAUGGAAUUUCCUAGCAGGCUGUUUAACCAGUGCCGGGCUGGUCCUUUGAGCUUAAGGGGGAGAUACUUAAUGGCGUGCAGAUCAUCUCCGUGGGCCAUGGGAAUGUGGAUAAGGAAAUCUUCGAUCCAUACUGCGGGGUCUGUUGUGCCAUCGUAUGAUUCGAUGUUUACGGGUUUGAACCCUUCUGGGAAUUCAUGAUCCAUAACUUCGUCAGUGAAGCAGAGGGGGUGUGCGGUGCCUCUGUGCCGGGCUAUGUGGCUACGCAGGUCGGAUUGGUCUUGGUUGCUGUGUUUGGCCCGGCCGGACUUGUUGAUGAUGUAUCCGGCGCGACGGUCAUCAUCGCACCCUGGGGCGCGCCCCCGCGAUCCGUAGACCGAUCUUGGCUAUUCUGCUUUGUUUUCCAGAAUAUCUUGCAGGUCUUGCCUGUUGCCCUGGGCCGUAGUGUAUCGGCAUGGGGGUGCGGGCUGGUAUCCGGGCUGAUAUCCCGUUUUAUCCCGGCCACGGGGUGGUCGGUCAGCCAUUUGGCGUUCGAGUCCAUAUUCCUCGGCUGCCAGGACUUCAGUCCAUCUAUCUGUGAGCAGAUGUUGAUCAGCUUGGAGUUGCUGCUGCUUCUUCUUGAGGCUCCGCGCAGUGGCUAUAAGCCUACUCUUGAAGCGCUCCUACUCUAUGGGAUCCUCAGGCACGCCAAAUUCAUUGUCGCCGAGGCUAAUCUCGUCUUCGGAGGGGGCAUGUAGUUUUCCUCCUCCGGAUAAGCGUCCGUCGCUUGUUCUUCUGGGCUGACCUGCUCAUCUUCCUGUUCGACCUGCUCGAAGGCAGGCUGGUCAGGGUCAUAUUCUUCUUCGGCACCAUCCGGCUUAUUUUCGUCUCCGGGGCCGGUAUUGCUGUGGCGGGGCUUGGAGCGGCGUCGACGACGCCCAUGCUUUGCUUUUCUUCCGAGGGGUUAUCCUUUGUUGCCUCAUCAACAUUGGUUUCCUUCGGAGUGUCCACCAUAUAUAUAUCGUAUGAAGAGGUGGCCGUCCACCGCCCUGUGAGCGGUGGCUCCUGUAAUUCUCCUACAUCAUCGUCCAUAUUGUCGAUGUCUUCGGAGUCGAAGUCAAGCACGUCGGUUAGAUCAUCGAUCGUGGCAAUGAAGUGGGUGGUGGGUGGGCAAUGAAUUCCAAUGUCGUCUGCUUCCCACUCAAGCCGGAGAUAGUUCGGCCCAGAGUCUCCUGACAAAGAGAGAGACUUCAAUAAGUUCAGCAUGUCGCCAAAGGGAGAGUGCUGAAAGACGUCCGCCGCCGUGAACUCCAUCACCGGAGCCCAACCCGGUUCGGCGGGCUCAGGGACGCGCGGAUUGGAACCUACAACCGAAUAUGAAUCCGGGGGUACGGAGUCACAGGCUCCCUCAGAAAGUGAGGCCUGUGUUCGGCUCCAUCGCCGAUGACGGUACGGCCUGCGGGGCGGGGUCUAGCCCUCCGUCCUUAGGCAACGCAACCUGCCCCGAUUUUAGAUCCAGGGCUUCUGCCGGGGUGAUAUCCCGAGCAUCGUAUGACAGCAGGUCUAAGUCGUGCUCAUCGUGAUUGUUCGGCGAUUCUGGUGCUGGCCCGAAUCCGUCGAAGAUCAAGUCUCCGCGAAUAUCCGCUGUGUAGUUCAAGUUUCCGAACCUGACCUGGUGGCCGGGGGCAUAGCUAUCGAUCUGCUCCAGGUGGCCAAGCGAAUUGGCCCGUAGCAUGAAGCCGCCGAACACGAAGAUCUGUCCGGGGAGGAAAGUUUCGCCCUGGACAGCAUCGUUGGUGAUGAUUGAAGGAGCCAUCAAGCCUGAUAGCAAUGGCACAGAGGAACUCUCAAUGAAAGCACCAAUGUCGGUGUCAAAACCGGCAGAUCUCGGGUAGGGGGUCCCGAUCUGUGUGUCAAGGCUGAUGGUAACAGGAAGCAAGGGACACAGAUGUUUACCCAGGUUCGGGCCCUAUCGAUGGAGGUAAACCCUACUUCCUGCUUGAUUAAUAUUGAUGAUAUGGGUAGUACAAGAGUAGAUCUACCACGAGAUCGUAGAGGCUAAACCCUAAGAGCGAGCCUAUGAUGGUAUAAUUGUAAAUGUGAUCGGCCUUCUAAGGACCAACCUCUCCGGUUUAUAUAGACACCGGAGAGGGCUAGGGUUUACAUGGAGUUGGUUACAAGAAAGGAAACACAAUAUCCAAAUCACCAAGCUUGCCUUCCACGCAAAGGAGAGUACCAUCCGGACACGGACCAAAGUCUUGAGUCUUGUAUCUUCACGCUUAAAUAGUCCAGACGUUGUACACAGUCCGGCUGUCCAGAUACCCCCUAACCCAGGACUCCCUCAGCGACGAUGCGACUAACGGUGAUGCGAGCGGCGACAAGGAGGAACAUGGCAUCUGGGAUGGACGGGACGAGACGGAUCCGGUCCCUGGACCAUGGAUCUGACCGGAGACAGGAGAGGGAGACGCGGUCAUGGACCUACAAGCGGCGGUGCCAUGGUUCCCUGUGACAGAAACAGGACGAUGGGGGGUGGUCUGGGAGAGCUUCAGCAAAGAAGAGA